UGCGCAACAGUCGGCCCGAAUCUCGGGGACUACACCCAGUGGGUGCGCUGACGCGCCCCCACGGAAGAAAUCAAGAGAUCAAACGGCCAAGAAUGAAGGACUCACCCGGAUGGCAGCUCGCGUCGACAGGAACUCCUGGAUGAACUGUUGCAGCAGGGCGGCCUGAGCAUGAAGCUGGCUCCAGACCCCUUGAGCCGCCACAUUCAGCUCGCCAGUCCCCCUGCUGGGAGUCCACUCGGACGUGGCAGUGCUGGCCGCCUCCAGAUAUUCUGCCGACGGGCCUGCGCCCGCGACUCGGCACGACUCCGGCGGAGCGGCGCCUCCCCCUGCGCACCGGCGCGUCGCCGGCUGCAUCUCGAGGCCGGCUCUGUCCUCCGGCUCACCCCCAGACGGCUCCUCUGGCGCCGCUGACGACUGGCCGCCUCGGCCUGCACCGGUUGGCGCUGCUGGCGGCGCUCUCCUCGCGAAGGCCACGGGGUCCUCCCCCCUCUCCAUCAGCGGCGGGUCUUGGACGAUUUCCUCCGCCAAGGGCAAUGGGGUGUCGGGGGCCAUGGCUCGGAGGGGAAUGGCGAGCAGCGGAGGCUGGUUGCGCGAGCCCUCCGCCUCCGUCUCCGCGGUCGCCGCCUCCGCCUGGGCCUUGGCUGCCGCGUCAGCCUACUCCUUCGACGCCUGGGCGGCCGCACUUUCCGCCGCCUCGCGCUCCUCCCGCGCCUCACGGGCGUUCCGCUCCGUGGCCUCUCUGAGGUCGGCGCGCGGGUCCACACGGCGGGAGCUCGAAGACCCUCCAGCCGGCCCCACUACGGAGCCGCCCAGACCCCGCUCAAGGGAAAGUGGUGCCCUGUCCAGCAAGCGGGAUAGGGUCAAGAAGAAUUUUCGAACAAGAGAGAACGAUGAAAAGCAUGCGACAGGGCAAUUGAAGACUUACGCUGAGACCGCCUGAGGCUGCUUCACCGCCUUGCGGAAGCGGGCCGCUUUCGCAGCCGCCUCAUCUCGCUUGGUCGCCGCGGUGGAGGCUUUGGACUUCUUUGGCCGACUGUGAAGAGGCCUGAAGCGGCCCGGCGCUUCUGUGCACCACCGCCGGCAGCCAGCGCGAUGGACGAGCCUGCACCCUGAUGGUCGGCCGCCGGCUGGCGACGCGGGGCGACUUCGGCUUCAGCAUCAUCCGGCCAGUCCUCGAAGCGCGGUGAGCCUUGAGCCCCCGGGCUCGGCGUCGUCCCCCACGACGGUGUCUUCCAUGGCGGCCGCCCCCAAAUCCGGAUCGUCGACGUCGUCCUCCGUGCGGUCGGGGGCAUACUGGCGUUCUAUCCCCGCUGCCCCGGUCGUCGGCGGGAGAAGGGGGUUCUGCUAAGAAGAACCGACUGAUCAGAAGCCGGCCAUCAUAAAGGCGGCAACCAACAAAAAGAAGAAAGAAAGGAAAGCUUACCACGGGCGGAGGGUUGGCGCGAGAAUACGGCGCCUUGCCGUAUCGCCAGUCCUCGGUGAGCUUGCAGUUGGAGAUAUAGUUUACCAUAUACGAUACCUCCGCAUGAGGCAUCUCCCUGGUGCUCAGCCGGCUUGGGUCGAAGCGGCCGCUCAUCUGGCACAUCAUGUGGGGCCGGCUUUGGAGAGGAGAUAUCCGGCGCUCCACGAAGGCGGCCACCAAGUCGGCCCCGCUCAGGCCUUCCGACUGGAUCAUCACCCGAAGCCGGGAGACGGCGGCGUUCCCGGCCUGAGACAGUGACCGGCACCGGAAACUCCAUGAAGGCUGCCUCCCAGCCGGCGCGCCGGCUACAUAAGCCGACAGGUUGACGUGGUCUCCUUGCUCGGCGACGUUCUUCACGUAGAAGUAUGACUUCUGCCAGAUCUUCACCGACUGGAUCAGGGGGAUGGGCGGGAACGGGUUGUUCUCGCCCGCCCUCCUCAUGGCGAUGAAGGCCCCGCAGGGGGCGGACACGUCGGCGACGACGGUGCCGAGUUUGCUCUGGAAGAACUCCCCCCAGAGCUCCAGCGUGGGGAGCAGCCCCAAGAAACCUUCGCGGAGGGAGACAAAGGCCGACAGUAGCAUCACCGCAUUGGGCGUGAGGUGAUGCGGCUGAAGGUUGUAGGACUCGAGGAAGGAGCGCAGAAAUCCGCUCGCUGGAAGGCCGAAGCCGCGCAGGAAGUGCGAGCGGAAGACGACCCGCUCGCCCUCCUCCGGCGCCGGCGAGACCUCCGUCUCUGGCGCCAAGCGGACCCGCACGAGGUUGGCGUCGGGCAGGCGCCGAGUCUGGCGGAGGAACUCAACAUGGUCCUCAUGGACAUUGGAGCCGUCCCACGAGCGCGACAACACCAUGGGAGCAAGACUAUGUGGAGGCACGGCGGCGCUGAGACGGGAGGCUGCGGCGGCAACGAGAGGGAGAAACAAGGACGAGAAGGGGCGGAGCGAGAGAGAGCGUGCGAACCUCUGCCGCUCCCCCUCCUCCCCCUACUUAUAGGCUCACGUGGCGGAGCCGAGGAGGCGCGGCGUGGGGAAACGUGGGGAUCAAUCGUGCCCACUCCCCCACGUCCCGCGCUUAUUGUGCCUUAAGGGCGAAAUAAAACCGCCGCGGGAAGGCGAGCGGUCCAUGUGGGCCAUGGAAGAUCCGCGCUCGGAACAAGGCCUGCGAGUGGCCGACCCGGGCCUGCGGCGGCGUCCCGUCGCACGCGUGGGCUGGCAGGAUCUCGCUGCCACGUGGCUGCACGAGGGCCCGCGGUCAGCACGCAGGUCGACCCCUUUCCCGCCUGCAAGACGCGGAGCUCUCUGAAGUCGGCAUGCACCCCGCAACGCAGGCUCUUCAGGAUGGGAAGCUGACCAAGCUUCUCGUCCCUUUGUCCGCCUCGGAGCUCGAUCAGCUUCGAGGACUACUGUCGGAGUAAAUAGCCAUGGGUAGCCUAGCCGGCUUCCCCUGGCCCUUCUGAAAAAAUUACGAGCCUGUCCGGCUCUCAAGAACCCAAGACAUGGGGCCGCCUUCCCCUUGCUGGCUGUCAUCCAGGCCGGCUUUCGGAAGGCGGCCCGACUUUAGCCCUCACGAAGAAAGCCAGGAGAGGGCCGACUUUGGGAAGCCGGCCGCGAGAAGGCCGACUCCAAGAAUCCGGCUCCCAUAAAGCGGUCAAGACCGUACACUCAAAGUUUGCAUCCACCUAACGGCGAUGUGACGGGGCGUGACUACAGUGGAGCCUGCCACCCCCGAAUCCCAGAGCACGCCUGGCACAGUGCACCGUACGAAGUGGGCAUGACCCGUCCGGCGCAGCACUGUUGCCAUGUUGACCCUGGUGUCACCCACGACGGGCCGCCAGCGCGGCCCACAGAUGGUGGGCCCCUUCGGGCAGAGAGACACCCGAAGGUGGCCACGCCUCCCCCCAGUCGGCCCAAGACAGAGCCGGCUCCUCGCAGCCGGCUUGCCACCUCCCUCGAAGGAGAUGCCCCAUUAAGGAGACAAGACGCGGUGAGGCUACAGCGAUCGCCCGACGGGCGGUGGCACUGUAGCCGCGCCUACCACGACAAAGCCCACGUCACCAAGAUAGAGCAACAGUAACUAGCCGCCGAUCAGGCCCUGGAUAGUGGGGCCUGCCUGUCGACCAAGUGGGCGGCAGCCCACGGGACCCACCAGUCGGCGGGCCCCAGCAGCCGGCGCAGAAGCCGGUGAGCGCAGUCACAGACGGCUGGGCCCCGCGUCCAGUCGGAUUACCAUUGUACCCCUGGGGGGUAGGCCUAUAUAAACCCCCCGGGGCACCCAUGCAAAGGGUUCGACCCCCUGCUAGUCCUAGACACCACACAAGGAGAAGAAGCAGGCUAGCCGGCCCUUCUUCCUCCUCCCACCAAACAGCUCAAGGAGCAUUGUGUAGCUACUUGUCUAUCUAGUGAUCAUGCGGAGACCCCGCAGAGCAGCAGUAGGGGUGUUAUCUCCAUGGAGAGCCCCGAAGCUGGUAAGAUCCGCCGGCGUGCAUGUCUUCGCCUUAUCCCGUUUCCAGGCACCGGCGAUGUCUUACUGGCUCCCACAAUGAUAAGCCACCCGUUGGCAUAUGUCGCACCUACCACCUGACAGAGGGCACUAGUCCCUCAAGUUCCUCAGAUGAUGGCAGCAGGAGCACCCCUAGCAAUCUGCCUAAAGCUGCCACAAGACAGAGAAAGAAGAGAACCUCAGACUCAGAAGAUGAGGAUUAUGUGGCAGAAGAGGAAGCAACUUCCAAGAGAGUUGAGCCAGCUCAAGGCACAAAGCCAGGGUUAAAAAUCAAAAGGCCAGCAGGCAGGCAGCCUAUGUCAAAGGCCAGAGCUUCAACUGAGAAGCCCACUCCCAUUGAGCCAGUUGCUGCUGAAGGCAAGAAAAGAAAGGAAAGGGUGAAGAAAACUGUAGCCAGAGUGCUUGGCAAGGCUUCCAUCAUGGAAGAUGAGGAGGAAGAAGAAGAGGUAGCUGCACAAGCACCUAAGGCACCUAAGCUAAUGGGUGAUGCCAUAAGAUCAGGGGCAGCUGCUUCCAAGGCCAAGACAGCUCCAAAGCCAAAGCCAAAGAGGAACACAAGAAGCAUCCCAGCUACUGAGAAGAACAAGGCCCUAGUGCCUGAAGCUGCAGAAGAAGAAGAAAAGAAUGUUCUUAGAAAGCUCAAGCCCAAGAUCCCAGACCACAACGAUGCUCAUCCUAUGGCUGAGGAUAUGAAACUCAGGAGAGAUUCAGGGUUUCGGAAGUGGAGAGAAGCAGACCCGUAUGCUUCAAGGAGAAGGACUGCAGUUGACUAUAGGUUUCACACCAAGGAGCAGCAAGACUUUUAUGAGACAGUGCUGCUAGACAAGAAGCCAAUUGUCUGUGAUAUGAGAUGGGUUGAUUGGCAAUACAUCAAGGACAACGAAGAGUACUACCCUGGAGUGCAGGACAGCUUCAAGGCAUGUGGAGUAGAGGACUUUGUUGGGCAGAAGCUCACAAAGUGGAACGAGGAACUCAUCAUGCAGUUCUACUCCACAGCCCAUUUCUAUCCAGAUGGCAGGAUUGUAUGGAUGUCAGAGGGUACGAGGUACCAGUCUACAGUUGCUGAAUGGGCUCAGCUGAUUAAUGCCCCAGAAGAGCAUGACGAUGACUUGGACAUUUAUGCCAAGAAGAAGAUGGACCACAACUCAAUGUCAAACAUGUACAAGGAGAUUCCAAAUGAAGCAUUUGAUACGUUCAAGUUUGGCUCAGUACACUAUCUUCUGUCAGGGCUACCAACCAUCAACUGGAUUCUUAGGCACACCCUAUUGCCCAAGUCUGGAGAUCACAAGAUGAUCAGGGGCCACGCGAUCAACUUGCUUCAUAUCUUUGACGUGCCAUAGAAAUUUAAAGUCAUGAGCCUUAUGAUUGAAACAAUCAAGAGGACAGCUGCAGACCAGAAGAGGAGCUGUGGAUAUGCCCCACAGAUUCAGGAGCUCAUCAACUCUAAGAUGGGCACGGGGAUAUACUUAUUGGACAAGGAACACCUUCCCAUCCGUCCAGACUUUGAAGAUAAUCAAGUGCUCAUGACUGAGAAUGAGCCAUCAUCUGCCCAAGCACAAGCCAAGAAGGAGAAGGCGAGGAAGGAGAAAGCUGCCAAGAUGCCUACUCAAGAGGAGGCAUCUGAAUAUUUCCUGAAAACCAAACAAGAGCAGCUUGGUUACUUGAUUGCAUCCACCCUGCGGAUUGAGCAAGGACUAGCCACCCUAACUCAGAACCAGGCAAGCUUAGAGAGGAUCAUGGAACAAAAGUUCUAUGACUUGGAUGUCAAAGUGACAGAGAUUCAGACUGCAGUGGAGCAGCUCCAGGAUGACAUGCAGGAGAGGAGAGGCAAGACUACAACUGAUGCCUUUGCCAGAGUGCCACGAGGUCCGAGGUCGUCUGUAGUGCCAGUUGCUGACCCUAGAGCCACCACGUCUGCACCAGCUACAGCCUCAGUUCCACCAGCUCCAGCGUCCACUUCAGCCUUAACUCCGACCACGUCUACAGAAGGUUUCGUCCUUGGAGUGCUCCGGACUCCACCACCACCUGAAGAUCAAGCCUGAGUGUCGACUUAGCACUAUGCAUUUUCUAGGAACUUUUUGGUAACUUGUUGCCAAAGGGGGAGAAAAUGUAUAGAUCAUAGGCUUCGAGAGAGUGUGUUGCUUUUAGUGUUGCUUUUAUUCUCUCUAGUUUUAUUUGGUGGUUUUUCGAACUUUGUUUGCUUUUGUGUGAGAUACUAUGUCAUUGCUCGUGAGACAUUGAUGAUCAUGUGUUUGAUCAUAAGCUACACUUAAUGUUUGCUUAAUAUUAUCAUCUUAUCUAUCUUAUGUGAUCAUUCACUAUUCUUGGUGAUGAGUGGAUGUAUUUCAUUCUUAUCAUUUUAAGCGCUCCACCAAGAUGUAUGUGACAUGGAAGAGUAACCCAUGACUCUAACUCUUUGUGCAUUUGCAGUCCAAAGCAAAUUUUAAAUAUGCACAAAUUUAGGGGGAGGUCUUACUUGUCACAUACUUCUCAAAGCGACGAUAUAUUUCAUGCUUAUUAUCAUUUGUCGAAGCUUUGAUCUAUAUGUUGUCAUCAAUUACCAAAAAGGGGGAGAUUGAAAGUGCAACUAUCCCUAGGUGGUUUUGGUAAUUCAUAACAACAUAUAGCUCAUUGAGCUAAUGCUAUUCCAAGAUGACUAUUUCAGGAAAGCUCAAUGAUUGGCAUGGCAUGGAUGUGAAAGUGGAACCCUCAAAAUGCUAAGGACAAAGGAUUGGCUCAAGCUCAAAAGCUAAAGACUCUUCAUUUUAUAUUUUAGUGAUCCAAGAUCACAUUGAGUCUUUAGGAAAAGCCAAUACUAUCAAGGAGGGAUGAGGUGUUGCUUAAUGAGCCUCUUGCUUCAUGUGCUUAGUGAUAUGCUCCAAAACCCUCAACUACUUUCCCAUAUCCACAUAUGACCUAAACCCUAAGCCAAACUCGGUCCAACCGAUUCUUUCUAUUUUGUGCCACCGAGUUUCACUUGUCAUCAGCCACUGCCAAACCCUAGCAAUUCGGUUCUACCGAUAGGGAUCUCGGUCUCACCGAGAUGGGAUUGCAAACUCUCUGUUUCCCUUUCGUAACUUUUCGGUCUCACCGAAAGAGCGAAUCGGUCCCACCGAGAUUGUAGUGUAAACUCUCUAUUUCCUUUUUGUAACUUUUCGGUCUCACUGAAAGAGCAAAUCGGUCCCACCGAGUUUACCUGACCAACUCUCUGGUUAGCUUAUUACCAAACUCGGUCUCACCGAGUUUGUGUAAUCGGUCUCACUGAGAUUACGUUAUGCCCAAACCCUAACCAUAUUGGUCCUAUCGAGUUGCAUGUCAGUCCCAUCGAAAAUCUCUAACGGUCAGUAGGUUUACCUUUUCGGUCUGACCGAGUUUGUUGAUUCGGUCCCACUGAGAUUGGAAAACUGUGUGUAACGGUUGGAUUUUGUGUGGAGGCUAUAUAUACCCCUCCACCUCCUCUUCAUUCGUGGAGAGAGCCAUCCGAACACAUACACAAUUCCAACUCAUAUGUUCUGAGAGAGAACCACCUACUCAUGUGUUGAGACCAAGAUAUUCCAUUCCUACCAUAUGAAUCUUGAUCUCUAGCCUUCCCCAAGUUGCUUUCCACUCAAAUAUUCUUUCCACAAAAUCCAAAUCCUAUGAGAACGAGUUGAGUGUUGGGGAGACUAUCAUUUGAAGCAGAAGAGCAAGGAGUUCAUCAUCAACACACCAUUUGUUACUUCUUGGAGAGUGGUGUCUCCUAGAUUGGCUAGGUGUCACUUGGGAGCCUCUGACAAGAUUGUGGAGUUGAACCAAGGAAUUUGUAAGGGCAAGGAGAUCGCCUACUUCGUGAAGAUCUACCGCUAGUGAGGUAAGUCCUUCGUGGGCGAUGGUCAUGGUGGGAUAGACAAGGUUGCUUCUUCAUGGACCCUUCGUGGGUGGUUGCUUCUUCGUGGACACUUCGUGGGUGGAGCCCUCCGUGGACUCGCGCAACCAUUACCCUUCGUGGGUGGAGCCCUCCAUGGACUCGCGCAACCGUUACCCUUCGUGGGUUGAAGUCUCCAUCAACGUGGAUGUAGGAUAGCACCACCUAUCCGAACCACGGGAAAAACAUCCGUGUCUCCAAUUGCGUUUGAAUUCUCCAAACCCUUGCCUUUACAUUCUUGCAAGUUGCAUGCUUUACUUUCCACUGCCAAUAUACUCUUUGCAUGCUUUCUUGAAUUGUGUGAUGAUUGCUUGACUUGUCCUACAAUAGCUAAAAUCUGCCAAGAACUAAAACUAGGAAAAGGUUAAGUUUUUAUUUGGUCAAGUAGUCUAAUCACACCCCCCCCCCUCUAGACAUACUUUUGAUCCUACAACACGACGAUGAACGCCGAAAUGUUGAGGAUGAAGUUCGGGGCCAGAUCAUGGAAGUCCAUCCCGUAGUAGAACAUGGUACCACGGACGAAUGGACGAAGGGGAAGCCCCAGUCCACGGAGGAAGUGGUGGAGGAAGACUACCCUCUCGUGAGGUUCAGGGGUAGGAACGAUCUGCCCCGCAGCGAGAAGCCGAUGCGAGAUAUUCACGGCCAAGUAUCCGGCUCCGUGCAGCUUCUUGAUGUGUCCCUCUGUAAUGGAGGAAGCCAUCAAUUUGCCUCCCGCUUCAGAAAUGAUUGGAGAAGGUUGAGGGGAAGGAUGUGGGAUCGGGCGUUGGAGCUCGAGUGCGCAAGAGUGGAUGAGCAAGGAGGAAGAAGGCGUGGGUAGAAAAAGGUUAAACCUUGUCCCUUUAUAAGGGCGGCCGAAACUAUGCGCCCCCACUAGCUGGUAAAACUCGCUUAUCCCCCAAAUGCCAUAAUCGAUGGCGCGAUUGAGUUACCCACACCCGUAUUGAUGAGAAUCCCGUAAUUAGGGGGGGCACGAUCUCUGCUUUGACAAGACGUGUCAAAAAACUGCCUCGCGUUAUGUGCGGGGCUAGUUAAAGGAAACGGUUCGAAUAAUCACCGGGCCAUGGCAUAAUGUCAUGUUGCCAACACGUGUCAGCAAAUUAGAUUUGUGGAAAUAUUAUUCUCUCUACGGUGGUAUGUGGAACUUAUUUUGCAGGGUCGGACACUAUCCUUGUAUUCAAAUUCUUCCGUGGUGUGUUCGGAGGAGGAACCCGCCUUGCAAUGCCAAAGACAAUACUGCGCGCGGACUCAUCGUCAUUGAAGCCUGGUUCAGGGGCUACUGAGGGAGUCCUGGAUUAGGGGGUCUCCGGACAGCCGGACUAUAUCCUUUGGCCGGACAGUUGGACUAUGAAGAUAUAAGAUUGAAGACUUCGUCUCGUGUUCGGAUGGGACUCUACUUGGCGUGGAAGGCAAGCUAGGCAGUACGGAUAUGUAUAUCUCCUCCUUUGUAACCGAGCUUGUGUAACCCUAACCCUUUCCGGUGUCUAUAUAAACCGGAGGGUUUCAGUCUGUAGGACAACAUACAAUCAUAUCAUAGGCUAGCUUCUAGGGUUUAGCCUCUCCGAUCUCGUGGUAGAUCAACUCUUGUAAUACUCAUAUCAUCAAGAAUAAAUCAAGCAGGAUGUAGGGUUUUACCUCCAUCAAGAGGGCCCGAACCUGGGUAAAACAUCGUGUCCCCUGCCUCCUGUUACCAUCCGCCUUAGAUGCACUGUUCGGGACACCCUACCCGAGAUCCGCCGGUUUUGACACCGACACCUAUGCAUGUCAGUUAUUGUACACAAUGGAAUUGAACAUGUAGAGAAAAAGAGACAAGCCCUUGCAUGGCAAUAAAAUUUCAUGCAGACGUCGCUCCAUGGUGGGCACAAAGGCAUCCCCCCUCCACCCAUUUUGGAUCGUAAUCAAGAGGAAGAUAACUGUUCUGAGGGGGAUUCAGAAGAAGAAGACCACUCCUAUUUACCCCCAUGAGGUCUUCGCUCUAACUUGGCAUCCUGAUGUUGGUAAUAUCAUGCAUAUGGUGCCUUGCAUUACUUACUGUAUACAUCAAAGAUGGCAUCUGCUUAGUUUAGACAUGCUUUGUGUCAAUGCCAUCUGUUUAGUUUCUUUAUCGUAUAUGUGAAUCAUGCAAUGCCAUCUUGUUUAGCCAGGCAUCAUAUAUGUGAAUUUUGCAAUGCCACCCUAGUUAGCCAGUCAUCUUAUAUGUGAAUUAUAUCAUGACAUCAUUUUUUAUUACGUGUUAAAUUUGUCAACAAUUUUAGUACAUUCAAUUACUCUUCCUGUGCAUCAGCCAUUCGGCACGAUCAUGGAAAAGUCUAGAGUGGAAACAAGGUCUUCAGAGCAGACAAUGCUAUCUGACGAAGAGCAUAUCUAUUGGUAACAGAUAGCUCCUUAGAGGAGGAUUCAGAGAUAGAUGACUAGUCCUAUGCCCCCCCCCCCGAGGUGCAUGCUCUAACUUGGCAGGGUAAAGUUGCUCAUAUCAUGCGUAUGGUAUCUUGCAUUGCUAUGUCAUUUGCUUAGUUUAGACAUGAUUUGUGUGAAUGUCACCUGUUUAGUGUCUAAUUACAAUAUAUGUGAAUUAUGCAAUACCAUAUUUUUGCAAGACAUUAUAUAUGUCAAUUAUGCAAUGCUAUCUUGUUGCAAGGCAUUAUAUAUGUGAAUUAUGCAAUGACAUGCUAUUUAGCCAAGCUUCCUAUAUGUGAAUUAUAUCCUGCCAUCCUUGUUUUUUAUUUCUCAUUGCUUUUGUCGACAAUGUUUGUACAUUCAACUGCUAUUCCUUUGCAUCAGCCAUUUGAAUUGGUGAUGGAGAAAUCUGGAGUGAAAACAAGGUCUUCAGAGCAGACAAUGCUACCUGGUGAAGAAGAUAUGUUCCUGGUUACAGAUAGCUCUUCAGAGGAGGAUUUAGAGGGAGAUGACCAGUCCUAUUAUCCCCCUGAGCUGUAUGCUCAAACUUGGCAGGGUUAUAUUACUCAUAUCAUGCAUAUGUUGUAUUGCAAUGCUUAGUUUUUACACCAUGUACACGAUAUUGAAUGCCAUCUCCUUAGUUGGCACAUCAUAUAUGCGAAUGCCCUCUGCUCACUUCCUAAGUAUAUAAAUCAUAUAUUUUAAUUAUAUCAUGCCAUGAUGUUUACAUAGACAACAUGUAUCUGAAUUAUGGCAUGCCAACCCAUUUUCUAAAGACAUAAUAUAGUUACAUCAUCUCAUCCUGUUCACAUAGUCAUCAUAUUUUGAAUUAUGUCAUUCUAUCCAUGAAUUAUAUCAUGCCAUCAUGUUUCCAUCGACGGCAUGUUUGUGAUUUAUGGCAUGCCAACCACUUUAAUAGACGCAUCAUAUAGUUAUAUCAUGUCAUCCUGUUUACAUAGUCAUCAUAUUUUGAAGUAUGUCAUUCUAUCUUGUUUAGUUAGCCAUUAUACAUGCGAAAUUGUGUCAUGCUAUCAUGUUUAAUUAGACAUCAUAUAUUUGAAAUUAUGUCCUGCUAUUCUACUUGGUUAGACAACAUAAAUGUGAAUUAUUUCAUGCCCAGUUUUGUUCCCUACUAUCCAUUGCACCUGUCUAUCUUACAAUGUCCGUACAUUCAAUUACUUUUCUUGUUUAUCAGCCAUUUCAAUUGGAGGGUGUAAUGGAAGUAUCCGUGUGUCAGGACCCCGAUUCCAAGUCACAUCGAUCUAGCCAGUAACACCUCAUAUCACAUUAUGGCCUCAUGCACGGUAUCCCCACGGUUGUCGCCUUACCAUGGCCCGGGACCGUUUGCGCCUUUUGGCUCACGUAUAUGAUAGUGUCGCUAGCAUCCAUAUGACAGAGAACCCGAGCCGACAUGGCUAGUCGUGAACCCAAAGCGGCACUAACCCAUGGGGACAGGCUUACAUGAAUCAAUUUCAAACAUGUCGGUCAGCAGCGUGUGAAUCCGGGCUGCAGCACUGGGCUAACAGGACUCCGGUAACCCGGGCUGUAACAGGCUAGGCAGGACUCCGGAGGUCACGGCGUGACAUUUCCUCGAAGGGACAGACACAGGAACAAAGUGAAACACAUGCCGGGCAAUCAAGUGUCCUGAGCAGUAGUGCUGGGCUAACAGGACUCCGAUGAACCGGGCCGUAGCGGACUACUAUGGCUCAUGGAAGCACUAGACUACAUUUCCCCAUAAGAGAUGCUGCCAAGGAUAAACAACUAGAUUGUCGGAUCCCACACAUACCAAGCAUUUCAAUCAUACACACAAUAUGCUCGAUAUGUGUAAAUACAACAUGGCAUCACAACAUAACUCUACAACUCAAGUAUUUAUCCAUUAGGCUUCGAGGAGCGAGAUAUUACAAACAUGGGUCUCAUGACCCAACAAUCAUACGAUACAAUGCAAAGCACAUGCGGAAGCUUAACAUGUCUGAGUACAGACAUCUACAAAUGGAAAAGGCUAAGAAGCCAGACUAUCCACCAGAUCCUGCCGAGGGCACAAGAUCGUAGCUAAGGUAUCAAGCUAAACGUCGAGGUCCAGACGGAACCACUAGCGAGACUGACGUCUCUCUAGAAAACAUAAAAUAGGCAAACAUGAGUACGAAUGUACCCAGCAAGACUUACACCAGAACUAUCUACAUAUGCAUGGGUAUCAAUAAGGGGGUGGUGGAGUUUAACUGCAGCAAGCCAGCUUUGACUCAGUGGCUAACCUGAACUACGACUGCAAGCAACUCUUUUGAGGUGGCGCACAUGAGUCCACAUAUUCACCAUCCAAUACACCACUAUGGAUCCGCUCCCGUCUCCCUACGAGAAGGCCAUCCAUAGCACUCACACUUAUCUUGCGAGUUUUAGAGUAUCCACUUUCACUUGUCUAUGAACUGUUAUAGGCAACCCAGAAGUCCAUUACCACGGACACGGCUAUUCGAAUAGAUGAUGUUAACCCUGCAGGGGUGUACUUCUUCACACACGCUCUCACCACUUACCGCCGUAUACACGACAUGUACUCGGCAACCUUCAAGCGGAAGCCCAACGAGGGUGUCGGCCAUGGCCUACCUAAACACUCAAGUCUCUAGUCCAGGUUUAUCGCCUAUCCAGGUUCCAUCCGCAGGGAGUCCGGCCGAGGAUUCCACAUAUGGCCCCGAACGAGUUGAACAGGGUUCCUGAGACACCAAACGGGCGCCCGGUACACCGUGCCACGAUGUAUCUACCGCAUCAUAGCCCACCCCUAGGGUCAGCGCUACGCACGGCCGCCAACACAUAUCCUAUAAACACCAGAAACUAGUUGCAACUCCUGGACAGAGGACAAUGGUGAUCAAGAAGCCGAGAGGGUCCAUUAGUUUUGGGCCCAAUGUGUGGUAGUAACUGUUUCAUGGAUCACAAACACAGAACUCAGUUCCUAAGAACGGUUUCAAUGAGACAAUCCACCAUGUACUCCUACAUGGCCUCUCACCGCUACCUUUACCAAAUCGUGUUCACACACUAUAGGACAUGUUCACCACAUUCCAAUUCAUUCCCGAUGAAUCAAACCCGACUCAACUCUAAGCAGUAGCAGGCAUGACAACAAGCAUGACUGAGUAGGCACAUCAGGGCUCAAACAACUCCUACUCAUGCUAGUGGGUUUCAUCUAUUUACUGUGGCAAUGAUAGGUCAUGCAGAGGGAAGGGGUUCAACUACCGCAGCAUGUAACAUUUGAAUCGUUGUUGUCCUAAUGCAGUAAAAGAGAGCAGGAGCGAGAGAGUGGGAUUGUAUCGGAAUGAACAAAGGGGGUUUUGCUUGCCUGGCACUUCUGAAGAUAGUAUAACUCUUCAUCGGUGUCAUCAAUCUCAUCAUCGGAAUACGUCUAUCGAGAGGGGACAAUCACCGGCAACAGGGAAUAAACACAAUCAAUGCAAUGCAACAAUAUGAUGCCUGCUCAUGACAUGUCAAUAUGAAUGUGUUUUGACUAAUGCAUACUAGGACAGGUUGAUUUGAACCCAUUUGAAUCAAAGAUUGAAAUGUAAGCUCAUGUAAAUAAUCAUAAUGGUGGAUUAUCUUGUUUCACUUGAACAACAUGGUUAAAGUGUUCUAACAUGCAUGCAAAUGGUACAGAUGGAUAGAUUGGAUUUUCUGAUCAUUUUUCAUAUAUAAAAUAUUUCAUUUGGAGUUACGGUUGAUUUUAUAUGAAUUUUAGAAGUUUAUACUAUUUUCUGGAAUUUCCUGAAUAAGAAUAAAUCCAGAAAAUGCUUUACUGUGUCAGCAUGACAUAGGUGUGACGUCAGCAGGUCAAUUGGGUCGGUCAGGUCAAACCUAACCUAUGGGACCCAUACGUCAGUGUCUUAGGCUAGUUUGGGUGGAUGACAGGUGGGACCGGUCAACGGCCAUGUCAGCGAGGUCAACAUUGACGCGUGGGGCCACUGGACUUAGAUUAAUUCUAACUUAUUUCAUUAGCUGGUUACUUAAAACGGUGGGGCCCGUGUGCAAGUGGCUGUGGGGUGGUUAGAUGGCAGUGAUUAGCACUAAUCACGCGGCCACGUCCGCACGGCCGGGGAUUAGCCGCCGGCGACCUCGACAAACGGCGGAGGCACGCCGGAAUCUCUACUCCGGCGACGGUUUGAUUCGCGGGAGGGCUCUACGGGUUCCUGGCAUUACGGCGCUUCUAGUGGUGAUGGCGGAUGGUGCUGGAGUGGCCGAAGAGUGGCCGGCAACGAGCUUUAGCGGCGGCCGGAGCUCGAGCGAGCUCGGGUUCGGUGAUGCGGGGCACGGAAGGAACCAUGGGUGGUCGUAUUAGACUCGCUGGAGUGCGGUGAGUGCAGUCGUGAGCUCGGAUGCGGGCUUGCGCGGCCGUAGCCACGGCUACGCCAUAGCCGGCGGCGAGAGGCUUCGGUCAUGGUUGGGGAUCAGGGCUAGAUCACGUGAGGGACGACGGGGCAAGCGGGAAUCGGGUCAACGGCUCACCGCGGAGCUGCGGGGAUGGUUAGCGGGCUUGGGAGCGUGCCGGAGUGGCCGAAUCGACGGAGAAGGGCGCUGGAGCCGAAGCUUGAAGACGAUGAUGAUGCCGGCUGCUCGGGGCCUCCGUGCUUCCUUCCUUCGGUGUAGAGGUGAAGCGAGAGGUGGCGAAGGCUCUGGAUAGCUCGGGGAGGCAAGGCGACAGCGCUGGGCGCGGCGGCUCAUAGCGGGGUGCUCAGGCGCGUGAGGGGAAGAGCGACAGAGAGAGACAGAGGAAAGGGAAGGGCACAAGCAGAGAGUGAGAGGGCCUGGGGGGUGCGUGGCGUCUCCAGCCAGCUCCAGGCGGUCGGCGGCAAGCAGGAUGAGGUGUGGUGAGCUCGGCGGUGUCGCGGUGUCCCUCCUCUGCCUACUGGCAGAGGUAGGCAAUGACUGGCACCAGGCCAAUCGGCUGGGCCGGUGCAGAUGGACCACCAGGUAAGUGGCCCAGGUAGGUUCUCUCUCUCUCUGGUUUCCAUUUAUAAAUGUUUUCUAUUUUUUGCAAUUUUUUUGUCUUUAUUCAAAAUGCCAGAGCAUUUCCAAAAAUCCUGAAAAUAUUUGUGGGCACUGUUGAAAUUAUUCCCAACGACCCUCAACUAGUUUCAGAAUUAUUAGAGCAUUUAAAAUAUUUAUAGGAUUUAAAUGCCCCAAUUCAAUUACAAUAUGAGUUAAUUCAAAAAUCCAGAAAUGACCUAGAAAUAUGUUUAUCAUUUUUUGCAGAGGUUUUUACCUUUAUCAGAAAUGAUGAACAUUACCAAAGGCAUUUUUGGAUCAUUGAGAAUAUUUCAUUGUGAUCCAAGUUGGAUUUCAUUUGGUUCUAGGGUUUGAACAUCCCCAAUUCAAGUUUAGGCAAAAUUUAAACAUGAUGCACACAUGAAACUAGCCUAGUGAAAUGCCAGAAGCUAGGAUGUGACAACUCACCCCCACUAUACAAGAAUCUCGUCCCGAGAUUCAGGACGUGAGGUGAGAAGACAAAGGGGAAGCAAGGCUUAACACAAUCUUCACGAUCCAGGUUGCACCUCAUAAGGUUGUUGAUUCGAUCACCAUCAUUGUCUCGUUGUCUUGCCCCGAGAACUCCAUCCAACAUGAUAACGGGAAGAAAAGAAACUCUCGAAGAAUCGAUCUUCUCAAAGAUCUAGCAACUCAGGGUCACUCAUCGAGUGAGACAUUGAAACAUCUCUCGAGCUGAGACACAAAACAUAAAUUCAGAGGGAUGGGGUGUAAUAGAUGAUGCAGGUUCACUACGUAGACAACAAUUCCACACCUAAGAGGGUGGUGAACGGUUGUCAACACAGCAAGGAGUUGAGUUGCCACGAUAUCAUAAUGAGACAUCUUAAGGAAGAUGACUCGCAGAAAUAUUUCCUUAAGUGGCAAAAAGAAUUACUUUUGAUUCAAAGAUCAUUGGAACUCUCUAUACCAGCCUAAGGCAAUCACAAACGAUCAUUUGAACGAAUUCGAAAGAGUGGCAUACUCACACCAGAGUGGAUGAUGUGGACUACCUUGUUGAAGACAACGCAAUGGAUGACUUUUGCUUAUCACCGGAAAUGGAUGGAACCCAUGGUAGACUAACACAAUGACGGGUGCAAGCUGGGAACAAAAUGCAAAUACUGGGAAUGAUUCUAGUGACUGGGGAAAAGCUCAACAGACGAGAGUGAUUCCCCUGUUUGAACGGUUAUAGCAUAACCGAGGAAACUGAGAGCGGAUCCCAUUUAAUACUGAAGAUAAAUCCUAGUGCUUUGACGUGCUCUCAAGAACUUGAGCAUUUCCAUAUUCAUCAAGGUUCUAUCAACAUCCGAGUCAAGGAUCCUGGCAACACAUCUUACUACCUUGACGAAUAGUGAUGGACAAUGCAGAUGCAUAAAAGGACAACCCUUUCUUAGCUUUCACCUUAGCGAAGCCAAGGGAAAGAGAUCUGGAUGAUCGACCGAGAGACAUUUAGCAUUCCGCUUCUAAUGUUCUCCUUGAUGUACUGGUUACCACGGUCAUGCUUUAAAGCAUCAACAUAGCCAUCAAGUAGUGGUCGGACUUCGGAAUACAAUAGAUCCAUAAGGAACAACUUCUAGAGUAAAUCCUACGAAAUCCUUAUGGGGAGGUGGCCAACUUCCUCAAUCAAGAUACUACAAUAAUAGGUCUUCCGGCUGGGUGUGUUGGUCACGACAUCCACUUUACCGGUUAUAGAGAGAGCAAUAUUAUAUUUCUUGGAGUGUGUUCCAACCAUCAUAUCUGCCUGAGAUUCAGAUCUGGUUGGUGUCAGGAUAUUCCAGACUCAUCAAGUCUAGAAAGGAGAACAAAAGUUUGCAACACAAAUCGAUGAGAUGACGUUGCGAGACCCUCAGGGAAUGAACUACGGUAGUAAGCUCCAAAACAUGAGACGGUUCUGCUACAAGCAUGUGAACACAUUGUCCUAGACAAGCAAGGCCACCUGGUAGUCUUACAACGAAACACUACCGAGUUCAGGAGGGAACCAUCAACGAGGAUAUUGAAGUCCUUGCGUAAGUCUAGCUCCUAAGAAGAAACUUCUUCUCCUUGAACAAACCAAUCAGUGGCUUGGUGUGCUAGGAACACAUAUGGAGUGGAGGUAAUUAAUCUACCAAACCAUAGAAUACUUCGCACAUAUGCAUGACUGAUUUGGGAUGAUUUCAAGGGAAACAAAACAAACCUUUCUCAAAUUCAUGGUGACAACUUACACCUAGUGCACGUGAACUUAGAGAAAGUCACUUCUUUCACCAAACAUAUACUUCAUGAACGGAACACGAAAGCAUUGCUUACAAAGUUUCCAAUACUAACUUAGAUGUUCAACAUGAAUCAUGGGGGAGACAACAUGCUGCUGAUGGGCUCAACAGCAACUCAUCGAAAUUUCCAUAUCACUUGACUUCCACCAUCAUGUGAACACGGUGGUAGCAUUGGUCAGAACAAAGGAUGUAAUGCUUUAUGCUCGAGGAAUCAACCACGAGUAAGACAACAUUACGAAUAUCAUUGGUUCUGGUUUGACUUGAAGAUAGCCCAUACUCAAGUCAACGUUUUGAACAAGAUAAUAGAUCCAACAACUAAUCACGAGGACCAAUUGGUGAAGAUAUCAUCUUUCUUCAGUACACACACAAACACAAAGAUAUCCCUUCAGAAAGAACCAAAUUCGGCAAAGCCUUUUAUCUUCCAACUCUCCAAGUUGUUGUUUAGCUUAACCAACUAGCUCAGGGGUAUCCAACACAGAUUCUUGGAGAAGGGGUGGUUUAUUGGAAAACCAACUUGAUCACGAACUCAACAUAACAGUCAGGGGACAACCAGGUAACACUUCUGAGAAGAUAUCUGGAAAUCACGAACCACCGAUAUGUUACUAAGCUCGAGAACAAUCUUGCUCUUCAGGGCAAGACGAUGUGAUCAAGAGAGCAAGGGACUGACACAAUCCUAACUCAUUGAUCAAAGAGUGCACCAGAAAUAAGGACUAGGUAGCACGAUCAAUCUUAGGAUGAUGAUUUAAUAACUAGCACACUAAGAAUGAGAGUGUUGUCCAUUAACUACCAUGCAACGGGGUUGCUAGGAGUAUUGAUUUCACACAUCACGAUUCACUUGUCGGUAUUUCGGUUGUGACAGCACGACACCGAGGAAUGAAUAAUGAUGGAGAGAAGUGUCACUGCGUCAAGAAUUCAUAAGGAAAGGUGCAAUUCUCAUGACAUUUCUGACAUAAGGAGUGCAAUACUUCAGGGUAGAACAGACCAAUAGCUUGAUUGCAUGUGAUCUGCAGAACAAAACUACUUUGACCCAAUCCUGGAUAUGGAUGAGGUACUGGAGUUUGUUUCUCCUAGUCAUUCCGGAAUAGAAUGGCUUGACGGACCACAAGAAUAAUAGGCAUCGAUGACACCAAUGCACAACUACUCUUGACCAACAAUUGAUGGACGAGGGUCAGAAUACAACUAAAGAGGGACAACUCAAAGGAACAUAUAAUUUCCUGAGUUGUGGAUGCAUAGAUUAGUAUGUCGAGAAAAGCUUAACAUUCCUUCCGGACAACCCAUGCAGAAAGGUAGGACUGGCAGAUUAACAAUGAACAAUGGAGAACUCAUCAAGAGCACUCUGGUUGUGAUCUUUUGGUUCAAAGAAGUUCUGCCAUAGGCGGUUCGUAGUAUUUGGAAGAAGGAUAUACCACGGACCUCGAGGACUAAUGCAAAGGUUACUAAUAUCCUAAAGGAACUAGCAACACUAUCAACAUGAGGUAAGUAGGGUGAAUCUCGGGUUAAAGAACCCAGGAAUAGAAUACCUACUACUAAAUGGCAUCACGGGAUGCUUUCGAGAGUGGUGGCCAGAAUCAUCACACCAGAACACAAAACAUGGCUAGGUUACUAGGUGACUCCCUAAAACACCUACGGUCAUAGUAAUAGCUCCAACAUAUAUGUCGAGACAAAAAAUUACCUCAAUGCACCGGUUAGUGUGCUUAUUCUGACCAUAAAGGACAUCGGAAACGGAAAGAAAGGAUUGCAAAUGCAUUAGAUUAUCUAGAAACCUGGGAUGACUCGGACAGCAUAACGGAUGUAAAUGCUCAAAAGAUUUGAGACAUCCUGCAAAAUGGUGGCAUAACCACUCAACAACACAAUAUCAAGGUUCCGAGAUCAACUGUCAACACACAGAAAAAGUAGGAACUGAACUAAGAAUUGAAUCCAUCAAUCCUAUAAGUCUAUGGAUUAGUAACAUGUCAUCCUGAUAGAUAGAUUAGUAGGCCUAGUUCUUAAACCCCGAAGAAGAGAAGAGGAUGACUCAGAUCAGAGGGCAUAGGGUAAAGGAGUAAAAAGAGACUUACGUUCCCUUCCACAAUCAUUUCCCUUACAUAACUAAAGCAUUUCUAGACUCAAAUUCGACCAGUUUGGCUUGGUAAUCCUACAGGCAGUCAGGCUCUGAUACCAAAGCUGUCAGGACCCCGAUUCAAAGUCACUCGAUCUAGCCGGUAACACCUCAUAUCACAUUGCGUCCUCACGCACGGUAUCCCCACGGGUGUCGCCUUACCAUGGCCCGAGACCGUUUGCGCCUUUUGGCUCACGUAUAUGAUAGUGUUGCUAGCAUCCAUAUGACAGAGAACCCGGGCCGACAUGGCUAGUCGUGAACCCAAAGCAGCACUAACCCCUGGUGACAGGCUUACAUGAAUCAACUUCAAACAUGUCGGUUAGCAGCGUGUGAAUCCGGGUUGCAGCACUGGGCUAACAGGACUCCGGUAACCCGGGCUGUAGCAGGCUAGGCAGGACUCCGGAGGUCACCGCGUGACAUUUCCCCGAACGGACAGACACAGGAACGAAGUGAAACACAUGCCGGCCAAUCAAGUGUCUCUGAGCAGUAGUGCUGGGCUAACAGGACUCCGGUGAACCGGGUUGUAGCGGACUAUACUAUGGCUCAUGGAAGCACUAGACUACAUUUUCCCAUAAGAGAGGCUGCCAAGGAUAAACAACUAGAUUGUCGGAUCCCACACAUACCAAGCAUUUCAAUCAUACACACAAUAUGCUCGAUAUGUGUAAAUACAACAUGGCAUCACAACAUAACUCUACAACUCAAGUAUUUAUUCAUUAGGCUCCGAGGAGCGAGAUAAUACAAACAUGGGUCUCAUGACCCAACAAUCAUAGCAUACAAUGCAAAGCACAUGCGGAAGCUUAACAUGUCUGAGUACAGACAUCUAAAAAUGGAAAAGGCUAAGAAGCCUGACUAUCCACCAGAUCCUGCCGAGGGCACAAGAUCGUAGCUAAGGUAUCAAGCUAAACGUCGAGGUCCACACGGAACCACUAGCGAGACUGACGUCUCUCUACAAAACAUAAAAUAGGCAAACAUGAGUAUGAAUGUACCCAGCAAGACUUACAUCAGAACUAUCUACAUAUGCAUGGGUAUCAAUAAGGGGGUGGUGGAGUUUAACUGCAGCAAGCCAGCUUUGACUCAGUGGCUAACCUGAACUACGACUGCAAGCAACUCUUUUGAGGUGGAUCACACGAGUCCACAUAUUCACCAUCCAAUACACCACUAUGGAUCUGCUCCCGUUUCCCUACGAGAAGGCCAUCCAUAGCACUCACACUUAUCUUGCGAGUUUUAGAGUAUCCACUUUCACUUGUUUAUGAACUAUUAUAGGCAACCCAGAAGUCCAUUACCGCGGACAUGGCUAUUCGAAUAGAUCAUGUUAACCCUGCAGGGGUGUACUUCUUCACACACACUCUCACCACUUACCGCCGUUUACACGAUAUGUACUCAUCAACCUUCAAGCGGAAGCCCAACGAGGGUGUCGGCCACGACCUACCUAAACACUCAAGUCUCUAGUCCAGGUUUAUCACCUAUCCAGGUUCCAUCCGCAGGGAGUCUGGCCGAGGUUUCCACAUACGGCCCCGAACGAUGUGAACAGGGUUCCCGAUACACCAAAUGGGCGCCCGGUACACCGUGCCACGGUGUAUCUACCGCAUCAUAGCCCACCCCUAGGGUCAACACUACGCAUGGCCGCCAACACAUAUCCUAUAAACACUAGAAACUAGUUGCAACUCCUGGACAGAGGACAAUGGUGAUCAAGAAGCCGAGAGGGUCCUUUGGUUUUGGGCCCAAUGCGUGGUAGUAACUGUUUCAUGGAUCACAAACACAGAACUCAGUUCCUAAGAACGGCUUCAAUGAGACAACCCACCAUGUACUCCUACAUGGCCUCUCACCGCUACCUUUACCAAAUCGUGCUCACACACUGUAGGACAUGUUCACCACAUUCCAAUUCAUUCCCGAUGAAUCAGACCCGACUCAACUCUAAGCAGUAGCAGGCAUGACAACAAGCAUGAAUGAGUAGGCACAUCAGGGCUCAAACAACUCCUACUCAUGCUAGUGGGUUUCAUCUAUUUACUGUGGCAAUGACAAGUCAUGCAGAGGGAAGGGGUUCAACUACCGCAGCAUGUAACAGUUGAAUCGUUGUUGUCCUAAUGCAGUAAAAGAGAGCAGGAGCGAGAGAGUGGGAUUGUAUCGGAAUGAACAAAGGGGGUUUUGCUUGCCUGGCAAUUGUCGGAGUGAAUAACCAUGGGUAGCCUAGCCGGCUCCCCCUGGCCCUUCUGAAAAAAUUACGAGCCGAUUCGGCCCUCAAGAAACCAAGACACAGGGCCGCCUUCCCCUUGCCGGCUGUCUCCAAGCCGGCUAUCGGAAGGCAGCCCGACUUCAGCCCUCAUGAAGAAAAGCCGCGGGAGGGACGGCUCCGAGAAGCCAGCUGUGAGAAGGCUGACUCCAGGAAGCCGGCUCCCAUAAAGCGGUCAAGAUCGUACCCUCGAAGUCUGCAUCCACAUAAUGGCGAUGUGACGGGGCAUGGCUACAGUGACGCCUGCCACCCUCGAAUCUCGGAGCAUGCCUGGCAUAGUGCGCCGUACGGGUGGCCAUGACCCGUCCGGCGCAGCACUGUUGCCACGAUUGACCCUGAUGUCAUCCACGACGGGCUACCAGUACGGCCCACGGGCGGUGGGCCCCUUCGGGCAGAGAGACACACGAAGGCGGCCAGACCUCCCCCAGUCGGCCCAAGAUAGAGCCGGCUCCCCACAGCCGGCUUGCCACCUCCCUCAAAGAAGACGCCCCAUUAAGGAGACAAGAAGCGGUGGGGCUACAGUGAUCACCCACCGGGCGGCGGCACUGUAGCCACGCCCACUUCGGCGAAGCCCUCGCCACCAAGAUUGAGCAACAGUAACCAGCCGCCGACAAGGCCCUGACAGUGGGGCCUGCCUGUCGACCAAGGAGCCGGCAGCCGGCGGGACCAACUAGCCGGCGGGCCCCAGCAGCCGGCGCAGAAGCCGAAGAGCGUAGACACAGACGGCUGGGCCCCGCGCCCAACCGGAUUACCAUUGUACCCCCAGGGGGUAGGCCUAUAUAAACCCCCCGGGGCAUCCAUGCAAAGGGAGAUCAAUCCCUGAUGGUCUCAGACACCACAUAGGGAGGAGAAGAGAGCAAGCCAUGCCCUUCUUCCUCCUCUCACCAAACAGCUCAAGGAGCACCGUGUAGCUACUUGUUCAUCUAGUGACCAUGCGGAGACCCCGCAGAGCAGCAGUAGGGGUGUUAUCUCCACGGAGAGCCCCGAAGCUGGGUAAGAUUCGUCGGCGUGCAUGUCUUCGCCUCACCCCGUUUCCAGGCACCGGCGACGUCUUACUGGCUCCCACAAUGAUAAGCCACCCGUUGGCAUAUGUCGCACCUACCACCCGACAUUUGGCACCCACCGUGGGGCCAGGUGCACUGCCGUCCGGAGACCUAUUCUGGACGGGAACCCUCUUCCUCCCCCGCGAGCGUAGCCAGCCCGGCACGCCCGAUGGCGCUUGCCACAGCGCGCUACAAGGCGUCACCAACAUCUGUGCGGCGAGCAGCCUCGCCGAUCUCCUUGACAAGACUCUCAUCUAUGACGAGCUCGCCUCCGACGCGGGCACCGACCACCUCAUCAACCUCCUAGGCCAGCUCCACGUCUCCGGCGAUCCUGCCCUGGACCUGGAGUCGGUUGGCUGCACUGAUCCGAUGCCUGUCGACUCCAACACGGCCUCACUCGACACGUUCCCCACCAACGUCGCGAUCUACAACGACCCGCUUCACCGGGCCGAUGGCUGCGACACUGUCACCACCAAGGUGAUGGUCAUCGGCCACGGCGGCGCUUCUGAUGAGAGUGGCCACGACGCCCCGCACGCGGCGGUCCACGACUUGUCCAUCCCCCUCCCGGCCGAUGCCGACGCUGAAGCACUGGAAGCUCGCCGCCUUGCCCUCCUCGCGGAGGGCCGGAAGUUGGUUUCCAUGAGACGCCUCGCUGAGGCCCACCGACGCGAGGCCGACCGCGCCGCCUUUGGAACGCCACCCCCAGGCGGGCCUAGCCGGGCUGGCGUUGUCAGACAGCGCGGCUAUCAUUGCCGAUACACUAGGAGUUGACCGCCCAGUCUACGCUACUCCACUCGAGAACCUGCGCGCCGCCCGGGCGGCCGUAGACAAGCUAGAUGGACUGGGGGCCAAAGAACUCCCCCACAUGACCCGACUCAUCCAGCAGCCGAUCGAUGCAGCCGCGCAGCGGGACGAAGCCGACGCCCGCGCGAAAAGCCCUCCCCCGCAUCGAGAUCAUGGCGCGACGUCCCAGACGCCGACUACGGGUAAAACCCGUGCGCGGCGCGAGAAAGAACCAGCUGCCAGCCAAAGCCGAACCCGAAUCUCCAUCGAGCGAGACGCAGAAGGCCACCCCCGGGCCGUGGAUUGGCGGGGCAACCCGCCUCCGCCCCGGCCCUGUGGAGAGAGAUAUCCCACCCCGCCGCCUGUUGCGCGUCCGACUCUCAGCGGCCGGCUAGGUCGCCGCGAAGGAGUCGGCGAGAACGACGCCCGCCAUCGGAUCGACCGCCUCGCGCGAUCCCUGGCGCUAGAAGAAGAAGACGAUGUCGGCCCGCCUUGCUUCGGCCCCCGCAUCCGCGACGAGCCUUUCCCCAAAGGGUUCUCGCUCCCAAGAGACACGCCCAAGUACAACGGCUCCGUGAAGCCGGAGGAUUGGUUGAUCGUACUCCACGGUGGUUAGCAUAGCGAACGGCAACAGGCGCGUUGCCGUGAAGUACGUGCCCCUCAUGCUGCAGGGCACGGCGCGGAUCUGGCUCAACAACCUCAAGCCAUACAGCAUCAACAGAUGGCUAGACUUCACAGAAGCCUUCGUCUGCAACUUCACCAGCACCUACAAGCGGGCUCCCAAGCCCAGACAGCUCUCCUUGUGCGUACAAGGCCCCGCCGAGUCCACUCGCGACUACCUCACGCGUUGGGCCGAGCUCCGCAACUCUUGCGAAGGGGUGCACGAGGGGCAAGCCAUAGAAUACUUCACUGUCGGGUGCCGGGAAGGCACCCUCCUCAAGCACAAGCUCCUCUACGACGAGCCGACUACCCUCGACGAGCUUCUGAUCAUAGCGGACAAGUACGCCACCGCCGACUCCUCGAUGAAGACCGAACUCCGGGUAGACGCAUCCGGAAAGGUACUCAACCCGGUGCCCAAGCCGUCGGCUGGGGACUCCGGCCGACGCCCCCACCAGAACGACCACAAGCGCAAGGGCCCGGUGCCGCCCUCCACCAGUCGGCAAGUGGCCACAGUCGAAGACGAGUGGCCCGAAGCGUGGGCCGCACCCAAGAAGCAGAGGGGCGGCAAGCCGGCUUGGCAGCCGACCUUCUCCUACGAGCAGACUCUCGACGCCCCGUGCAAGUUCCACAGUGACGCGAAGCCGUCCAACCACACGACCCGGAAGUGCCACUGGCUCACCCGAAUCUCUAAAGGCGAAGGGCUUGCACCGCCUCCGCCUGCCAGUCCGCCGCCUCCGGCUCCACAGCCGCCGGCCGCUCGGCCCGCAGUCGGAGCCGUGCACGAUGAGUUCCCCGACGAGCAUGCCGCCUAUAUCAUCUUUACAAGUCAGCCCGAAGACCGGCGCAGCAAACGCCGAGAGCACCAAGAAGUCAACAUGGUUGCUGCCAACCCCGUCGAGCACAUGCACUGGUCAGAAAAACCUAUCAGCUCGAGCCGGACCGACCACCCAGAGGUGAUGCCGUCUCCCGGCUCUUAUGCGUUGGUUUUGGAUGCAACCCUUGCAACGGAUAGACGCGCUGCCUGAUUCUCCCGCGUGCUAAUAGACGGCGGGAGCAGCAUCAACAUCCUGUACCAUGACACCAUGGAGAAGCUGAAUGUCAAGACGAAGCAACUCAUGCCUACUCGGACUGUGUUCCACGGCAUCGUACCCGGCCUGUCCUGCGCCCCCAUUGGCAAGAUCAAGAUUGAUGUACUUUUUGGGGACAAGGAGCAUUUCCGCCGGGAAGCGAUCUGGUUUGAAGUGGUGGACCUGGAGAGCCCUUACCAUGCAUUGCUUGGCCGACCUGCCUUGGCCAAGUUCAUGGCAGUUCCCCACUAUGCAUACCUCAAGAUGAAGAUACCAGGCACGAAAGGCGUCAUCACCGUAGCUGGCGAUUACAAGAAGUCCUCUGAGUGCGCAGCAGCCAGCAACCGGCUGGCCAAGUCCCUUGUGAUUGCCGAAGAAAAGAAGAUGUUGGACCAAGUCGUGGCCAUGGCCGGCAAGCAGUCGGCCUUGUCCCCCGAUCCCAAGGAGCAUGAUGCUCAAGGAUCUUUCCAGCCGGCCAAGGAGACGAAGAAGAUACCUCUUGACCCCGAGCACCAGAGAGGUUUGCCGUCAUCGUGGCAAACCUAAACGGCAAAUAGGAAGGCGAGCUCGCCGAUUUCCUCCGUGAGAAUCGGGACAUCUUUGCAUGGUCCCCCAAGGACAUGCCGGGCAUUCCGAAGGAAUUUGCCGAGCACAAACUACACGUCCAAGAAGACGCAAAGCCAGUCAAACAACCCCUCCGCCGACUGUCGGAGGAGAAACGCAGGAUUGUGGGAGAGGAGAUAGCCCGGCUUCUGGCAGCCGGCUUCAUUAUGGAAGUUUUCUUUCCAGAAUGGCUCGCCAACCCGGUCCUCGUGCUAAAGAAGAACAACAAGUGGCGCAUGUGUAUAGACUACACGAGCCUCAACAUGGCCUACCCCAAAGAUCCCUUUGCCCUGCCAAGGAUUGACCAAGUGAUAGACUCCACGGCCGGAUGCGAGCUGUUGAGUUUCUUGGAUGCUUACUCAGGGUAUCACCAGAUAAAGUUAGAUCCGGCAGAAUGCCUGAAGACCGCCUUCAACACGCCAUUGGGAGCCUUCUGCUACCUGAAUAUGACAUUCGGCUUAAGAAAUGCCGGUGCCACUUUUCAGCGUUGCAUGCAGAAGUGCCUCCUCAAGCAACUCGGCAGAAAUGCCCAUGUCUACGUAGACGACAUUGUGGUGAAGACGGAGAAGCGCGGCACCUUGCUGGAAGACCUCAAGGAAACAUUUGAGAACCUACAUCGGUUCCAAAUCAAGCUUAACCCCGAGAAAUGCGUGUUCAGAGUGCUAGCCGGCCAGCUUCUAGGCUUCCUGGUCUCCGAACGCGGCAUCGAAUGCAACCCAGCAAAGAUCAAGGCCAUUUAGAGAAUGGUGAUUCCCACCAAACUUCGAGACGUCCAGAAGUUUACCGGAUGCUUGGCCUCCCUGAACCGCUUCAUCAGCCGGCUCGGAGAGAAAGCUCUUCCCCUCUACCGCCUCAUGAAGAAGACAAACCACUUCGAGUGGAAUGACCAAGCCGGUCAAGCUUUUCACAAGCUGAAGAAGAUGUUGGCCGUGCCGCUUAUCCUGGCGGCGCCGAUUGAGAAAGAGCCCAUGCUCCUCUACAUUGCCGCAACCAGUCGGGUGGUCAGCACCGUCAUCGUAGUCCAACGCCCAGAAGAAGGCCGAGCCCAGCCGGUCCAGAGGCCGGUGUACUAUUUGAGCGAGGUGUCUACCUCGAAGUAGAACUACCCGCACUACCAGAAGAUGUGCUACGGCGUGUACUUUGCCGCCAAGAAGCUGAAGCCCUACUUCUAAGAGCAUCCCAUCACGGUUGUAUGCACCGCCCCACUGGCCGAGAUCAUAGGCAGCCGGGAUGCAUCCGGCCGGGUGGCGAAAUGGGCCAUCGAGCUGGCCCCCUAUACGAUCUUCUACCAGCCUCGCACCGCCAUCAAGUCCCAAGCAUUGGCCGACUUCCUCGUCGACUGGGCCAAGACCCGGUACCUACCGCCGGCUCCCGACUCCACUCAUUGGCGCAUGCACUUCCACGGGUCCAAGAUGCGCACCGGCUUGGGAGCCGGCGUCAUACUCACCUCUCCCAAAGGCGACAAGCUCGGAUACACGCUGCAAAUUCACUUUGCCGCCUCCAACAACGUGGCCGAGUACGAGGCGCUCAUACACGGGCUCCGCCUUGCCAAAGAACUCGGCAUUCGCCGGAUCCUAUGUCAUGGCGACUCGGACUUGGUGGUCCAGCAAUCAUCCGGUGACUGGGAUGCCAAGGACGCAAAUAUGGCAAGCUACCGCUUCCUCGUUCAGCAGAUCAGUGGGUAUUUUGAAGGAUGCGAGUUCCUCCAUGUACCACGAGCCGACAAUGAGCCAGCUGAUGCCCUGGCUCGAAUAGUCUCCACUCGGCAAGCAAUACCAACCGGUGUCUCUCUACAACGCCUCCUCAAACCAUCUAUCAAGCCGUCUCCAGAGUCCGAUUCCAUCUUCGUGCCGCCUGACCCCGACGCAGCCGGCUCGAAGAACCAAGCGGGGUGACCUGGGGACUUUGAUAGUCGGCCAGGGGGUAUCAGUAGGCGGCUAGAGGACUUCCAUAGUUACGCCCGACCCGGGGACUGCCUUACCCGGCUCGGGGACUGCGGUAGUCGGCCCGGAGACUACACCAACACAACAGGUGGCAGCCGACUCCAGCAUUUCACCGCCCAGCCCGCCCGCCCUAGUCGCAGUAGCCGUUUUAGCAAUAGAAGAAGUCGCAGCUCCGUCAUGGGCUCAAUCCAUCCUCAACUUCCUAACAAACCAAGAUCUGCCGGCUGAUGAAGUAGAGGCAAGACAAGUCCAACGUCGAGCCAGAGCAUAGACAAUCGUGAACAGAGAACUUGUCAAGCGCAGUGUCACUAGAGUCCUCCAGCGAUGCGUCGAGCAAGAGAAGGGCAUUGCAAUCCUCAGAGACAUCCACCAAGGAGAAUGUGGCCACCAUGCGGCCUCAAGAUCACUCGUCGCCAAAGCCUUCCGCCAUGGUUUCUUUUGGCCGACUGCUUUGGAUGAUGCCAAGGAGUUAGUUAAACAUUGCAAAGGGUGCCAACUCUUCAGCUCCAAGCAACACAUGCUGGCUUCCGCACUCAAGACCAUUCCCCUCACUUGGCCCUUCACCGUUUGGGGACUGGACAUGGUGGGCCCAUUCAAGACGGCGCGCGGCGGCAUGACACAUCUACUUGUCGCCAUGGACAAAUUCACCAAAUGGAUUGAGGCAAAGCCGAUCAAGAAGCUGAAUGGGCCGACUACCGUGACAUUUAUCACAGAUAUAACAACUCGGUACGGCGUGCCACACAGCAUCAUCACCGACAAUGGCACGAAUUUCGCCAAGGGAGCAUUGGCACGUUUCUGCGCGACGCAAGGCAUCCGGUUGGACCUAGCGUCCAUCGCCCACCCACAGUCAAACGGCCAGGUCGAGCGAGCCAACGGCCUCAUCCUUUCCGGCAUCAAGCCCCAACUGAUCGUACCACUAGAGCGUUUAGCCGGCUGUUGGCUCGAUGAGCUGCCGGCUGUCCUCUAGAGUCUGCGCACUACACCAAACAAGUCAACCGGCUUCACUCCUUUCUUCCUCGUAUAUGGUGCCGAGGCGGUCAUCCCAACUGACACCAAGUUCGACUCGCCUCAGGUAACCUUGUACACGGAAGCCGAGGCCAAGGAAGCACGAGAAGACGGCAUCGACCUCCUGGAAGAAGGCCGGCUGUUAGCCCUCAGCCGGUCAGCCAUCUAUCAGCAGGGCCGGCGCCGUUACCACAGGCAGAAGGUCAAGCCAAGAUCCUUCCAAGAGGGCGAUCUUGUGCUCCGGCUGAUCCAGCGAACAGCCGGCCAACACAAGCUCUCAGCCCCUUGGGAGGGCCCCUUCAUCAUCAGCAGAGCCUUAGGCAACGACUCCUACUACCUGAUCGACGCGCAGAAGCCGAAGGCACGAAAGAGAGACGACUCCGGCAAGGAGUCGGAACGACCAUGGAACGCCAACCUCCUCCGAAGGUUUUACAGUUGAAAUGCAGUAUGUAUCACGCUAACUUUUGUACUAAGUACGAGACAAUAGGCCCCCCGAGGAGAGCUCGGGGAUGGCCAUCUUUUUCUAUGAAUGAAAAGUAUCAUGCUUAUGGCCUUGUCAUUGCAUUCACUUUUUUCUGUCCGGCACCGGGUUCGACUAGUCGGCCCAGGGACUGGCUGCCUAGAGUUAUAUUAUAAGUCUUACCCGUAGUCAGACAACUAGUGUGCCGGCUCCAAAGCCUUCUCUUGCCAAAAGUCGCAGUUCGAAGAACCGGCUGUCCGGCUGGCAAGAGUUAAGGGCAGGAACGGGUGCCCACACGAAAAACGGUUAGGGACUAAUGGACUAAUAUAACAAAAGCCGGUUUUUCUCCCACUGCCGACCGGCUACCAGAGUAGCCGGCCGGCCGGCUUCCAUUCACCUUGCUCCAAUCUAAGAAAGCUCGAGUACUUGCCUUCCCAGAAGGGGAAGGCAGCAAAGGAAACAGCCUAAGGAUAAAAAGCAUACAUGAAUGGAAACCAAACACGCAAUAAUAUUUACAUAAAAGACCUUCAAAAGGCCAGCAUUCAACAUAGUUCGAAUACAGCCCCAGUGGGUGGAACUGCGCAAGUUUAAUAAAGUUGUUCAAAAGGCAACAAGCAGGAAAAAACAAGGACGUCAGACUAAGCCAAGGGAGCGACUGGCGAGUCGGGCAGGUCGGUGGAGACGGCAGUGCCGGCUGGAGGAGUUGCCGGCUGGCGAACCUCAGCAUGAUCACCGCCUCCCGCAGAGGGCGCGCUAGCACGCGCCUUGUUGCCGGAGGCACGAUCAGGCUGAGGUUGGCUGCCUGCUUCACCAGUCGGCUCAACGUCUUCGCCGUCCUCUCCUUCGUCGUCUUCGCCUUCAUCACUGGAGGCGAUCUCCUCAGCCGAGUCUUCACCCGCUGCCGGGUCCAGCCCGAACCACUCCUCCGGCUGGGCAACGCCGUCGUCAUUGAUCUCAGGAGCGAAGACGCUGAUGUCAGUACACUCGGCGAUCGUCGAAGCAUGCUGAGCGAUUGCCGGCCGCACCUCCUCCAACUCUUCGUCGGCCUCCAGCCGCCAGGUGCGCAGCUGGUCCAGGUUCAGCCCCGGAUACCAGGCUCGGACGAACUCCAGCGCCCGCCCAGCUCCAAGCCGGGCUGCCGACGCCUUCCAGGCCUCGAAGCGGCCAACCGCCACCUCCAGCCAGUCGGCAGUCCGACUCGGGGUGCGGGGAAUCGUCUCGCUUGGCCAGAGGGCGGCCAACACCUGUGCCCCGGCACGCUGGAGGUGGCGGAGCAUACGGUGAGCCGGCUGCAGCCGUGCUUGGACCGCCAAGAGCUGCUCCUCAAGCGUCCGGCUCGUGUCCGGGGUGAUUUCAGCCCCCGCCUGCCGGCGUACCUCGCGAUGGGCCUCGAUGGAUUGGGUUGCGAAGACGGAGUAGCCGGGAAAGUAGUCUGCAUAGAGAACAAAAAGCAGCACAAGUCAGAACACAAAUUAGGGAUCAAAGGGCAAGCAGGGAGUGAAGAAGGCGGCUUACCAUCGAUCAGAUCCUCGAUACGGCUGAAGCCCUCGCUCAGCGCCUGCUUCGCUUCAGCCCAGCCCGCCGCUUCGGUCUCCAACUCGGCCCUCAGGGCGUCCUCGUUGUCCGGCGCCUUCUUCAGGGCCGCCUUGUGGCUCUCCUCCUGGUCGGCCAACUCCUUGACCAGGCGGUCACGCUCCAGGACCAAGGCGAUGUACUCGGCUUCCUUGGCGUGAAGGGCGGCCUGGGCCCCGCUGAGGUGCUCCCUCAAGUCGGCAUUGGCUCCUGCAAGCAUGAAGACAAAGGAAAAAUUAAUAAGGGGAAGUCAUCAAGGAAGAUCCGGCCCGGCUGCUCAGCAGUCGGCCCGAAUCUCGGGAACUACACCAAGUGGGUGCGCUGACGCGCCCCCACAGGAGAUGAACGAGACAAACACGCACUCCGGCUGCUGGUCGGGUCCUCAGUUCUCCGGCCCAGCUCCUGAGCCUGGGAGUUGAAGGCGUCUGCGCGAAGGUUAUGAUACUCCUGGAAGAUUAUACAGGAGGCAAGGAUAAGGUAAGUUGUCAGAACCUAGUAAGUUCCAAGCCGCCUGCGCAGCAGCCGGCUUGGAACUCGGGGACUACACCCAGUGGGUGCGCUGACGCGCCCCCACGGAAGAAAUCGAAAGAGAAAAAUAACCAAGGACAGAAGACUCACCCGGAUGAUGGCCCGCGUCGAGAGAAACUCUUGAGUGUAUCGCUGCAGCGAGGCGGCCUGAGCUUGAAGCCGGUUCCGAACCUCCUGGGCCGCCGCGUUUAGCUCGCCCAUCCCCUCGCUGGGAGUCCACUCGGACGUGCUGACGCCGGCCGCCUCCAGGGCCUCCGCCGUCUGGCUGGCGCCCGCUGCUCGGUGCGGUUCCGGCGCGGAGGCGCCACCCCCUGCGUGCCGGCGUAAUGCCGGUUGCACCUCGAGGCCGGCCCCUGCCGCCGGCUCGCCCCUGGACGGCUGCUCUGGCGCCGCAGCUGAUUGGCCGCUUUGGCCCGCUCCAGUCGGCGCCGUCUGCGACGCCCCCUCCUUGAAGAUCACAGGGUCCGCCCGCCUCUCCAUCACCGGCGGGCCUUGGUCAACCUCCUCCGACGGGGGCACGGGAACCUCGGGGGCCACGGCGUGGAGGGGAACAACGAGCAGCGGAGGCCGGUUGUGCGAGGCCUCCGCCUCCAUCUCCGCGGCUGCCGCCUUCGCCCGGGCCUUGGCCGCCGCGUCGGCUUGCUCCUUCGUCGCCUGGGCGGCCCUUCGCUCCGCCGCCUCUUGCUCCUCCCGCGCCUCCCGCGUGUUCUGCUCUGUGGCCUCCUUAAGGUCGGCACGGGGAUCCAUGCGGCGGGAGCUUGAGGACCCUCCAGUCGGCCCGACUACGGAGCCGCCAGGACCUCACUCGAGAGAAAGCGGCGCCCUGUCCGGCAAGAAAAGAAAGGUUUAGAAGAGUUUCGGACGAAGAAGACAAAAAAUAUAUACGCAAGACAUUCGACGACUUAAGCAGAGAUCGCCUGCGGCUGCUUCACCGCCUUGCGGAAGUGGGCCACCUACGCGGCCGCCUCAUCCCGCUUGGUCGCCGCUGUGGAGGCCUUGGAUUUUUUCGGCCGGCUGCCGAAGAAGGUCGACGCGGCCCGGCGCUUCUGCGCGCCGCCACGGGCAGCCGGCACGGCAGACGAGCCCGCGCCUUGAUGAUUGGGCGCCGGCUGGCGGUGCAGGGCGACUUCGACCUCGUCGUCAUCCGGCCAGUCCUUGAAGCUGGUCCCGAGUCCCGCGCCUCCGGCCUCGUCGCCUUCCCCCAUGAAGGUGUCUUCCAUGGCAGCCACUCCCAGGUCCGGAUCGUCGGCGUCGUCCACCGUGCGGUCGGGGAGGAGCUGGCGCUCUACCCCCGCGGCCCCGGCUGUUGGCGGGAGAAGAGGGUUCUGCAAAAGGCAGACCAAUUGAUCAAGAGUUGGCUAUCAUGAGGUCGGCUACAAAAAAGGAAGAAAAGAAGAAAGAACUUACGGCAGGCGGAGGGUUGGCGCGGGAAUACGGCUCCUUGCCGUAUCGCCAAUCCUCGGCGAGCUUGCAGUUGGAGAUAUAAUUCACCAUGUAAGACACCUCUGCGUGAGGCAUCUCCCUGGUGCUCAGCUGGCACGAGUCGAAGCGGCCGCUCAUUUGGCAGAUCAUGUGAGGCCGGCCUUGGAGCGGAAGAACCCGGCGCUCCACGAAGGUGGCCACCAAGUCGGCCCCGGUCAGGCCCUCCGACUGGAUCAUCACCCAAAGCCGGGAGACGGCUGCGUUCCCGGCCUGAGACAGCGACCUGGACCAGUAGCUCCACGAAGGCUGUCUCCCAGCCGGCGGGCCGGCUACGUAAGCCGGCAGGUUGACGUAGUCGCCUUGCUGGGCGACGUUCUUCACGUAGAAAUAAGACUUUUGCCAAAGCUUCACCGACUGGAUCAGCAGAAUGGACGGGAACGGAUUGUUCUCGCUCGCCCGCCUCAUGGCAAUGAAGGCUCCGUAGGGGCGGGCACGCCCGCGAUGACGGUGCCAAGCUUGCUUUGGAAGAACUCCCCCCAGAGCUCGAGCAUGGGGAGAACUCCAAGAAAACCCUCGCACAGGGUGACGAAGGCCGACAGCAGCAUCACCGCGUUGGGCGUGAGGUGAUGCGGCUAGAGGUGGUAGAACUUGAGGAAGGCUCGAAGGAAUCCGCUCGCCGAGAGGCCAAAGCCGCGCAGGCAGUGCGAGCGGAAGAUCACCUGCUCGGCCUCCUCCGGUGCCGGCGAAAUCUCCCUCGCCGGUGCUUGACGAACCCGCACAAGGUUCUCGCCGGGCAGACGCCGCGUCCGGCGGAGGAGAUCGACGUGGUCCUCGUGGACGUUGGAGCCAUCCCACGAGCUCGACAGUGCCAUGGGAGCGACGCGGCGGGGAGCAAGACGAAGCGACAGCGAAACGGCGCGGCAAAGGAUUGCUGCGGCAGGGAGCAAGACGAAGCGACGGCGGAACGACGCGGCAAAGAGUUGCUGCCGCGAAGAGAAGAAGAAGGAGGGCGAGAAGGGGCGGAGUGAGGGAGAGAGCGCAAGCCUCUGCCGUUCCCCCUCCUCCUCCUACUUAUAGACCGCGUGGCGGAGCCGAGGAGGCGCGGCGUGGGGGAACGUGGGGAUCAACUGCGCCCACUCCCCCACAUCCCGCGAUUAUCGUGCCUUGAUGGUAGAAUAAAACCGCCGCGGGAAGGCGAGCGGUCCAUGUGGGCUGCAGAAGAUCCGUGCUCAGACCAAGUCCUGCGAGUGGCGGGCCCGGGCCUGCGGCGGCGUCCCGUCGCGCACGUGCAUUGGCAGGAUUUCCUCGCCACGUGGCCCGCGUUCCCGCCUACGAGAAACGGAGCUUUUCUGAAGAUGGCGCGCACGAGCAAAGCCGGCCCCCUCGGGAUAGGAAGCUGACCUAGCUUCUCGUCCCUUUGUCAGCCUCGAAGCUCGAUCAGCUUCGGGGACUACUGUCGGAGUAAAUAACCAUGGGUAGCCUAGCCGGCUCCCCCUGGCCCUACUGAAAAAAUUACGAGCCGAUUCGGCCCUCAAGAAACCAAGACACAGGGCCGCCUUCCCCUUGCCAGCUGUCUCCAGGCCGGCUAUCGGAAGGCGGCCCGACUUCAGCCCUCAUGAAGAAAAGCCGCGGGAGGGCCGGCUCCGAGAAGCCGGCCGCGAGAAGGCUGACUCCAGGAAGCCGGCUCCCAUAAAGCACUCAAGAUCGUACCCUCGAAGUCUGCAUCCACAUAACGGCGAUGUGAUGGGGCGUGGCUACAGUGAAGCCUGCCACCCCCGGUCCCGGAGCACGCCUGGCGCAGUACGCCGUACGGGUGGCCAUGACCCAUCCAGCGCAGCACUGUUGCCCCGAUUGACCCUGAUGUCAUCCACGAUGGGCUACCAGUACGGCCCAUGGGCGGUGGGCCCCUUCGGGCAGAGAGACACCCAAAGGCGGCCAGACCUCCCCUAGUCGGCCCAAGUUAGAGCUGGCUCCCCACAGCCGGCUCGCCACCUCCCUCGAAGAAGACGCCCCAUUAAGGAGACAAGACGCGGUGGGGCUACAGUGAUCACCCACCGGGAGGCGGCACUGUAGCCACGCCCACUUCGGCGAAGCCCUCGCCACCAAGAUUGAGCAACAGUAACCAGCCGCCGACAAGGCCCUGACAGUGGGGCCUGCCUGUCGACCAAGGAGCCGGCAGCCGGCGGGACCCACUAGCCGGCGGGCCCCAGCAGCCGGCGCAGAAGCCGGAGAGCGUAGACACAGACAGCUGGGCCCCGCGCCCAGUCGGAUUACCAUUGUACCCCCGGGGGGUAGGUCUAUAUAAACCCCCCGGGGCAUCCAUGCAAAGGGAGAUCAAUCACUGCUGGUCUCAGACACCACAUAGGGAGGAGAAGAGAGCAAGCCGUGCCCUUCUUCCUCCUCUCACCAAACAGCUCAAGGAGCACCGUGUAGCUACUUGUUCAUCUAGUGACCAUGUGGAGACCCCGCAGAGCAGCAGUAGGGGUGUUAUCUCCAGGGAGAGCCCCGAAGCUGGGUAAGAUUCGCCGGCAUGCAUGUCUUCGCCUCACCCCGUUUCCAGGCACCGGCGACGUCUUACUGGCUCCCACAAUGAUAAGCCACCCGUUGGCAUAUGUCGCACCUACCACCCGACAGCACUUCUGAAGAUAGUAUAACUCUUCAUCGGUGUCAUCGAUCUCAUCGUAGGAAUACGUCUAUCGAGAGGGGACAAUCACCGGCAACAAGGAAGAAACACAAUCAAUGCAAUGCAACAAUAUGAUGCAUGCUCAUGACAUGUCAAUAUGAAUGUGUUUUGACUAAUGCAUACUAGGACAGGUUGAUUUGAACCCAUUUGAAUCAAAGAUUCAAAUGUAAGCUCAUGUAAAUAAUCAUAAUGGUGCAUUAUCUUGUUUCACUUCAACAGCAUGGUUAAAGUGUUCUAACAUGCAUGCAAAUGGUACAGAUCGAUAUAUUGGAUUUUUCUGAUUAUUUUUCAUAUAUAAAAUAUUUCAUUUGGAGUUACGGUUGAUUUUAUAUGAAUUUUAGAAGUUUAUACUAUUUUCUGGAAUUUCCUGAAUAAGAAUAAAUCCAGAAAAUGCUUUACUGCGUUAGCAAGACAUAGGUGUGACGUCAGCAGGUCAACUGGGUCGGCCAGGCCAAAAGUUGACCUGUGGGACCCAUACAUCAGUGUCUCAGGCUGGUUUGGGUGGAUGACAGGUGGGACCGGUUAACGGCCACGUCAGCGAGGUCAACGUUGACGCGUGGGGCCAUUGGACUUAGAUUAAUUCUAACUUAUUUGAUUAGCUGGUUAAUUAAAACGGUGGGGCCCGUGUGCAAGUGGCUGUGGGGUGGUUAGCUAGCAGUGAUUAGCACUAAUCAUGCAGCCACAUCGGCACGGUCGGGGAUUAGCCGCCGGCGACCUCGACAGACGGCGGAGGCACGCCGGAAUCGCUACUCCGGCGAUGGUUUGAUGCGCGGGCGGGCUCUACAGGUUCCUAGCGUUGUGGUGCUUCUAGUGGUGGUGGUGGAUGGUGCUGGAGUGGCCGGAGAGUGGUCGGCAACGAGCUUUAGCGGCGGCCGGAGCUCAGGCGAGCUUGGGUUCGGCGAUGCAGGGCACCGAAGGAACCAUGGGUGUUCGUAUUAGACUCGCUGGAGUGCGGUGAGUGCCGUCGUGAGCUUGGAUGCAGGCUUGCGCGGCCGUAGCUAUGGCUACGCCAUGGCCGGCGGUGAGAGGCUUCGGUCAUGGUUGGGGAUCGGGGCUAGAUCACGCGAGGGACGACGGGGCAAGGGGGAAUCGGGUCAACGGCUCACCGCGGAGCUGCAGGGAUGGUUAGCGGGCUCGGGGGCGCGCCGGAGUGGCCGAAUCGACGGAGAAGGGCGCCGGAGCGAAGCUUGAAGACGAUGAUGAUGUCGGCUGCUCGGGGCCUCCGUGCUUCCUUCCUUCGGUGCAGAGGUGAAGCGAGAUGUGGCGAAGGCUCUGGAUAGCUCAGGGAGGCAAGGAGACAGCGGUGGGCGCGGUGGCUCACGGCGGCGUCCUCAGGCGCGUGAGGGGAAGAGCGAAGGAGAGAGACAGAGGAAAGGGAAGGGCACGAGCAGAGAGUGAGAGGGCCUGGGGGGGUGUGGCGUCUCCAGCCAGCUCCAGGCGGUCGGCGGCAAGCAGGAGGCGGCGUGGCGAGCUCGGCAGUGUCGCGGUGUCCCUCCUCUGCCUACUGGCAGAGGUAGGCGAUGACUGGCACCAGGCCUGUGGGCUGGGCCAGUGCAGAUGGACCGCCAGGUAAGUGGCCCAGGUAGGUUCUCUCUCUCUCUGGUUUCUAUUUAUUAAUGCUUUCUAUUUUCUGCAAUUGUUUUGUCUUUAUUAAAAAUGCCAGAGCAUUUCCAAAAAUCCUGAAAAUAUUUGUGGGCACUGUUGAAAUUAUUCCCAACAACCCUCAACUAGUUUCAGAAUUAUUAGAGAAUUUAAAAUAUUUAUAGGAUUUAAAUGCCCCAAUUCAAUUACAAUAUGAGUUAAUUCAAAAAUCCAGAAAUGACCUAGAAAUAUGUUUAUAAUUUUUGGCAGAGGUUUUUACCUUUAUCAGAAAUGAUGAACAUUACCAAAGGCAUUUUUGGAUCAUUGAGAAUAUUUCAUUGUGAUCCAAGUUGGAUUUCAUUUGGUUCUAGGGUUUGAACAUCCCUUUCAGGUUUAGGCAAAAUUUAAACAUGAUGCACACAUGAAACUAGCCUAGUGAAAUGCCAGAAGCUAGGGAUGUGACACCGUGGGAGUAAAAACACGGUCUUUAGAAAAGAUUGUGCUACCUGUCGAUGGAGAUAGAACCACGAUUGUACUUGCCCAAGAACCAGCCCCACCACACAUAACCCAGACUCACGCAGAUUGUACCCCUACCUAGUUGGACAGAGAACCAGCUACACCCCUUCUAACCCGAACCCCAGCAGAUAGAAACCUAGUUCCCGUUGACACACCACCGUCUCCACCACAGAGCACCCAAACACGAGCAGUUAGUAAGGCAACUGUAGUGCCCAAAGCACGAGGACCACCACUCCGAACCCCAAGUCAACGCUUAAAGCAGAAGAAGAAUUGUUCUCGGGUCAGGUUCUGUAGCUAUGGUUCAUACUACUUUGCUCUUGCAUCACUGCAUUUACUCAUACCAACUAAUUUCAAAUUUGAAGGAUCCAAUUGAAACUCCAAUGGCGCAACAGGUAUGUUUUAAACCUGUUUCUUUAACGUGUUUGCUGUUGUAACUUGCUCUAUGUUGAUUUCAGUUUCAAUAGAAUAAACAGUUACAUUCUCAUGCCAUGCACAUUACAAGUGUUGUUAUUGCUGUGUAGUUUCCCACACUUAUAUUCUGUCUAUGUUGCUUUGUCUUAAAUAGAUAUGAUUCAAACUGUAUCUAUCUUGAUUUGGCAACAUAAACUAGAAUGAUAUAGACCAUACAGUGACCAUACUACAUAGAUAUAUGUUUGUUUCAUGUUGUUAUCCUGUCCACCUUACUACUGAACUAGUUUACCAAAAUGAGUUUCAUAUACUACAUUGUAAACUUGUGAUGUGUUUGUUUGUUUCUCCUUUAGAACGCGGAUAAAAUAUUGGAGAAGAGUACCCCGUUAUGCAAUGGUAAAGGAAGUAAUGCAGAUCGUGUUCAAGAUAGUGAGACAUCCCUGUUGUUCUCCAAGAAAGUUGAUAAAAACUAUAUUGAAGACACUGAGACAACCCCAAAGUCCUGUCUUGAUGUAGUGUUCGAGUUACUGGCUACUACUGCUGGCACCAGCUCUUCGAACUCGCUGCCUGAAUUAGUUCGGCUUCUUGAGUCUCAACUUCAAGUUGAAAGACAUUGAUCAGAUGUUAUGCGACAGGAAGCCGAAGGACUGAGGAAGUCCCUGCAGAAUUCAGAUGCAUACUUUCUGGUGCAACAGCAAGUGAUGGAGGAUUUAAGCGCCAAACAAGAGAAAGUUAAUAAGCUUGCUAAGCAUCUUGCCAGCAUUAUGGGUACCCAGGAUAUUGUUUCUUGAGCUCUUCUGAAGUGGUUUUAGUUCUGGACUUGUUUUGCUGCGGCGUUUAUAUGCUGCUUUGUUCCCUAUAUUUGCACUUGGGGCGAACUUUGAUGCCCAGUGGAUGUAAUAUGUGUAAUAGCCAUGAUAGCCUAGCGUAAGUUGCUUGCUUAUUUAUUUCCGUUGUCUUGUUUAUUUGUUUUCUUGUAGUUUGUGCAGUUCUUUUUCCACGGUUUGCUAGUGGCUGCAAUAACCUAUUUUUUAAAACUAGGCCACAUUAACAAUGGGCUACAUAUUUACUAUAGUUAACAUGGGCCUCCUACGGGACGUAGAAACAAUGGGCCUUCUAAGGGCCAUAGAAACAAUGGGCCUUCUAUGGGUCGUAGACACAAUGGGCCUUCUACGGGCCGUAUCAUCAAUGGGCCUUCUACGGGCUGUAUGAUCGGUUAGCCAAACAUGGGCCAAUAACAGACCACAUUUUGGUCGUAAAUGGGCUAGAGUUGAAAUCGUCCGUUCAUGGGCCGACCAUAACGGGUCAUCCUUAAUAGGCCGUAUUUGAUGACGCUAUGAAAACGGCCCAACGUAUUAACGGGCCACAAACGCACCGACUGUAACCACGGGCUGUAUUUGGCCCACAAGUAGAAAAUGGCAGUAACGGGUCAAAAGUAAAUGAAUGCUGGAAAUGAGCCCAAGAAUAAAUGGGCCCUGAGAAGGCCGAAAGAUAACAUGGGUUGGAAACGGCCCAAUGGAAUAAUGGGCCGUUAAUGGGUAUAAAAUGAUACAAUGUUCAUUAUGGGCCAGUUUUACCACGGGCCGUUAAUGGGACGAGGGUUACUAAGGGCCUCAUAUGGGCUAAAAGACAUCAUGGGCCAUACAUGGGCCGGAAGUUAAAAUAGGCCGGAAUUAUAUUGGACGGCCCAGAUGACGCUACUGGGCCUAAUUCAGAUAGUCCGUAAACGGGCCCUGGGUUAGCGGGUUGUAAAUGGGCUAUAUGCGAACAUGCCAUUAACAGGCUUGCCAUGGGCCGGCCCGCCACCUUUUGACCAAGUCAAACGGGCCGGCCUUUUCACAGGAAUGGGCCUCUGUUGGUCCGUGCCAUGUGUCGACGUAUCAUAGGCGCUUUGGGUCCAAUGAGUGGAUGACAUCUGUCCCAACGGUGAGCCGACACGUGUUUCCUCCAGCCAAUGAUGAUUUUACACGUGGAAAAUCCCCAUUGGUCGGGGCUAUUAACGGGUUAUCGGAUCCAAAACCAGACCCGAUAGCUUAACGGUGUUCCGUUACGGUGGAUGCCACGUGUCGGUCACCCUUGACGAAAGCACUUCUGUGACGCGUGAUUUAUCGUCAUGGAAGUGGACACUUCCGUGAUGAUAAUUUUGGUAAUGUCAUGGAACACUUCUACGACAGCACAGGUAUGACUAUCUUGAUUCUGUCAUAAAUUUGUCAUGGAUGUACAUGCAUGACAAAAAACGUGACCUACGGUGACAAACACGUAUCAUCAUGGAAGUUUAUUUCUUUUGUAGUGCAAUACAAUGGCAAAUUGUAUAGGUGCACUAGUUCGGUGAAGAGAUGAUGAUAUUGUAAUAUGGUUGGUAUAUAUUUUUAUAAUAUGAAUAAAUAAAAACAGCAAGGUAGCAAAUAGUAAACGGGCACAAAAACGGUAUUGCAACGCUUGAAAAUGAGGCCUAGGGUCCGUACUUUCGCUAGUGCAAUCUCGCAACAAUGCUAAUAUAAUUGGAUCAUAUAACCGUCCCUCAACGUGCAACGAAAAAUCACUCCAAAGUUCCUAUCUAGUGGAUAACAUAUGACGGAAUUCUUUGUAGGGUACAAAACCACCUCAAAGCUAUUCUUUCCGAUCAAUCUAUCCUAUAGUUCGUACUAAAAUAACACGAAGCUAUUAUUUCCGAUCGAUCUAACCAAGAGUUCGUACUAAAAAUAACACCAAAGCAAAUUCAGAAUCAUAAUAUUCAAUCCAACACAAAGAACUUCAAAGAGAGCCCCAAGAUUUCUACCGGAGAAACAAAGACAAGAACGUGCCUCAACCCCUAUGCAUAGAUUACCCCAAUGUAACCUCGGGAAUCCGCGAGUUGAGUGCCAAAACAUCUAUCAAGUGAAUAAAUACGAUACCCCAUUGUCACCACGAGUAUUCAAUUGCAAGACAUAUAUAAAGUGUUCUCAAAUCCAUAAAAGUAUUCAAUCCGAUAACAACGAAAUCUCAAAGGGAAAAACUCAAUUCGUCACAACAAGAUAGAGAGGGGAAAACACCAUAUGAUCCGACUAUAUUAACAAAGCCCGCGAUACAUCAAGAUCGUGACAUCUCAAGAACACGAGAGAGAGAGAGAGAGAGAGAGAUUAAACACAUAGCUACUGGGACAAACCCUCAGCCCCGACGGUGGACUACUCCCUCCUCAUCGUGGUGGCCGCCAGGAUGAUGAAGAUGGCCACCGGAGAUGAUCCUCCCCUCCGACAGGGUGCUGGAAUGGGGUCUAGAUUAGUUUUUUGUGGCUAUAGAUCAUUGCAGCGGCGGAAAUUAUGAUCUAGGUUAACCCCUGAGGGUUUUGGAAUUUUUGGGAAUUUAUAGGGUAAAGAGGGGUGCGGGAGGCCACCGAGGUGGGCACAACCCACCUGGGCGCGCCUGGGGGCCCAGGCGUUCCCUGGAGGGUUGUUCCCCCAUCGGGGCACCCCCAUGGUGCAGCUCUGGCCCAUUGGAAGUGUUUUGGUCCGUAAAAAAUCCUCAAAACGUUUCGCGGUGUUUGGACUCCGUUUGAUAUUGAUUUUCUGUGAUGUAAAAAACAAGCAAAAAACAACAACUAGCACUCGGCACUGGGUCAAUAGGUUUGUCCCAAAAAAUGAUAUAAAGUUGCUAUAAAAUGAUUGUAAAACAUCCAAGAAUGAUAAUAUAUUAGCAUGAAUACUUCAUAAAUUAUAGAUACGUUGGAGACGUAUCAGGACAUAAUGCACGUUCUUCAGCCGCACGAUCUUCGCCGAAGUAAACUUUAGAUCGACCAUGCCAACACCACGAACAGAAGCACUUGAACCGUUGCCCAUCAGCACGGUUGAAGUCCCUGUGGUCUGAUAAGACGAAAGCAUGGAAAUAUCACCACAUACAUGCACAUUAGCACCCGUGUCAAUUAACCAAUCAGGAGAAUGGCAUACUGAAAGAAUAGUGGGAAAUGUACCAUACCCAGCAUCCUUCAUGUCAAUAUAUCCAAUGACAACAUUAGCGUCUUGCCGCCUUUUCCAAGAUGACACUUGUCAUAGCGAUUAGGGCAACUAGGAGCCCAAUGAUCAGGAUAUCCACACACAUGACAAACACCUUUCUUCUUGUCAUUCUUCUUCUUGAAGUUCGUGUGUUGUACAGCCUUGUUCUUCCCAUCAAAUUUUGCUUUACCAUCAAACUUGCCCUUGUUCUUGAACUUGUGGGGCUGGAAGUUUUUCUUCUAUACCAGAUUGGCACUAGAACCUCCCUCAAUACCUCGAGCUCGAUUAUCCUUUGCUCUCGCCUUUUCUUCCACAUCAAGAGUACCAAUGAGAUCCAGAACGGAAAACUCCGGUCUCUUAUGAUUCAAUAAAGUAGCAAAGUUCCUCCACAUGGGAGGAAGCUUAGUGAUAAUGCCUCCAGCAACGAACUUGCUGGUAGCAUACAAUUGAAGUGCUCAAGUUCUCUAGCAAAUGACUGUAUCUCAUGAGCAUGCUCAACCACGGAGCGCUCUUCGGUCAUCCUGUAAUAAUAGAAUUGCUCCAUGAUGUACGGCUCAGUGCCAUCAUCCGAGACCCCAAACUUGGCCUCGAGUGCAUCCCAUAUAUCUUUUCCAUUAUCAAUUGACGCAUAAAAAUCAACUACGUCCUCACCAAGAACACUCAAGAGAGCAACCUUAGACAGGAUAUCCAUUUUCUGAAAAGCUUGUUCCUGUUGAGCAUCAUAUUCUCCUUCAGGCUUGCCAAGAGUGGCGCCAUAGCAACUCAUGGUUUGAAACCAUAAGACUGCUCUCACGCGCCACCUCUUAUAGUGGAUACCCUCAAACAUUGGAGGUCUCAUGGAAGCAACAAAACCACUCGAGGUAAAUUGCCUAUAAUAAGAUUUUGGGAUUGUUCGAAAUAUGAGCAAUUUACCGAAUAAUUUUAUUAACGGAAAUACUAAAUAAAGCAUGACUAAUAUAGCAGAGAUAAAUCAAGUCAUGCAAUUUGAUAGAGAGAAGGUGAAUAGCAUAUGCAAAUAUGAACUAUAACCAAACAUAUCUAGAAUAAACAGUAGAGCAAGUUGCACAUAUGAAGUAGAAACUAACAUAUCUCGGAGAGAUGCUAGAACAAGGAACUGUGGCAGGACCUCUAACAGAAAGAGGAAGAAAACGUACGGGAUAGAAGUAGCAGAAGCACUAUACUUGGGGUCGGUGUCCUCGCCAGCCAUGUCGUCAAGAAGGUUGUCGACGUCGGGGAAGAAGUCGUCGUCGGGGAAUUAGUCAUCGGAGUCCGGGGCGUCCAUGACGAAGAAGUCCGUAGUCGCACGGAGUGCUCCCCAAAAACCUUAUCACCCUUCUCCCGUGCGGGACUCAAAGAGGUGAGGUUUCAGAGGCCUACUCUUGCGACCUGCGGUGCAUGCCGCAAGCCGGGAUGGGGAAGAAUGUAGCAGCAGUGCAGUGCUCAGGAACUUGGUGGCGAGAGAGAAAUGGUCUUUCUGAUGUACCUCUCUGGUGAGGAGCGACCUCUCUUAUAUAGGCACGGGAGUAAGAGCCGAACAGGCUGCGACGGGAGGUGAAGCAACAGAGGAAGACGAAGCGAACAGGCAGUAGGCGAAGAGGUGCGCCAUUCGGAUUCAAUCUCCACUACAGCAAAAACAUUGCAGCUCCCGAGUGACAUUUCGUAUACCCAUAGUGUGUGGCAAAAAUUUAGACAUCGGCUCGGCUCAUUCCCGCAACCCGCGGCGCGUCAUGACGAGGCGUGGCAUGGUGAGGCGGGCGGCGGCAAAGGAGCGCGCAUGAAUGUCCCUCUUGUUCUCAUGCUCAUACAUGUGGUGGAACAUCCUCCCUUAUAAAGAGGUCCAACACCCACUAAACUAGCAAAGUGGGACUAAACUUUGGUUCCACCUCUUUCCUUGCACAAAUGGGCUGAGUGGGCCUCUAGGAUUUAUUAGGAAUUUCUGAAAUUGCUAUUGGGCUGACCCGAAAAUAGAAUAAAUUCUAGCAGGGUGGACCGGUGCUUCUGUGUUGUUCUUACUUGAACCAGCCUCCAACUUAUGAUUACCCCCUCUCGCAUGCAACCACAACUAUGAAAGAAGAAUUAAGAUAAAUCUAACUAUAGCAUGAAACAUAUGGAUCCAAAUCAGCCCCUUACGGAAUAGCACAUAAACUAGGGUUUAAGCUUCUUUCUCUCUGGCAACCCAUCAUGUAAUAGCUACUCCACAAUGCCUUCCCUUAGGCCCAAAGAUGGUGAAGUGUCAUGUAGUCAACAUUCACAUAACACCGCUAAGGGAAACAACAACAUACAUAUCAUCAAAAUAUCAAACAAAUACCAAAUUCACAUGAUUACUUAUGACAGGACUUCUCCCAUGUCUUCAAGAACAAAAGUAACUACUCACAAAUCAUAUUCAUCUUCAAGAUCAGAGGGGUAUUGAGUGUCAUUAAGGAUUCUAACAUAUAAUCUUCCACCAAAUAAACAAACUAGCAUCCAGUACAAGAUGUAAUCAACACUACUAGCAACCCACAGGUACCAAUCUGAGGUUUUGAGACAAAGAUUGAAUAGAAGAGAUGAACUAGGGUUUGAGAUGAGAUGGUUCUAGUGAAGAUGUUGAUGAAGAUUGGUCCUCUCAUGAGAGAGAGAGAGAGAUUAAACACAUAGCUACUUGAACAAACCCUCGGCCCCGAGGGUGGACUACUCCCUCCUCAUCAUCCUGGCCGUCGGGAUGAUGAAGAUGGCCACCGGUGAUGAUUUCCCCCUCUGAGAGCGUGCCGGAACAGGGCCCACAUUGGUUUUUCAUAGCUACAGAGGCCUGCGGUGGCGGAACUUCUGAUCUAGGGUUAUUUCUAGGUCUUUCUGUACUUAUAGGAUUUUUUGGCGUUGGUUUCACAUGAAGAUGGGCUUCAAGGGGCCCACAAGACACCAGCACACGCGCAAGGCACCUGGCACACCCUGGUGGGUUGUGCUAACAUUCUUCACCUUCUGGUCCUCCCAUGAAGCUUCUAGUGCCUCUUUUGGUCCAAAAAAUCAUCAAAAAGUUCUUCUGAAAACAGCGUCAGUCUGGGUUAGUUCCAUUCAAAUCAUACCAAGACCAUAUAGAAUUGUUGUAAACAUGGCAUGAAUACUUCAUAAAUUAUAGAUACGUCGGAGACGUAUCAGGGGGCUACUCAUUCACUACAUCGUUUAGCAGGCCAUGAGAUCAUGUCCUCGGACAAAUACAAGCUCAAACGAACAAGCUAAUUUGAAAUAAAGGUAGAGACAUACCUCGAAGCUUGUGAUGAGGCUCUUGAAGACAUCGUGCCGGCUAGCCCCGUGGACCAGAAGCCUUGCAGUGCCGCACCUAUCAUGGCGCAGUGCUCCUCCUUGAGGGAGGUGCCCUUCAAGGUCUCAUCCAUGUCUGUCGCUCACCCGAUCCUAGCUUGCCCUUGAGAACGAGGUGGAGGUGGAGGGGCAACCUCGGACCCAGACAUCGGGGGGCUAGGUCGAGCUGCAUUGUCGGAGCUUCAGUAGACAUCGGCUGGACCAAUGGCUGGUCCAUCCCUUACUUCAUGACCUCGGGGAUCGUCUCCCCCGGGUCCUGUUGAGCCGAGGUCUCAACCUCGGCCAUGAUGAACAGUUCAUCGGCCUCUAUCGUGUUGGCUUGUUGGGGAGCUAGGAUGGACAUCUCCUUCCCAAGCCCAUCAUGACCUGGUGGAGAAGCAGCAGGCUCUGAGGUCCCACUGGCAGAUGGUAGCCCGCUUGAUGAACCUCUAGGGACCACCUUCGGAGGACUUCAUAGAAAAGGAUGCUUCUAUAUUAUUUCUAUUUCUAAGAAGACUAUUCAAGAAUGAAGGUUAUAAAGAAAAUUCCUUACCCUUUUGGUGCCGGUUUCUUCCUCCUCAUGGUGAGGAGGUCCUCUUCUGAGUCGUCGGAGAGCUCGACUCUCUCUGACGAAUUGUCGGCGGCCCGAGCCGAGGUCCUUUUUAUGUCUUCGAGCCCUUGGGCUACAUGCCGGCUUCGACGCCCUCCAACGCCGCCCUCUUCCCCUUCGGGGGAGGGUUUUCUCCUUCAUCAUCCUCCUCUACAUCGCUGUUGUAGGCGGAGGAGGCACGGGUCUCCUCGAACCGGGCGACCAAGGUCUCUUGAGUCCGAGCACUCGUCUGCCCUUCAGGGACAUCAUCCCUAUGGGGGCCACCAUGUGCGGCUCUUCUGUGAGGAUGGUAGCAAGCAGGGGAGUCAGUUGCUCCUCUAGUAGUGGGGUUGGGCAUCACAAGUUCUCUGCCCAGGCCAACCACUUCUUUAGAACAUCAAGCAUAGAAAUUUGUCAGAAUCUGCCUUACCUUGUGGAAAACAUAAAAAUGGAUUUGUGUGUUAAAAAACUUACCAAGGGGGCUUUGUAGCCAUCCUAGAGGCCGAAGUCCUUCCCUUCCUUGGGGAUCUUGUCCUUGGCUAGCUUCAUCCACAUGGUGGCCAAGGUGGAGUGGAAGAAGGAUGUGAGAGGACCCAUGUCCUCGGGCUUUUGCGCCCACAUCAGGGUAGACCAAAGCUGGAGCAGGAGCAUGUGGCGGUUGAGCAUGACGUCGAUGACGUCGGUGAGUUGCACGUUCUUCAUGGCCCACCACUUGAUCCUCUUGAGCAUGGCCUCCACCUCGGGUGGAUUCCCCCAGGCUACGCCCUUCUCCUUCCAGGACUUGAGUUCCUUAUGAGGCCCGGACGAGAAGGUUGGGACCUCGGCCUGGCUAGGGGCGAGUGGCUCGGUGAUAUUGAACCACUCUCGUUGUCACUCCUUCAUCAUUUCGAUGAAGGUACCCUGAAACCAUGCGGCUCUCUGGUUCUUAUUGAUCAGGGCCCCUCUGUAGUCCGCGAGGUCAGAGCUACUUGACUUCUGCUUGAUUCCGAAGGUCUUCAGUCAUAAGCCAAAGUGUGGCUCAUAGCGGAGGAAGGCCUUGCACACCAUUAUGACGGAGGUGAGGUGGUGGAUGGAGUUCGGGGCCAUUUGGUGGAAGUCGAGGCCAUAGUAGAACAUGAUCCCACACACAAAGGGGUGCAGCGGGAACCCUAAUCCUUGGACGAGGUGGGGGACAAAGACUACUCACUCCCCUGCGUUGGGAGCGGGCAAUUGCUGGCCAACGCCUGGAGCGCGGGCAACUAUAUGUUGGUGGGGAGGUACCCCGCGCUACACAGCUCAAGGAUGGUGUCGUAUAUCACCGAGGAACCACACCAGAAUCCCUUGAGGGUAUCAUCCAUGGCUGAUGAGGAAGCAUGGACUUGCUAAGGGAGAAGGGGUGUGGAUCAGAUCUUAGUGUUGGAGCUAGACGAAUCAGUAGAUGGGAAGAAUGGGAGCAUGGUCAGUUGCGAUGUCCUCCAUUUUGCUCUUAUAGGCAUGUGAGAGGCAAAGAGUCCCCCUCGUUGCGCUGAUAAACUCGCCACUCCCACCAAAGAUGUCGUUGAGCGUAUGGGGGGAAACAAAAUCUUGAUGAUAUCCCUGAUAAAACGGGCACGAUCUCUGCUUCGAAGGGACGUGGCACCAGAAAGUUUUCCUCGGCGCGCGAUUCAAAGAGAGCAAUAGCUGCUCGACCUGUCGUGCGGUGAGUCGUUUUGAUAAAGUUACCAGAUGGAGUGGAACCAUUCACACCGAGGUGCUUAGUCUUCGGGGCUAAGAUACUGAAUCUCUUCAGGCAGAAGGGCUAGGAUCGGUCGAGCUUUGGCUCGCAUCCCUUCUUUGAAGGGGUGGUUUGAAAAUUACAGGGAGGAACUCGUCUAUCGAGCCAAGGACUCUGGAUCCAAGGUUGUUGUCAUCAGGAAAAUCAUCCUUGACAUAGAAGACCAGUUCAGGGGCUACUGAUCACCAUGUCCUGGGUUAGGGGGCACUAACCUAGUCAGCCUACUCUCCUUGGGUUGGGCCGACAAGCCCUCAUUCGUGGUCAAUACGGACUAUGGAGGCCAUACGUAGGAGGCGUGAUCAAUACUACUGUCGGUGUCAAAAUCGGAGGAUCUCGGGUAGGGGGUCCCGAACUGUGUGUCUAGGAUCGAUGGUAACAGGAGACAGGGGACACAAUGUUUACCUAGGUUCGGGCCCUCUCUAUGGAGGUAAUACCCUACGUCCUGCUUGAUUGAUAUUGAUGAAUAUGAGUGUUACAAGAGUUGAUCUACCACGAGAUCGUAAUGGCUAAACCCUAGAAGCCUAGCCUAUAUGACUAUGGUAAUGAGUAUAUACUCUCCGGACUAACCCCUCCGGUUUAUAUAGACACCGAGGGGAUCUAGGGUUUACAUAGAGUCGGUUACAUAAGAAGGAAUCAUCAUAGUCGGUCGCCAAGCUUGCUUUCCACGCCAAGGAGAGUCCAAUCCGGACACAGGUACAGCCUUCGACCUUCAUGUCUUCAUAGCCCAUCAGUCCGGCCCAAUAGAUAAUAGGUCGGACGCCCGAGGACCCCUUAGUCCAGGACUCCGUCAGUAGCCGCUGAACCUGGCUUCAAUGACGAGGAGUCCGGCGCAUAGAUUGUCUUCGGCAUUGCAAGGCGGGUUCCCUUCAAUCCGAACUUCAAGAUAGUCUUCGGAUGCGAUGAUAGUAUCCGGACCUUCCACACAUACCAUACAUAACCGUAGAGAGAAUAUAUUUUCACAUGAGUCUAAUCCGCUGACAGUUUUUACAACAUGACAUUACGUCUGUUCGGUCAUAAUUUCGAACCGUUUUUUGUCUGCUGCUCCACGUUUUGAGACCUGGUUGCUAUCGGCACGUCUUGUCGAAGCGGAGAUCAUGCCCCCUUAUUACGGGAUUCUCAUCAAUACGGGUGUGGGUGACCCAACCGUGCCAUUUGCACGGCCCUUGCGAAUAGGCGAGUUUGCGGUGAAUGGGGAGACGCUUGAUAUUCAUGACCUUUAUAAGGGGAUAAGGAUUCCCUUCCUUCACCCAUGCCUCUGCUCCUCCUCAGUCCUUUCGUCCCUGAGCUCCAGCGCCCUAGCUUUUAGCUUUUCCCUCAACCGAGCACUCCAAAAAUGUCUGGAUCCGGAGCUGGGGGUAAUUGGAUGGCCUCCUCCGUCAAGAAGAAGGAUAUCAAGGUGCACCGGGAGUCCGGAUAUCUGGCCAAGGAGAUCGCUCACCGACUCUCGGAUAAGGGACAUGUCAUCCCUACUCUAGAGCCCCACGAGAGGGUUGUGUUUCUCACACAUUUCGUCUGUGGGCUGGGCUUACCUCUUCACCCCUUCGUCCGUGGGCUGGGCUUACCUCUUCACCCCUUCGUCCGUGGACUGAUGUUUUACUACGGGCUAGACUUCCAUGACCUAGCCCCCAACUUCAUCCUCAACAUCAUGGCAUUCAUUGUCGUGUGCGAGGCCUUCCUCCGCAUCCCGCCUCAUUUCGGCCUAUGGUUGAAGACCUUCAACGUGAAGCUGAAGGUGGUGAGCGGCCAACAAACAGAGUGCGGAGGCACCAUGGUGCGCAAGAUUCCCAAUGUUACCUGGCCUGAAGGCUCAUUCACAGAGACGGUGAAAGGGUGGCAAUCGAGGUGGUUCUAUAUCACAGAAACGCGCGACGCCAACUGGGUGGCGGCCCCCGAAUUCAGAUCUGGAUUCCCAAUGCGGCUCACCUCCUGGCAAGAGAGGGGCCUAACCUGGGAUCCCUUGAAUGAGCUGACUGGGCUCCAGACGUGUGUCCAGAACAUGAUAGAUAGGGAGAUCAAACUCGUCAACGUGGUCCAGGUCAUGCUCAUUCGUCGGGUCCUUCCAUGCCAACGCCGGACUUGCUAUUUGUGGGAGUACAAUCCGGCCAAGCACCAGACGCUACUAGAGCUCUUCGGCAUAAUGCACGAAGAAAUCUGGAAAGUGCUCUUCAAGGCCGGCGAGACGCCACCGCCCACGACCGAAGAUCGUGGGCUUCGCUUAAAACACCAGGCUAACCCGGUAAGUUCUUUUAAUGCUUUCAAGGCGUACCCGUUACUAGCAUAUUUUGAGAAAAAACCUAAGCUUUCCUACCCGUGUUUUCAGGCCUGGAUCAAGAUAGCGGAGGGGAUUAACUGUCCGGCUCUGCUACCCAAAGACCAAGAAUUCUCAUUACUGACGAGAAUGCAUUUCCAGCACCUUAUGAGGUGCUAGCGAAGACGGCCAAGAGAGCAGCCAAAGUGGCCAAGAAGGGCCCUCGGCAAAAAGGUGUUCCGGACAUGAUGUCCAAAGACGAGACUUCCCCUUCGUCCACUGAUGAUGACGACGAAGAGGAAGAAGAAAGCGACUCCCCACCUGAGGUGGAGAGGAAGAAUAGAGCGGCCCCCACCAAUCCGGAGGCGAAAGCGCCUAAGAGGGUUAGAGGCUCCCACGCGGAUAACUCUGUGUGGGAUGUUGACAGCAGUCUGGAGUGACCUCGCUGGACCAAGCCUCGUGCCGCCGAAACUACCAGGAUCCGAAAACGUCUGGCCUUCCCGGUUUGUAAUAUUGAUAUACCUUAAACCUUGUUAUUGCAGUCCAGUGAUACGUCUUCAACGUAUCUAUAAUUUUUGAUUGCUCCAUGCUAUAUUAUCUACUGUUUUGGACAUUAUUGGGCUUUAUUAUCCACUUUUAUAUUAUUUUUGGGACUAACCUAUUAAUCGGAAGCCCAGCCCAGAAUUGCUAUUUUUUGCCUAUUUUAAGGUUUCGAAGAAAAGGAAUAUCAAACGGACUCCAAACGGAAUGAAACCUUCAGGACGUGAUUUUCUCAUCGAACAUGAUCCAGGAGACUUGGACCCUACGUCAAGCAACCAACAGGGAGACCACGAGGUAGGGGGCGCGCCUACCCCCCGCCCAGGCACGCCCUCCACCCUCGUGGGCCCCUUAUUGCUCCACCGAUGUAUUCUUCCUCCUAUAUAUACCUACGUACCCCCAAACGAUCAGAUACGUAUCCAAAGCCCUAAUUCCACUAUUGUAACUUUCUUUAUCCACGAGCUCCCAUCUUGGGGCCUGUUCCGCAGCUCCGCCAGAGGGGGCAUCGAUCAUGGAGGGCUUCUACAUCAACACCAUAGCCUCUUCGAUGAAGUGUGAGUAGUUUACCUCAGACCUUCGGAUCCAUAGUUAUUCGCUAGAUGGCUUCUUCUCUCUUUUUGGAUCUCAAUACAAAGUUCUCCCCCUCUCUUGUGGAGAUCUAUUCGAUGUAAUCUUCUUUUGCGGUGUGUUUGUUGAGAUCGAUGAAUUGUGGGUUUGUGAUCAAGUUUAUCUAUGAACAACAUUUGAAUCUUCUCUGAAUUCUUUUAUGUAUGAUUGGUUAUCUUUGCAAGUUUCUUCGAAUUAUCAGUUUGGUUUGGCCUACUAGAUUGAUCUUUCUUGCAAUGGGAGAAGUGCUUAGCUUUGGGUUCAAUAUUGCGGUGUCCUUUCCAAGUGACAGUAGGGGCAGCAAGGCACGUAUUGUAUUGUUGCCAUAGAGGAUAACAAGAUGGGGGUUUUAUCAUAUUGCAUGAAUUUAUCCCUCUACAUCAUGUCAUCUUGCUUAAGGUGUUACUCUGUUCUUAUGAACUUAAUACUCUAGAUGCAUGCUGGAUAGCAGUCGAUGUGUGGAGUAAUAGUAGUAGAUGCAGGCAGGAGUCAGUCUACUUGUCUUGGACAUGAUGCCUAUAUACAUGAUCAUACCUAGAUAUUCUCAUAAAUAUGCUCAAUUCUGUCAAUCGCUCAACAGUAAUUCGUUCACCCACCAUAAAAUACCUAUGCUCUUGAGAGAAGCCACUAGUGAAACCUAUGGCCCCCGGGUCUAUAUUCAUCAUAUUAAUCUUCCAAUACUUAGUUAUUUUCAUUGCUUUUAUUUUACUUUGCAUCUUUAUCAUAAAAAUACCAAAAAUAUUAUCUUAUCAUAUCUAUCAGAUCUCACUCUCGUAAGUGACCGUGUAGGGAUUGACAACCCCUUAUCGCGUUGGUUGCGAGGAUUUAUUUGUUUUGUGUAGGUGCGAGGGACUCGUGCGUAGCCUCCUACUGGAUUGAUACCUUGGUUCUCAAAAACUGAGGGAAAUACUUACGCUACUUUGCUGCACCACCCUUUCCUCUUCAAGGGAAAACCAACGAAGUGCUCAAGAGGUAGCAAGAAGGAUUUCUAGCGCCGUUACCAGGGAGGUCUACGCAAAAGUCAACAUACCAAGUACCCAUCACAUACUAUCGGAGUAAGUGACCACGGGUAGCCUAGCCGGCUCCCCUGGCCUUUCUGAAAAAAUUACGAGCCGAUCCGGCUCUCAAGAAUCCAAGACAUGGGGCCGCCUUCCCCUGGUCGGCUGUCUCCCAGGCCGGUUAUCGGAAGGCGACCCGACUUCAGCCCUCAUGAAGAGAGCCACGGGAGGGCUGGCUCCGAGGAGCCGGCUGCGAGAAGGCCGACUCCAAGGAGCCGGCUCCCAUAAAGCGGUCGAGAUCGUACCCUCGAAGUCUGCACCCACAUAACAGCGAUGUGACGGGGCAUGGCUACAGUAAGGCUGGCCACCCCCGAAUCCCGGAGCACGCCUGGCACAGUGCGCCGUACGGGUGGCCAUGACCCGUCCGGCGUAGCACUGUUGCCACAUUGACCCUGAUGUCAUCCACGAUGUGCUGCCAGUACGGCCCACGGGUGGUGGGCCCCUUCGGGCAGAGAGACACCCGAAGGCGGCCAGAUCUCCCCCAGUCGGCCCAAGAUAGGGCCGACUCCCCACAGCCGGCUUGCCACCUCCCUCGAAGAAGACGCCCCAUUAAGGAGACAAGACGCGGAGGGGCUACAGUGAUCGCCCGUCGGACGGCAGCAUUGUAGCCACACUUACCACGGCGAAGCCCUCGUCACCAAGAUUGAGCAACAGUAACCAGCCACCGACAAGGCCCUGGACAGUGGGGCCUGCCUGUCGACCCAGGAGCCGGCAGCCGGCGGUACCCACCAGUCGGCGGGCCCCAGCAGUCGGUGCGGAAGCCGGCGAGCAUAGACACAGAUGGCUGGGCCCCACGCCCAGCCGGAUUACCAUUGUACCCUAGGGGGGUAGGCCUAUUUAAACCCCCCGGGACACCCAUGCAAAGGGUUGAUCCCUACUAGUUUUAGACACCACGUAGGGAGGAGAAGAGAGCAAGCAGAGCCCUUCUCCCUCCUCUCGCCAAACAGCUCAAGGAGCAUCAUGUAGCUACUUGUUCAUCGAGUGAUCAUGCGGAGACCCCGCAGAGCAGCAGUAGGGGUGUUAUCUCCACGGAGAGCCCCGAAGCUGGGUAAGAUUCGCCGGCGUGCAUGUCUUCGCCUCAUCCCGUUUCCAGGCACCGGCGAUGUUUUACUGGCUCCCACAAUGAUAAGCCACCCGUUGGCAUAUGUCGCACCUACCACCCGACAUUUGGCGCCCACCGUGGGGCCAGGUGCACCGUCGUCCGGAGACCUGUUCUGGACAGGAACCCUCUUCCUCCCCCGUGAGCGUAGCCAGCCCGGCACGCCUGAUGGCGCUUGCCACGACGCGUUGCAAGGCGUCACCAACGCCUGCGCAAUGAGCAACCUCGCUGAUCUCCUCGACAAGACCCUCAUCUCCGAUGAGCUCACCUCCGACGUGGGCACCGACCACCUUGUCAACCUCCUCGGCCGACUCCAUGUCUCCGGCGAGCCUGCUGUGGACUUGGAGUCGGUUGGCUCCACCGACCCGAUGCCUGUCGACUCCGACACGGCCUCAUUCAACACCUUCCCCACCAACGUCACGAUCUACGACGACCCGCUUCCCCGAGCCGAUGGCUGCGACGCUGUCACCACCGAGGUGAUGGUCAUCAUCCACAACGGCGCAGCCGACGAGAGCGCCCAUGACGCCCCGCACGCGGCGGUCCAUGACUUGUCCAUCCCCCUCCCGGCCGACGCCGACGCUGAAGCACUGGAGGCUCGCCGCCUCGCCCUCCUCGCGGAGGGCCGGAAGUUGGUUUCCAUGAGACGCCUCGUUGAGGCCCACCGACGCAAGGCCGACCGCGCCGCCUUUGGCACGCCGCCCCCAGGCGGGCCUAGCCGGGCCGGCAUUGUCAGACAGCGCGGCGCUGUCGUUGCCGACACGUUAGGAGUCAACCGCCCAGUCUACGCCACUCCACUCGAAAACCUGCGCGCCGCCUAGGCGGCCGUAGACGAGCUAGACGGACUGGGGGUCGAAGAACUCCCCAAUGACCCGACGCAUCCAGCAGCUGAUCGAUGCAGCCGUGCAGCGGCACGAAGUCGACGCCCACGCGGAAAUCCCUCCCCCGCGCCGAGAUCACGGCACGACGUCCCGGACACCGACUGCUGGUAGAGACCGCGCGCGGCGCGAGAAAGAGCCGGCUGCCAACCAAAGCCAAACCCGGAUCUCCAUCGAGCGAGAUGCAGAAGGCCACCCUCGGGCCGUGGAGUGGCGGGGCAACCCGCCUCCGCCCCGGCCCUGUGGAGAGAGAUAUCCCACCCCGCCGCCUGUUGUGCAUCCGACUCUUAGCGGCCGGCUAGGUCGCCGUGAAGGAGUCGGCAAGAACGACGCCCGCCAUCGGAUCGACCGCCUGGCGCGAUCCCUGGCGCUGGAAGAAGAAGACGAUGUCGGUCCGCCUUGCUUCGACACCCGCAUCCGCGACGAGCCCUUCCCCAAAGGGUUCUCGCUCCCAAGAGACACGCCCAAGUACAACGGCUCCGUGAAGCCGGAAGAUUGGUUGAUUGACUACUCCAUGGCGGUUAGCAUAGCCAGUGGCAACAGGCGCGUUGCCGUGAAGUACGUGCCCCUCAUGCUGCAGGGCACGGCGCGGACCUGGCUCAACAGCCUCAAACCACACAGCAUCAACAGCUGGCUAGAUUUCACAAAAGCUUUCGUCCGCAACUUCACCAGCACCUACAAGCGGGCUCCCAAGCCCAGACAGCUCUCCUUGUGCGUACAACGCCCCGCCGAGUCCACCCGCGACUACCUCACGCGUUGGGCCGAGCUCCGAAACUCUUGCAAAGGGGUGCACGAGGUACAAGCCAUAGAAUACUUCAUUGCCGGGUGCCGAGAAGGCACCCUCCUCAAGCACAAGCUUCUCUGCGAUGAGCCGACUACCCUCGACGAGCUUCUGGACAUAGCGGACAAGUACGCCACCGCCGACUCCUCAAUGAAGACCGAGCUCCGGGUAGACGCGUCCAGGAAAGUACUCAACCCGGCGCCCAAGACGCCGGCUGGGGAUUCCGGCCGACGCCCCCACUCGAACGACCACAAGCGCAAGGGCCCCGCGCCGCCUCCCGUCAGCCGGCAGGUGGCCACAGUCGAAGACGUGCCACCCAAAGGGCGGCCCGCGCCCAAGAAACCCAAGGGCGGCAGGCCGGCAUGGCAGCCGGCCUUUUCCUACGAGCAAACUCUCGACGCCCCGUGCAAGUUCCACAGCGGCGCGAAGCCGUCCAACCACACAACCCGGAAGUGCCAAUGGCUCACCCGAAUCUCUAAAGGCGAAGGGCUCGCACCGCCUCCGCCCGCCGGUCCGCCGCCUCCGGCUCUGCAGCCGCCGGCCGCUCGGCCCGCAGUCGGAGCCGUGCACGACGAGUUCCCCGAUGAGCAUGCCGCCUAUAUCAUCUUUACAAGUCAGCCCGAAGACCGGCGCAGCAAACGCCGAGAGCACCGAGAAGUCAACAUGGUUGCUGCCAACCCCGCCGAGCACAUGCACUGGUCAGAAAAACCUAUCAGUUGGAGCCGGACCGACCACCCAGAGGUGAUGCCGUCUCCCGGCUCUUAUGCGUUGGUUUUGGAUGCCACCCUUGCAACGGACAGACGCGCUGCCCGAUUCUCCCGCAUGCUGAUAGACGGCAGGAGCAGCAUCAACAUCCUGUACCGUGACACCAUGGAGAAGCUGAAUCUCAAGACGAAGCAACUCAUGCCUACUCGGACUGUGUUCCACGGCAUCGUGCCCGGCCUGUCCUGCGCCCCCAUUGGCAAGAUCAAGAUUGAUGUACUUUUUGGGGACAAGGAGCAUUUCCGCCGGGAAGCGAUCUGGUUUGAAGUGGUGGACCUAGAGAGCCCUUACCAUGCAUUGCUUGGCCGACCUGCCUUGGCCAAGUUCUUGGCAGUUCCCCACUAUGCAUACCUCAAGAUGAAGAUACCAAGCACCAAAGGCGUCAUCACCGUAGCCAGCGAUUACAAGAAGUCCUCCGAGUGCGCAGCAGCUAGCAGCCGGCUGGCCGAGUCCCUUGUGAUUGCCGAAGAGAAAAAUAUGUUGGACCGGGUCAUGGCCAUGGCCGGCAAGCAGUCGGCCCUGUCCCCCGAUCCCAAGGAGUAUGAUGCCCAAGGAUCUUUCCAGCCGGCCAAGGAGACAAAGAAGAUACCUCUUGACCCCGAGCACCCAGAGAGGUUUUCCGUCAUCGGGGCAAACCUAAACAGCAAAUAGGAAGGCGAGCUCGCCGACUUCCUCCAUGAGAAUCGGGACAUCUUUGCAUGGUCCCCCAAGGACAUGUCGGGUGUUCCGAAGGAAUUCGCCGAGCACAAAUUACACGUCCGAGAAGACGCCAAACCAGUCAAACAACCCCUCCACCGACUGUCCGAAGAGAAACGCAGGAUUGUGGGAGAGGAGAUAGCCCGGCUUCUGGCAGCCGGCUUCAUUAUGGUAGUUUUCUUUCCAGAGUGGCUCGCCAACCCGGUCCUCGUGCUAAAGAAGAACAACAAGCGGCGCAUGUGUAUAGACUACACGAGCCUCAACAAGGCCUGCCCCAAAGAUUCCUUUGCCCUGCCAAGGAUUGGCCAAGUGAUAGACUCCACGGCCGGAUGCGAGCUGUUGAGUUUCUUGGAUGCUUACUCAGGAUACCACCAGAUAAAGUUAGAUCCGGCUGACCGCCUGAAGACCGCCUUCAUCACGCCAUUCGGAGCCUUCUGCUACCUGACUAUGACAUUCGGCUUGAGAAAUGCCGGUGCCACUUUUCAGCGUUGCAUGCAGAAGUGCCUCCUCAAGCAGCUCGGCAGAAAUGCUCACGUCUACGUAGACGACAUUGUGGUGAAGACGGAGAAGUGUGGCACCUUGCUGGAAGACCUCAAAGAAACAUUUGAGAACCUACACCGUUUCCAAAUAAAGCUCAACCCCGAGAAAUGCGUGUUCGGAGUGCCAGCCGGCCAGCUCCUAGGCUUCCUGGUCUUCGAACGCGGCAUCGAAUGCAACCCGGUGAAGAUCAAGGCCAUUGAGAGAAUGGAAAUUCCCACCAACCUUUGAGACAUCCAGAAGUUCACCGGGUGCUUAGCCUCCCUAAACCGCUUCAUCAGCCGGCUCGGAGAGAAAGCUCUCCCCCUCUACCGCCUCAUGAAGAAGACCACUCACUUCGAGUGGAAUGACCAAGCUGACCAAGCUUUCCACGAGCUGAAGAAGACGCUGGCCACACCGCUAGUCCUGGCAGCGCUGACUGAGAAAGAGCCCAUGCUCCUCUACAUUGCCGCAACCAGCCGGGUGGUCAGCACCGUCAUCGUAGUCCAACGCCCAGAAGAGGGCCGAGCCCAGCCGGUCCAGAGGUCGGUGUACUAUUUGAGCGAGGUACUGUUCGCCUCGAAGCAGAAGUACCCGCACUACCAAAAGAUGUGUUAUGGCGUGUACUUCGCCGCAAAGAAGCUGAAGCCCUACUUCCAAGAGCAUCCCAUCACGGUCGUAAGCACCGCCCCGCUGGCCGAGAUCAUAGGCAGCCGGGAUGCAUCCGGCCGGGUGGCGAAAUGGGCCAUCGAGCUGGCCCCUUACGCGAUCUUCUACCAGCCUCGCACCGCCAUCAAAUCCCAAGCAUUGGCCGACUUCCUCGUCGACUGGGCUAAGACCCAGUACCUGCCGCCGGCUCCUGACUCCACUCAUUGGCGCAUGCACUUCGAUGGGUCCAAGAUGCACACCGGCUUGGGAGCCGGCAUCGUCCUCACCUCUCCCAAAGGCGACAAGCUCAGAUACACGCUGCAAAUCCACUUUGCCGCCUCCAACAAUGUAGCCGAGUACGAGGUGCUCAUACACGGGCUCCGGCUUGCCAAAGAGCUCGGCAUUCGCCGGAUCCUAUGUUAUGGCGACUCGGACUAGGUGGUCCAGCAAUCAUUCGGCGACUGGGACGCCAAGGACGCAAAUAUGGCAAGCUACCGCUUCCUUGUUCAGCAGAUCAGUGGGUAUUUUGAAGGAUGCGAGUUCCUCCACAUACCGCGAGCCGACAACGAGCCAGCCGAUGCUCUGGCUCGAAUAGGCUCCACCCGGCAAGCAAUACAAACCGGCGUCUCUCUACAAUGCCUCCUCAAGCCGUCUAUCAAGCCGUCUCCAGAGUCCGAUUCCAUAUUCGUGCCGCCUGACCCCGACGCGGCCGGGUCCGGCUCGAAGAGCCAAGCAGGUGACCCGGGGACUUCGAUAGUCGGCCCAGGCACAUCAGCAGGCGGCUCGGGGACUUCCGUAGUUACGCCCGACCCGGGGACUGCCUCACCCGGCUCGGGGACUGCGGUAGUCGGCCCGGAGACUACACCAACACAACAGGCGGCAGCCGACUCCAGCAUUUCACCGCCCAUCCUGCCUGCCCUGGUCGCAGUAGCCGUUUUGGCAAUAGAAGAAGUCGCAGCUCCGUCAUGGGCUCAAUCCAUCCUCAACUUCCUAAUAAACCAAGAUCUGUCGGCUGACGAAGUAGAGGCAAGACAAGUCCAACGCCGAGCCGGAGCAUACACAAUCGUCAAUCGAGAACUCAUCAAGCGCAGUGUCACUGGAGUCCUCCAGCGAUGCAUUGAGCAAGAGAAGGGCAUUGCAAUCCUCAGAGACAUCCACCAAGGAGAAUGCGGCCACCAUGCGGCCUCAAGAUCACUCGUCGCCAAAGCCUUCCGCCAUGGUUUCUUUUGGCCGACUGCUUUGGAUGACGCCAAGGAGUUAGUUAAACAUUGCAAAGGGUGCCAACUCUUCAGCUCCAAGCAACACAUGUCGGCUUCAGCACUCAAGACCAUUCCCCUCACUUGGCCCUUCGCCGUUUGGGGACUGGACAUGGUGGGCCCAUUCAAGACGGUGCGCGGCGGCAUGACACAUCUGCUUGUCGCCCUGGACAAAUUCACCAAAUGGAUUGAAGCAAAGCCGAUCAAGAAGCUGAAUGGGCCGACUGCCGUCACAUUUAUCGCAGAUAUAACAACUCGGUACAGCGUGCCACACAGCAUAAUCACCGACAAUGGCACGAAUUUCGCCAAGGGAGCCUUGGCACGUUUCUGCGCAAGGCAAGGCAUCCGCUUGGACCUAGCGUCCGUCGCCCACCCACAGUCAAACGGCCAGGUCGAGCGAGCCAACGGCCUCAUCCUUUCUGGCUUCAAGCCCUGACUGAUCGUACCACUGGAGCGUUCAGCCGGCUGUUGGCUCAAUGAGCUGCCGGCUGUCCUCUGGAGUCUGCGCACUACACCAAACAAGUCAACCGGCUUCACCCCUUUCUUCCUCGUGUAUGGUGCCGAGGCGGUCAUCCCAACUGACAUCGAGUUCGGCUCGCCUCGGGUAACCAUGUACACGGGAGCGGAGGCCAAGGAAACAUGAGAAGACGGCGUCGACCUGCUGGAAGAAGGUCGGCUGUUAGCCCUCAGCUGGUCCGCCAUCUAUUAGCAGGGCCUACGCCGCUACCAUAGCCGGAAGGUCAAGCCAAGAUCCUUCCAAGAGGGCGAUCUUGUGCUCCGACUGAUCCAGCGAACAGCCGGCCAGCACAAGCUCUCGGCACCUUGGGAGGGCCCCUUCGUCAUCAGCAGAGCCUUAGGCAACGACUCCUACUACCUGAUCGACACGCAGAAGCCGAAGGCAUGAAAGAGAGACGACUCCGGCAAGGAGUCAGAACGACCAUGGAACGCCAACCUCCUCCGAAGGUUUUGCAGCUGAAAUGCAGUAUGUAUCACGCUAACUUUUGUACUAAGUAGGAGACAAUAGGCCCUCCGAGGAGAGCUCGGGGACUGCCAUCUUUUAUCUAUGAAUGAAGAGUAUCAUGCUUAUGACCUUGUCAUUACAUUUACUUGUUCCGUUCGGCACCGGGUUCGACAAGUCGGCCCGGGGACUGGCCGACUGGAGUUAUAUUAGAAGUCCUACCCGCGGUUAGACAAGUAGUGUGCCGGCGCCCAAGCCUUCUCUUGCCAAAAGUCGUAGUUCGAAGAACCAGCUGUCCGGCUGGCAAGAGUUAAAGGCAGGAAAGGACGCCCACACGAAAAACGGCUAGGGACUAACGGACUAAUAUAACAAAAGCCGGUUUCUCUCCCACCACCGACCGACUACCAGAGUAGCCGACCGGCCGGCUUCCAUUCACUUCACUUCAAUUCAAGAAAGCUCGAGUACUUGCCUCCCCAAAAGGGGAAGGCGGCAAAGGAAAUAGCCUAAGGAUAAAAAAGCAUACGUGAAUGGAAACCAAACAUGCACAAGUUAAUAUUUACAAAAAAGACCUUCAAAAGGCCAGCAUUCAACAUAGUUUGGAUACACCCCUAGUGGGUGGAACUGCGGAAACUUAACAAAAUUGUUCAGAAGGCAACAAGCAGGAAAAAAACAAGGACGGCAGAUUAAGCCGGUGGAGCGAAUGACGAGCCGGGCAGGUCGGUGGAGACGGAAGUGCCGGCUGGAGGAGUGGCCGGCUGGCGAACCUCGGCAUGAUCACCGCCUCCCGCAGAAGGUGCGCUUGCGCGUGCCUCGUUGCUGGAGGCACGGUCAGGCUGAGGCUGGCUGGUUGUUCCACCGGCCGGCUCGAUGUCUUUGUUUUCCUCUCCUUCGUCAUCUUUGCCUUCGUCGCUGGAGGCGAUCUCUUCUGCGGAGUCUUCACCCGCCGCUGGGUCCAGCCCGAACCACUCCUCCGGUUGGGCAACGCCGUCAUCAUUAAUCUCGGGAGCAAAGACACUGAUGUCAGUACAUUCAGCGAUUGUCGAUGCGCGCUGAGCGAUAGCCGGCCGCACCUCCGCUAGCUCUUCGUUGGCCUCCAGCCGCCAGGUGCGCAGCUGGUCCAGGUUCAGCCCUGGAUACCAAGCUCGGACGAACUCCAGCGCCCGUCCAGCUCCAAGCCGGGCCGCCAACGCCUUCCAAGCCUCGAAGCGGCCAACCGCAACCUCCAGCCAGUCGGCAGUCCGACUCGGGGUGCGGGGAAUCGUCUCGCUUGGCCAGAGGGCGGCCAACACCUACGCUCCGACGCGCUGGAGGCGGCGGAGCAUACGAUGAGCCGACUGCAGCCGCGCUUGGACCGCCAAGAGUUGCUCUUCGAGCGACCGACUCGCGUCCGGCGUGACUUCAGCCCCCGCCUGGCGGCGCGCUUCGCGAUGGGCCUCGAUGGUUUGGGCGGCGAAGAUGGAGUAGCCAGGAAAGUUGUCUGCACAGAGAAUAAAAAGCAGCUCAAGUCAGAACACAAGUCAGGCGGCAAGGGGUAGGCAAGGAGCGAGGAAAGCGGCUUACCAUCGAUCAAAUCCUCAAUACGGCCAAAGCCUUCAUUCAGCGCUUGCCUGGUCUCGGCCUAGCCCGCCGCUUCAGUCUCGAACUCGGCCUUCAGGGCGGCUUCGUUAUCCUGCGCCUUCUUCAGAGCCGCCUUGUGGCUCUCCUCCUGGUCAGCCAGCUUCUUGGCCAUGCGGUCACGCUCCAGGACCAAGGCGUCGUACUCGGUUUCCUUAGCGCGAAGGGCGGCCUGCGCCUCGCUGAGCUGCCCCCUUAAGUCGGCAUUGGAUUCUGCGAGCACGAAAGACAAAAGAAAAACCAGUAAGGUGAAGUCGUCAGGAAAGAUCCGACCCGACUGCUCAACAGUCGGCCUGAAUCUCGGGGACUACACCCAGUGGUUGCGCUGACGCGCCCCCACAGGAGAUGAACGAAACCAAGUACGUACUCCGGCUGCUGAUCAGGUAUUCGGUUCUUCGACCCAGCUCCUGAGCCUGGGAGUUGAAGGCGGCAGCGCGGAGGUUAUCAUACUCCUGGAAGGUUAGACAGGAGGCGAGAAUAAGGUAGUCGUCAAGGAAGAUCCGACCCGACUGCUCAGUAGUCGGCCCGAAUCUCGGGGACUACACCCAGUGGGUGCGCUGACGCGCCCCCAUGGAAGAAAUCAAGAGAACAAGACAACCAAAGAUAGAAGACUCACCCGGAUGACGGCCCGUGUCGCAAGGAACUCCUGGGUGUAUUGCUGCAGCGAGGCGGCUUGGGCCUGAAGCCGGUUCUGAACCUCUUGGGCCGCCACAUUCAGCUCGCCCGUCCCGCCGCUGGGAGUCCACUCGGACGUGCCGGUGCUGGCCGCCUCCAAGGCCUCCGCCGUCCGGCUGGCACCCGUAGCUCGAUGCGGCUCCGGCACAACGGUGCCUCCCCCUGCGCGCCGGCGCAUUGCCGGCUGCACCUCGAGGCCGGCUCCUGGUUCCGGCUCACCCCCGGCCGGCUGCUCUGGCGCCGCAGCCGACUGGCCUCCUUGGCCCGCUCCGGUUGGCGCUGCCGGCGGCGCCCCCUCCAUGAAGAUCACGGAGUCCUCCCUCCGCUCCAUCACCGGCGGUUCUUGCUCGACCUCCUCCAGCGGAGGCACAGGAAUGUUGCGGGCCACGGCGUGGAGGGGGAUGGCUAGCAGCGGAGGCUGGUUGUGCGAAGCCUCCGCCUCCGUCUCCGCAGCUGCCGCCUCCGCCCGGCCUUGGCUGCUGCAUCGGCCCGCUCCUUCGUCGCCUGGGCGGCCCUUCGCUCCGCCGCCUCCCGCUCCUCCCGCACCUCUCGUGUGUUCCACUCCGUGGCCUCCCUGAGGUCGGCGCGGGGAUCCACGCGGCGGGAGCCCGAAGACCCUCCAGUCGGCCCGACUACGGAGCCGCCUGGACCCCGCUCUAGAGAAAGCGGCGCCCUGUCCGGCGAGCAAAGAAAGGUUUAGAAGAGUUUUCAAUCGAAAAGAACAACAAAAAAUAUGUAUCCAAGCAUUCGACGACUUACGCUGAGAUCGCCUGCGGCUACUUCACCGCCUUGCGGAAGCGGGCCGCCUUCGCGGCCGCCUCAUCUCGUUUGGUCGCCGCUGUGGAAGCCUUGGACUUCUUCGGCCGGCUGCCGAAGAGGAUCGACAUGGCCCGGCGCUUCUGGGCGCCGCCACCAGCAGCUGGCACGGCGGACGAGGUCGCGCCUUGAUGAUCAGGCGCGGGCUAGCGGCGCGGGGCGACUUCGACCUCGGCAUCAUCCGGCCAGUCCUCGAAGCCAGCCAUGAGCCCUGCGCCUCCGGCCUCGUCGCUUUCCCCCACGAUGGCGUCUUCCAUGGCAGCCGCUCCCAAGUCCGGGUCGUCGGCGUCGUCCACCGUGCGGUCAGGGACGAGCUGGCGCUCUAUCCCUGCGGCCCCGGUCGUCGGCGGAAGGAGAGGGUUCUGCUAGGGGCAAACUGACUGAUCAGAGGCCGGCUAUCAUGAGGCCGGCUACCAAAGGAAGAAAAGAAGAAAGAACUUACGGCAGGCGGAGGGUUGGCGCGGGAAUACGGCUCCUUGCCGUAUCGCCAAUCCUCGGAAAGCUUGCAGUUGGAGAUAUAGUUCACCAUGUAGGAGACCUCCGCAUGAGGCAUCUCCCUGGUUCUCAGCCGGCUUGGGUCGAAGCGGCCGCUCAUCUGACAAACCAUGUGAGGCCGGCUUUGGAGGGGAAGAACCCGGCGCUCCACGAAGGCGGCCACCAAGUCGGCUCCGGUCAGGCCCUCCGACUAGAUCAUCACCCGAAGCCGGGAGACAGCUGCGUUCCCGGCCUGAGACAACGACCUGGCCUGGUAGCUCCACGAAGGUCGCCUCCCAGCCGGCGGGCCGGCUUCAUAAGCCGGCAGGUUCACAUAAUCGCCUUUUUGCGUGACAUUCUUCACGUAAAAGUAUGACUUCUGCCAGAGCUUCACCAACUGGAUCAGCGGGAUGGGCGGGAACGGGUUGUUCUCCUUUGCCCGCCUCAUGGCAAUAAAGGCUCCGCAAGGGGCGGGCACGCCCGCGACGACGGUGCCGAGCUUGCUUUAGAAGAAUUCCGCCCAGAGCUCGAGCGUGGGGAGGACCCCAAGGAAGCCUUCGCACAGCGUGACGAAGGGCGACAGCAGCAUCACCGCGUUGGGCGUGAGGUGAUGCGGUUGGAGGUUGUAGAAUUCGAGGAAGGCUCGGAGGAACCCGCUCGCCGGAAGGCCGAAGCCGCGCAGGCAGUGCAAUUGGAAGAUCACCUGCUCGCCCUCCUCCGGUGCCAGCGAAAUCUCCUUCUCCGGCGCUAGACGAACCCGAACGAAGUCCUCGCCGGGCAGGCGUCGUGUCUGGCGAAGGAACGCGACGUGGUCCUCAUGGACAUUGGAGCCAUCCCACGAGCUUGACAGCGCCAUGGGGCAGCGCGGCGAGAAGCAAGAUGAUGCGGCGGUGGAACGGCGCGGCAAAGAGUUACUGCGGUGGCGGGAAGGAGAAGAAGGAAGAUGAGAGGGGCGGAGCGAGGGAGAGCGUGCGAGCCUCUGCCGCUCCCCUCCUCCCCCUACUUAUAGACCGCGCGGCGGAGCCGAGGGAGCAUGGCAUGGGGGAAUGUGGGAAUCAACUGUGCCCACUCCCCCACGUCCCGCGAUUAUUACGCCCUAAUGGCAUAAUAAAACGCUACGGGAAGGCGAGCGGUCCGCAUCGGACGCAGAAGAUCCACGCUCGGGCCGAGGCCUAGUACUGGCGGGCCCGGGCCUGCGGCGGCAUCCCGUCGUGGGCGUGCACUGGCAGGGUUUCCUUGCCAUGUGGCCCGCGGGAUGGCCUGCGGACAGCUCGCAGGUCGACCACGUUCCCGCCUACGAGAAACGGAGCCCUCCGAAGUCGGCGCGCACAAGCAAAGCCGGCCCCUCAGGAUAGGAAGCUAACCAAGCUUCCCGUCCCUUUAUCAGCCUCGAAGCUCGCUCAGCUUCGGGGACUACUGUCGGAGUAAGUGACCACGGGUAGCCUAGCCGGCUCCCCCUGGCCUUUCUGAAAAUAUUACGAGCCGAUCCGGCUCUCAAGAAUCAAAGACAUGGGGCCUCCUUCCCCUGGCCGGCUGUCUCUCAGGCCGGCUAUCCGAAGGCGGCCCGACUUCAGCCCUCAUGAAGAAAGCCACGGGAGGGCUGGCUCAGAGGAGCCGGCUGCGAGAAGGCCGACUCAAAGGAGCCGGCUCCCAUAAAGCGCUCGAGAUCGUACCCUCGAAGUCUGCACCCACAUAACAGCGAUGUGACGGGGCGUGGCUACAGUAAGGCUGGCCACCCCCGAAUCCCGGAGCACGCCUGGCACAGUGCAUCGUACGGGUGGCCAUGACCCGUCCGGCGCAGCACUGUUGCCACGUUGACCCUGAUGUCAUCCAUGACGGGCUGCCAGUACGGCCCACGGGCGGUGGGCCCCUUCGGACAGAGAGACACCCGAAGGCGGCCAGAUCUCCCCCAGUCGGCCCAAGAUAGGGCCGGCUCCCCACAGCCGGCUUGCCACCUCCCUCGAAGAAGACGCCCCAUUAAGGAGACAAGACGCGGAGGGGCUAUAGUGAUCGCCUGCCGGACGGCAGCACUGUAGCCACGCUUACCUCGGCGAAGCCCUCGUCACCAAGAUUGAGCAACAGUAACCAGCCACUGACAAGGCCCUAGACAGUGGGGCCUGCCUGUCGACCCAGGAGCCGGUAGCCGAAGGGACCCACCAGUCGGCGGGCCCCAGCAGUCGGCGCGGAAGCUGGCGAGCAUAGACACAGACGGCUGGGCCCCACGCCCAACCGGAUUACCAUUUUACCCCCGAGGGGUAGGCCUAUUUAAACCCCCCCGGGACACCCAUGCAAAGGGUUGACUCCUGCUAGUUUUAGACACCACGUAGGGAGGAGAAGAGAGCAAGCAGAGCCCUUCUCCCUCCUCUCGCCAAACAGCUCAAGGAGCAUCGUGUAGCUACUUGUUCAUCGAAUGAUCAUGCGGAGACCCCGCAGAGCAGCAGUAGGGGUGUUAUCUCCACGGAGAGCCCCGAAGCUGGGUAAGAUUCACUGGCGUGCAUGUCUUUGCCUCAUCCCGUUUCCAGGCACCGGUGAUGUUUUACUGGCUCCCACAAUGAUAAGCCACCCGUUGGCAUAUGUCGCACCUACCACCCGACACAUACCCUUAUCUCCCGCAUUACAUUAUUUUCCAUUUGCCUCUCGUUUUCCACUCCCCCACUUCACCAUUGUCGUUUUAUUCACCCUCUCUCUCUCUAUCCUCCCUCUCUUUCUCUAUUUGCCGUUUUAUUUGCCCGUUCCUUGUUUGCUUGUGUGUUGGAUUGCUUGCUUGUCUCGAUGGCUCAAGAUAAUACUAAAUUGUGUGACUUUACCAAUACCAACAACAAUGAUUUUAUUAGCACUCUGAUUGCUCCUCUUACCGAUGCUGAAUCUUGUGAAAUUAAUGUUGCCUUGCUGAAUCUUGUUAUAAAAGAUCCGUUUUCCGGCCUUCCUAGUGAAGAUGCCGCUACCCAUCUAAAUAGCUUCAUUGAUUUGUGUGUUAUUAAAAAUAAGAAAGUGUGGAUAAUGAUAUUGUUAAAUUGAAGCUAUUUCCUUUUUCGCUUAGAGAUCGUGCUAAAGCUUGGUUUUCGUCAUGGCCUAAAAAUAGUAUCGAUUCGUGGAAUAAGUGCAAAGAUACUUUUAUCUCUAAGUAUUUUCCCCCCGCUAAGAUCAUCUCUCUCAGAAACGAUAUUAUGAAUUUUAAGCAACUUGAUCAUGAACAUGUUGCACAAGCUUGGGAGAGGAUGAAAUUAAUGAUAUGUAAUUGCCCUACUCAUGAUUUGAAUUUGUGGAUGAUUAUACAAAAAUUUUAUGCCGAAUUGAAUUUUGCUUCUAGAAAUCUUUUAGAUUCGGUCGUGGGAGGCACUUUUAUGGAAAUCACUUUAGGAGAAGCUACUAAACUCCUAGAUAAUAUUAUGGUUAAUUAUUCUCAAUGGCACACUGAUAGAUCUACUAAUAAGAAAGUGCAUGCGAUAGAAGAAAUUAAUGUUUUGAGUGGAAAGAUGGAUGAACUUAUGAAAUUAUUUGGUAAUAAAAGUGUUUCUUAUGAUCCUAAUGAUACGCCUUUGUCUACUUUGAUUGAGAAUAAUAAUGAACCUAUGGAUGUGAAUUUUGUUGGUAGGAACAAUUUUGGUAACAACCCGUAUAGAGGAAACUUUAAUCCUAGGCCUUAUCCUAGUAAUUCCUCUAAUAAUUAUGGUAAUUCCUACAACAAUUCUUAUGGGAAUUAUAAUAAGAUUCGCUCUGAUUUUUAAUCUAAUAUUAAAGAAUUUAUUACUUCGCAAAAGAAUUUCAAUGCUUUGAUUGAAGAAAAUUUGCUUAAGAUUGAUGAGUUGGCUAGGAACAUUGAUAGAAUUUCUCUUGAUGUUGAUUCUUUGAAACUUAGAUCUAUUCCACCUAAGCAUGAUAUCAAUGAGUCUCUCAAAGCCAUGAGAAUUUCCAUUGAUGAGUGCAAAGAAAGAACCGCUAGGAUUCGUGCUAAGAAAGAUUCAUUUAUAAGAGCGUGUUCUUCUAGUUUCCAUGAUAAUAAAGAUGAAGAUCUAAAAGUUAUAGAUGUGUCCCCUAUUAAAUCUUUGUUUUGCAAUAUGAAUCUUGAUAAUUAUGGGACUGAAUAUGAUCCACCUUUACCUAGAAGGCGUUCCAAGAAUUCGGAGUUUUUAGAUCUUGAUGCUAAAAUUGAUAAAAGUGGGAUUGAAGAGAUCAAAACUUUAAAUAUUGAUGAACCCACUAUUUUGGAUUUCAAGGAAUUUAAUUAUUAAAAUUGCUCCUUGAUAGAUUGUAUUUCCUUGUUGCAAUUUGUGCUAAAUUCUCCUCAUGCUUAUAGCCAACAUAAAGCUUUUACCAAACAUAUCGUUGACGCUUUGAUGCAAUCUUAUGAAGAAAAACUUGAGUUGGAUGUUUCUAUCCCUAGAAAAAUUUAUGAUGAGUGGCGACCUACUAUUCAAAUUAGAAUUAAAGAUCAUGAAUGCUAUGAUUUGUGUGAUUUGGGUGCUAGUGUUUCCACAAUUCCAAAGACUUUGUGUGAUUUGUUAGGUUUCCGUGAUUUUGAUGAUUGCUCUCUAAACUUGCACCUUGCGGAUUCCACUAUUAAGAAACCUAUGGGAAUAAUUAAUGAUGUUAUUAUUGUUGCAAAUAGGAAUUAUGUGCCCGUAGAUUUUAUUGUUCUUGAUAUAGAUUGCAAUCCUUCAUGUCCUAUUAUUCUUGGUAGACCUUUCCUUAGACAAUUGGUGCAAUUAUUGAUAUGAAGGAAGGAAAUAUUAGAUUCCAAUUUCCGUUAAGGAAAGGCAUGGAACACUUUCCUAGAAAUAAAAUUAAAUUACCUUAUGAAUCUAUUAUGAGAGCCACUUAUGGAUUGCCUACCAAAGAUGGCAAUACCUAGAACUAUCCUUGCUUUUUAUGCCUAGCUAGGGGCGUUAAACGAUAGCGCUUGUUGGGAGGCAACCCAAUUUUAUUUUUAUUCCUUGCUUUUUGCUCCUGUUUAGUAAUAAAUAAUUUAUCGAGCCUCUGUUUUGGUUGUGGUUUUUGUGCUUAAUUAGUGUUUGUUCCAAGUAGAACCGUUGGGAAGACUUGGGGAAAGUCUUGUUAAUCUUGCUGUAAAAAACAGAAACUUUAGCACUCACGAGAACUGCUGCCAUUUUUAUUUGGAAAGUGAUAUUUAGUUAAUUCUUUUUGAAGAUGAUUAAUAGAUAAAUUCCUCACGUCCAGAAAUUUAUUUUAGAAUUUUUGGCGUUCCAGAUUGUGCGCUAGCUACAGAUUACCACAGACUGUUCUGUUUUUGACAGAUUCUGUUUUUCGUGUGUUGUUUGCUUAUUUUGAUGAAUCUAUGGCUAGUAAAAUAGUUUAUAAACCAUAGAGAAGUUGGAAUACAGUAGGUCUAAAACCAAUAUAAAUAAAUAAAGAGUUCAUUACAGUAUCUUGAAGUGGUCUUUUGUUUUCUUUCGCUAACGGAGCUUACGAGAUUUUCUUCUUUAAGUUUUGUGUUGUGAAGUUUUCAAGUUUUGGGUAAAGAUUUGAUGGAUUAUGGAACAAGGAGUGGCAAGAGUGUCGGUGUCAAAACCGGCAGAUCUCGGGUAGGGGGUCCCGAACUGUGCAUCUAGGCAGAUGGUAACAGGAGACAAGGGACACAAUGUUUUACCCAGGUUCGGGCCCUCUUAAUGAAGGUAAAAUCCUACGUCCUGCUCGAUUAAUAUUGAUGAUAUGGGUAGUACAAGAGUAGAUCUACCACGAGAUCAAGGAGGCUAAACCCUAGAAGCUAGCCUAUGGUAUGAUUAUUGUAUGAUGAAGUUGUCCUACGGACUAAAACCCUCCGGUUUAUAUAGACACCGGAGAGGGUUAGGGUUACACAAAGUCGGUUACAAUGGUAGGAGAUCUUGAAUAUCCGCAUCGCCAAGCUUGCCUUCCAUGCCAAGGAAAGUCCCAUCCGGACAUGGGAUGAAGUCUUCAAUCUUGUAUCUUCAUAGUCCUGGAGUCCGGCUGAAGGUAUAGUCCGGCUACCCGAACACCCCCUAAUCCAGGACUCCCUCAGUAGCCCCUGAACCAGGCUUCAAUGACGACGAGUCCGGCGCGCAGAUUGUCUUCGGCAUUGCAAGGCGGGUUCCUCCUCCAAAUUCUUCAUAAAAGUUUGUAAACACCAAGAGUAGUGUCCGGCUCUGCAAAAUAAGUUUCCACUUAUUGCCACAGAGAGAAUAAUAUUAACACAAAUCUUAAUCUGCUGACGUACUCCGCAGCGUGACAUCACACUACGGCCAAGCCUUUAUUCAAAUUGUUUUCACUUUUCCACCUCAGCGUGUUUUGCAAGGAGGUUUCCUUGGCACGUCUUGUCAAAGCAGAGAUCGUGUCCCCUUUACUUACGGGAUUCUCAUCAAUACGGACGUGGGUAACCCAAUCGCGCCACUUAUCACGGUGCUUGGGAGGCAAGCGAGUUUUACUAGGCUGGUGGGGACGCAUAGUCGCGUCUGCCCAUAUAAGGGAUAAGGAUCCACCUUUUUACCCACGCCUUCUUCCUCCUUUGCCUAUCCAUCUUCUGCGCACCCGGGCUCCAGCGCCCAAGCCAGCACUUCCUACCUCAACCUUCUCCAACAAUGUCCGGAGCGGGAGGCAAGUGGAUGGUCUCCUCCAUUACAGAGGGCCAUGCCAAAAAGCUAAGGAAGGCCGGAUACUUGUCCAAGGACAUCGCGCACCGGCUUCCUGAGGAGGGGCAGCUUCUCCCCACCCCAAGGCCCCAUGAGAGGGUAGUAUUUCUUCGCCACUUCCUCCGCGGACUGGGUUUUCCUCUCCACCCAUUUGUCCGCGGACUCAUGUUCUACUAUGGCCUAGAUUUCCACGAUCUGGCCCCGACCUUCGUCCUCAAUAUCUCGGUGUUUAUCGUCGUGUGCGAGGCCUUCCUCUGCAUCCGCCCCCAUUUCGGCCUCUGGCUCAAGACCUUCAACGUCAAGCCAAAGGUGGUGCACGGCAACCAGGCGGAGUGCGGAGGUGCCAUGGCGGGCAAAAUAGCCAACGUCCUAUGGCUCGAGGGCUCUUUGUGGAGACCUUGAAGGGGCGGCAGUCAGGGUGGUUUUACAUCACCGAGCCACGCGAUCCGAAGUGGAUCGCAGCCCCUGAAUUCCGAUCCGGACCCCCUAUGCGGCUCACGUCAUGGAAGGAGACGGGCUUGUCGUGGGGCGACGAAGAAGAAGUGGCCGGACUACAAAAAUGCAUCCAGUCCCUGGUGAACAAGCAGCUCAAGCUUGUCAACGUAGUCCAGGUCAUGCUCGUCCGCCGGAUCCUUCCGUGUCAAGAACGGGGUUUCAAUUUGUGGGAGUUCAACCCGGCGCAGCACCGAACUCUGAGCAGGCUCUUCGACACGAUGUAUGAAGAUGUCUGGAAGGGGCUAACCAAAGGCGCCGAGGCUCCCACAUCCGCCUCUGAAGACCGCGGAUUCAGCUCGCAGCGUCCUGCUGGCGAGGUGAUAUAUUUCCAUCUUUUACAGGAUGUUAAGUUUUUUUUCAUAGUUUGACUCUAUGCGGGAUCUAAACUCCCUUACCUUUGACAGGAUUGCCACGCGCAGUCCGGACUGAUUAAUUGUCUGGCUCCCUUGCCCGAAGACCCAGCCCCUGCUCUCCUAGUGAAGCUGCUGGUUCCGGCACCUUAUGUGGUGCCGGAGAAGAAGGCCAAGAAGAAGAAGGCCACGGGGACUUGAAAGAGUUCCCGGAAUAUGGUGGUGUCGAACUCGUCGUCCGACGAGUCCGAGACGCACUCCUCCCGUGAAGAUGAGGAGGAGGAAGAAGAAACCUCUCCCCCUCCAGCGGGGGAAGGAAAGAAGAGGAAGGCCACCCUAGUAGGGGAGGCCGAAGGGUCCAAGAAGAGGAAAACCCCUCCACCGGACUAUGCCCCCGACGCCGACGAGGACGAAGAGGGGUGGCCGGACAUUGCCCAGAGUCCGGCGAAAUCGUAAGUGUUCGGAUACCAGAGUAACUCGUGAUAUUCCUUUUGUUGCACAGCUUUCCCUAAUGUCGAAUAUAAUCAUGCAGCCCGCCCAAGGACGGGCUCGAUGAGUUGUCGAGCGGCUCCCUGGAUUCAUCGGACGUGAAUUCGGUUCCGCCCACUGCCACCCCCUGUGCCGCGGACGACGCCGAAGUGGCGUCACGACAAGCUCCGGGGCAAGAGGAGGUGGUCCAGGAGGAAGCGCGAGGCGACCUCCCAGACUCCAGGAGUAAAGGGGACAAGACCCCCCCCAGGGCUCCAAGUCCGGCUUUAAGCCGGACACCGCGCCGGAAUCGUCAAUGCUUUCGGACCGUGGCAGGUGAAAUCCUGACAAGAGGAGCAAGCCUAUUGAGCCGGCGUGCUCCGUCCAGCCGGAGGCGCCGGACAAUCUGCUGGAGGAGCUUGAGGGCGCCUCCAUCGACGAGGAGCACCGUACCAUCAUGAGUACGAUGGUCCAGAAGGUUCAGUCCGCCAAAAGCGGACUGACUGAAGCUUGUGCUAGCCUUCUAACAGGCUUCGAGGUAAGUAAAAAAUAUGUAAAAAUAUUACCGCAUAGACAGUAGCCCCUGAUGCUCUGUUUGGCGUUUGGAAAGAAAAGCCGAAUUGAGGAUCUAUUAAAUAUCGCAGGAGUCUAACUAAAAAGGAGUCAAUAUACGUAUGCAGGCUUCGCUGCUGGCCACCGUCGCACUGACUGCGGAGGUGGGUGCCCUGAAGCAGGGCCUCGAGCGGACCGAGCAAGAGCUCGGCCUUGCCAAACGGCAGCUCGAGGAGAAAGAAGGUAAGAGAUACCUUAUAGAAAAAAUGCCUAUAAGAAGGCGCAAUUGCAAAAAAUGACAGGAGUAUACUGCUUAUUUGUAGGGGCCAUAACUGUGGUGGCGACCCUUAAGCAGGCGUUGUCCGAGGCCGAAAAGAAAGCGGCCAUGGAGCGCACCGAGCGGGGGAAAUUUGAGGCGCAGGUCGGCGAGGUGCGGCAAGAGCUUCAGGCUCUCAUGAAAAAACAUGAGACUUUGGAGCUCGACUCAAAGACGCGAGCGUCCGAGCUUGCUGCGGCCCUUAAGACUGCCGAAUCUGCCAAGGACGAAGCCUAGAAGGCCCUCCAGGAAUUGGAUGCGGUGAAAAAGAUAGCAGCGGGUAAGGCAUUCUCUAUGCAAAGCAGACAUGUAAAAGUAAAUGACUUGUUACUUACCCGGAUCCGGAGCUCUCCAGGGGCAUUCGUAAAUCUUCCCCACAGCGUAUCCGAUGCCGCCGCAUUCUACCGAGCCGAGGAAGGCAGCUCGACGGAGAAGGUGUUCUGGUCUCAGUACGCUGAGGCCGGACACCCUGUGCCCUUGAGCGAUUAGCUGAAGCAGACGGUCGAGCUCCACAAGGCGGCCGAACAGGCCCUGAAGGGCUUCAUAGUUCGGUUGUGGCCUCGAGAGGCCCUGCCUGGGAGCUACUUCUGACUAGUGCGGCGGCUGGUAGAGGCUUGUCCAAUGCUCGAGGUCAUCAAGCGCUCCGUCUGCAUUGAAGGUUCCUGUAGGGCCCUUGCCCGUGCAAAGGUGCACUGGGGUAAGCUGGACGGUGAGAAGCUUGUGAGGGACGGGCCGCCGCCGGGGAAGGAGCAUCGCAAGCCCGAGAACUAUUACAAGGAUGUUCUGGCUGGUGCCCUCCUUAUGGUGGAUGAAUGCACCAGGGAUGUAAUUUUUGAAUGAACUCGCUCGUGUUAUCCUGUGCGCUGAAAACUUGUUCAUAUGCGCUAAGCAAUGCUUGUUGAAUUUAAAAUAUUACUUUCUGUGCGGCCGUUUAUCGGAAAAAAAAAUGAGAGAUGGCCAGUCGUCGGCUUCUGCCCCCAUGCCACUAGUGCUGGAGUGUUCAGGAUAAACCUGAGCGCUCUUUUUCCCAUGAUUGGGUCCGUCGAGGGAGGCGCUCAGCACAACGAACAAGGCAAUCGGACUAUAAUGCUUGAACACUCUCACUUAGCCAUAGAACUCUAUAAUUUUAAAUUUCGGCGAAGCCCCUAGUAUUCGGAAGACCGAGUUCGGGGCACUAUCCACACCUUGGCCGGACAUAGCCGGUUCCUCGCUCGAAGCGGCAUAAGUCUUUAAGGACUCGAAAAACCUCUCGAACAGCGACCGGUCUCUCGCCUCAUCAUGACAGUCAGUUUUAGCUUUCUCUACUGAGGUGCUCAGCCCAGCUCAACUGGGGCAUAAUCGCAGUAGUUCUCCUAGUGCUACCUUAGCCGAUAUAGCGGAACGUAAGGCACCAAAACAUAGGAGCCGGGCAAACCCAACUAUUGACCCAAAUCAUGAUUCGGAGCCGAUGCAUAUAGUGCUAUAAGUUCGGGGUGCCGCACUUGUGAAAGUGUACGGACUUAUCACGCCGUAUUGAUGGGUACUGAAGCCCCUGGCGUAUUUUUGCCGUACCACGGUGUAUGGAUGCAACAUGUUAUUAAUAAACAUAUAUAUAGAAAGAGGAUAAUGCAAAAAAUAGACAAAAAGCUAUGCAUUGUUUAUAGAAAGGCUGCUAUGAAAGCGGAACGAUACAAAUAGUGCGAUAAGCAAAAGAAAUUGGACUAUUUAACGUGUCCUGGCCAGGGGCAGGCCGCGGAAUUGUACUAAAAACAGGUAUACUGCUCGUAAUAGAGACCACCUGGGAGUUCCAUAAUGCGGCGUGGCUUGUCUGCUUUCCUGGAUCUUGCAUCGUUUGCGCGGCAGUUGACUUGUCGAACGGGUCGUCCGAAGUAUGGAGUCCUGAGAGUAAGGAAGAAAGAAAAAAGGAAUCCGGCAGCCCCUAGUGCAGUUUAGGCCGUUUUUCGGGCGUGCCGUGAUAGUGCCCCUUCCCCUGUGCCCAUGGUAUUUCAAGAGCGUAGUUAUGUACGUGAAGCACUGGUUUUGCUAUAUCGCGAGGGCUGGGGUUGGGGCCGUAUUGCUACGCUAGCUCGGAACAUGCCAGGCAGUUUUGUUGUAGGGUACUCCGGGCGCGCUUGACAGUGUUCGGCUUUUUGAAGGCCGAACUAGAGAACUGCCUAGAGAGGCUACUUUGUACUUCUGCUGCGAGCGCUGCCGUGUGCUCCGCCGUUCGGAGGGAGCGUUCGGUGUUCCCGUUGACCGUGAUUACUCCUCUAGGGCCUGGCAUCUUGAGCUUGAGGUAUGCAUAGUGCGGUACCGCGUUAAAUUUUGCGAAUGCGGUUCGCCCGAGCAGUGCAUGAUAGCCACUACGGAACGGGACGAUGUCGAAGAUUAACUCCUCGCUUUGGAAGUUAUCCGGAGAUCCGAAGACCACUUCCAGUGUGACUGAGCCUGUACAGUUGGCUUCUACACCUGGUAUGACGCCUUUAAAGGUCGUUUUGGUGGGCUUGAUCCUCGAGGGAUCUAUGCCCAUUUUUUCGCACUGUAUCUUGGUAGAGCAGGUUCAGGCUGCUGCCGCCGUCCAUGAGGACUCUUGUGAGAUGAAAUCCGUCAAUGAUUGGGUCUAGAACCAAUGCGGUGAAGCCACCGUGAUGGAUGCUAGUGGGGUGGUCCCUUCGAUCAAAGGUGAUCGGGCAGGAGGACCAUGGGUUGAACUUUGGGGCGACUGGCUCUAUCGCAUAUACGUCCCGUAACGCACGCUUCCGCUCCCUCUUGGGGAUGUGGGUUGCGUAUAUCAUGUUAACCGUCCGCACUUGCGGGGGAAAUCCCUUUUGUCCACUGUUGUUCGGCUGCCUGGGCUCCUCCUCGUUGUCGCUAUACAGCCCCUUGUCUUUGUUUUCGGCUCUUAACUUGCCUGCCUGCUUGAACACCCAACAAUCCCUGUUGGUGUGAUUGGCUGGCUUUUCGGGGGUGCCAUGUAUCUGGCACAAGCGGUCGAGUAUUCGGUCUAAACUGGACGGGCCCUGAGUAUUUCUUUUGAAUGGCUUUUUCCGUUAACCGGAUUUGUAGCCUCGGAAUCCGGCAUUAACUACCGUAUCCUCGUUGUUGUUGCUGUUAACGUGGCGCUUUUGUUUGUUCCGACGCGACCUGUCACUUUUGUCCUUGGUAUUCGAAUUACCAGGGUUCUUGGUUAAGUUAUUGCUGCGAGCUAGCCAGCUGUCUUCUCCCGCGCAAAAGCGGGUCAUGAGUGUCAUGAGGGCUGCCAUAGAUUUCGGCUUUUCCUGUCCCAGGUGCCGGGCCAGCCACUCAUCACAGAUAUUAUGCUUGAAGGCCGCUAAGGCCUCUGCGUCCGGGCAGUCGACUAUCUGGUUUUUCUUUGUUAGGAACCGUGUCCAGAAUUGCCUGGCCGAUUCCUCUGGCUGCUGAAUUAUGUGGCUUAGGUCAUCAGCAUCCGGUGGUCGCACAUAAGUGCCCUGGAAGUUGUCAAGAAAUGCGGCUUCCAGGUCCUCCCAAGAACCGAUUGAGUCUGCUGGCAAGCUGUUAAGCCAAUGCCGGGCCGGUCCCUUAAGUUUGAGUGAGAGGUAUUUGAUGGCGUGUAGAUCAUCACCGCGGGCCAUGUGGAUAUGAAGGAGAUAGUCCUCGAUCCAUACCGCAGGAUCUGUUCUGCCAUCGUACGAUUCGAUGUUUACGGGUUUGAAGCCCUCAGGGAUUUUAUGAUCCAUUACCUCAUCUGUGAAGCAUAGUGGGUGUGCGGCGCCUCUGUAUUGGACUAUAUCACGACGCAGCUCGAAGGAGCUUUGUCUGUUGAGUUCGGCCCGGCCGGAUUCAUUGCAUCCGGAGUGACGGUCACCGUCACGUGAUGUGGGGCGCCUGCGUGAUCCGUAGAUCAAUCUUGUUUGCCUUGCCUUGUCCUCCAGUAUGUCAUGCAGGUUGGGUGCAUUUUCUCGUGUAGUAUGCUUGACGCGGCGCCGGGGCAUGGCUUGAGUGGAGGGCCGAGAGGCCUCUCUGUCGCAGUCACGAGGUGGCCGGUCGGCCAUGUCAUGCGCUGGUGAUGUAGGUGCUUCCUCCUCUAGUGGGGGUAGCAGCCUGCGCUUUGGGUAGCUCUUGGAGGGGCGUUCGAGUUCAUACUCUUUGGCCGCAAGGACUUCAGUCCAUCUGUCAGCUAGCAAAUCUUGAUCAGCUCUAAGCUGUUGCUGCUUUUUCUUGAGGCUGCUUACCAUGGCCAUAAGCCUGUGUUUAAAACGCUCUUGUUCGGCGAGGUCCUCUGGCACGACGAACUCGUCGUCGUCGAGGCUUGCAUCGUCUUCGGAGGGAGGCGUAUAAUCAUCAUCCUCAACCUCCUGGUCCGCUGCCCUCUCGUGAGGGCUGGCUUCUCUGUCCUCCUAUUCUGAAUCUUGCUAGAGGGGGUGUCCUUCGGCGUUAUCCAGAGUAGCAUUAUCUCAUGUGCCGGAAUCACCGUUUUUGCUUUGGCGGGAUUUAGAGUGGCGCCGCUGACGUCGGCGCUUGGGCUGUUUCCUAGAGGUAUCGUCCCCGGCUAUUUCAUCGCCAUCGCCAUCCUUUGGAGUGUCCACCAUAUAUAUGUCAUAUGAUGAGGUGGCCUUCUAGCGCCCUACAGGUGCUGGUUCUUGUUCGUCUGCUGCAUCGUCAUCCAUGCCGUCGAUGUCUUCGGAGUCGAAGUCGAGCAUGUCAGUUAAGUCGUCGAUAGUGGCUACGAAGUGGGUGGCGGGUGGGUUUUGAAUUUCUUCGUCGUCCGCAUCCCAACCUUGCUGACCGUGGUCCGGCCAGGGCUCUCCUGAUAAAGAGAGAGACUUUAGGGAAUUCAGGAUGUUGCCAAAGGGCGAGUGCUGAAAGAUGUCCGCGGCGGUGAACUCCAUUAUCGAUGCCCAAUCGGAUUCGAUCGGUAGGGGUGCGGGGGGCUCGGAGUUCGGAGAGGAAUCCGGCUCCUCGGAGUCACGGGCCAUGCGGAGUGCGGGGCUGGAGUUCGGCUCGAUCGCCUCUAAGAUCGCAGCCCCUGAGGCAGCGUCUAACCGCUGAUCCUCGAUCAGCGUAGUAGGCUCCGAAUCAAUGGUCGGAACCGAUGCAUGUGCGGCCUCCAAGGCGCUGUUCGGAGGCAGAGCUAUAUCAUGCCCAUCGAGACAGUGCAGCGCGCUUGGCUGUGGCUCGAAUCCGUCGAAGAUCAAGUCCCCGCGGAUGUCAGCCGUAUAGUUUAGGCUUCCAAACCUGACCUGAUGGCCAGGGGCGUAGCUUUCGAUCUGCUCAAGGUGGCCAAGCGAAUUGGCCCGCAGUGCGAAGCCGCCGAAGACGAAGAUCUGUCCGGGGAGAAAAGUCUCACCCUGGACUGCAUCGUUGUUGAUGAUCGAAGGAGCCAUCGAGCCUAAAAGUGACGACACAGAGGAACUCUCAAUGAAAGCACCAAUGUCGGUGUCAAAACCGGCGGAUCUCGGGUAGGGGGUCCCGAACUGUGCAUCUAGGCGGAUGGUAACAGGAGACAAGGGACACAAUGUUUUACCCAGGUUCGGGCCCUCUUAAUGGAGGUAAAACCCUACGUCCUGCUCGAUUAAAUUGAUGAUAUGGGUAGUACAAGAGUAGAUCUACCACGAGAUCAAGGAGUCUAAACCCUAGAAGCUAGCCUAUGGUAUGAUUGUUGUAUGAUGAAGUUGUCCUACGGACUAAAACCCUCCGGUUUAUAUAGACACCGGAGAGGGUUAGGGUUACACAAAGUCGGUUACAAUGGUAGGAGAUCUUGAAUAUCCGCAUCACCAAGCUUGCCUUCCACGCCAAGGAAAGUCCCAUCCGGACACGGGACUAAUUCUUCAAUCUUGUAUCUUCAUAGUCCUGGAGUCCGGCUACCCGAACACCCCCUAAUCAGUGACUCUCUCAAAGAGCCUAAUCUUGGGGAUGCCCAUGGCACCCCCAAGAUAAUCUAAGGACACCUAAAAGCCAAAGCUUGGGGAUGCCCCGGAAGGCAUCCCCUCUUUUGUCUACUUCUAUCGGUAACUUUACUUGGAGCUAUAUUUUUAUUCACCACAUGAUAUGUGUUUUGCUUGGAGCGUCUUGUAUGAUUUGAGUCUUUAUUUGUUAGUUUGCCACAAUCAUCCUUUUUGUACACACCUUUUGAGAGAUACACACAUGAUUCGGAAAUUAUUAUAAUACUCUAUGUGCUUCACUUAUAUCUUUUGAGUUAUAUAGUUUUGCUCUAGUGCUUCACUUAUAUAUUUUAGAGCACGGUGGUGGAUUUGUUUUAUAGAAACUAUUGAUCUCACAUGCUUCACUUAGAUUAUUUUGAGAGUCUUAAAUAGCAUGGUAAUUUGCUUAAAUAAUCAUAUAUGCUAGGUAUACAAGAUUAAUAAUAAAAUUCUCUUAUGAGUGUGUUGAAUACUAUGAGAAGUUUGAUGCUUGAUAAUUGUUUUGAGAUAUGGAGGUAGUGAUAUUAAAGUUGUGCUAGUUGAGUAGUUGUGAAUUUGAGAAAUACUUGUGUUAAAGUUUGUGAUUCCCGUAGCAUGCACGUAUGGUGAACCGUUAUGUGAUGAAGUCGGAGCAUGAUUUAUUUAUUGAUUGUCUUCCUUAUGAGUGGCGGUCGGGGACGAGCGAUGGUCUUUUCCUACCGAUCUAUCCCCCUAGGAGCAUGCGCGUAAUACUUUGCUUUGAUGACUUGUAGAUUUUUGCAAUAAGUAUAUGAGUUCUUUAUGACUAAUGUUGAGUCCAUUGAUUAUACGCACUCUCACCCUUCCAUCAUUGCUAGCCUCUCUAAUACCGCACACCUUUCGCCGGUAUCAUACACCCACCAUAUACCUUCCUAAAAACAGCCACCAUACCUACCUAUCAUGGCAUUUCCAUAGCCAUUCCGAGAUAUAUUGCCAUGCAACUUUCCACCGUUCCGUUAAUUAUGACACGCUCCAUCAUUGUCAUAUAGCUUUGCAUGAUCAUGUAGUUGACAUUGUAUUUGUGGAAAAGCCACCAUUCAUAAUUCUUUCAUACAUGUCACUCAUGAGUCAUUGCAUAUCCCGGUACACCGCCGGAGGCAUUCAUAUAGAGUCAUAUCUUGUUCUAAGUAUUGAGUUGUAAUUGUUGAGUUGUAAGUAAAUAAAAGUGUGAUGAUCAUCAUUAUUAGAGCAUUGUCACAGUGAGGAAAGGAUGGUGGAGACUAUGAUUCCCCCACAAGUCGGGAUGAGACUCCGGACGAAAAAAAGAGGCCAUAAAAAAAGAGAAAAAGGCCCAAAUAAAAAAUGAGAGAAAAAGAGGGAAGGGACAAUGCUACUAUCCUUUUACCACACUUGUGCUUCAAAGUAGCACCAUGAUCUUCAUGAUAGAGAGUCUCCUUUGUUAUCACUUUCAUAUACUAAUGGGAAAUUUUCAUUAUAUAACUUGGCUUGCAUAUUCCAAUGAUGGGCUUCCUCAAAAUGCCCUAGGUCUUCGUGAGCAAGCAAGUUGGAUGCACACCCACUUAGUUUAUUUUUGAGCUUUCAUAUACUUAUAGCUCUAGUGCAUCUGUUGCAUGGCAAUACCUACUCACUCACAUUGAUAUCUAUUUAUGGGCAUCUCCAUAGCCCGUUGAUACUCCUAGUUGCUGUGAGACUAUCUUCUCCCUUUUUUGUCUCCUCCACAACCACCAUUCUAUUCCACUUAAAGUGCUAUGUCCAUGGCUCACGCUCAUGUAUUGCGUGAAGAUUGAAAAAGUUUUGAGAAUGUCAAAAGUAUGAAACAAUUGCUUGGCUUGUUAUCGGGGUUGUGCAUGAUUUAAAUACUUUGUGUGGUGAAGAUAGAGCAUAGCCAGACUAUAUGAUUUUGUAGGGAUAACUUUCUUUGGCCAUGUUAUUUUGAAGAGACAUAAUUGCUUAGUUAGUAUGCUUAAAGUAUUAUUAUUUUUAUGUCAAUAUUAAACUUUUGUCUUGAAUCUUUCGGGUCUGAAUAUUCAAGCCACAAUUAAGAAGAAUUACAUUGAAAUUAUGCCAAGUAGCAUUCCACAUCAAAAAUUCUGUUUUUAUCAUUUACCUACUCGAGGACGAGCAGGAAUUAAGCUUGGGGAUGCUUGAUAUGUCUCCAACGUAUCUAUAAUUUUUGAUUGCUCCAUGCUAUAUUAUCUACUGUUUUGGACAUUAUUGGGCUUUAUUAUCCACAUUUAUAUUAUUUUUGGGACUAACCUAUUAACCGAAGGCCCAGCCCAGAAUUGUUGUUUUUUGCCUAUUUUAGGGUUUCGAAGAAAGGGAAUAUCAAACGGAGUCCAAACGGAAUGAAACCUUCGGGAACGUGAUUUUCUCACUGAACCUGAUCCAGGAGACAUGGACCCUACAUCAAGCAACCAACAGGGAGGCCACGAGGUAGNNNNNNNNNNNNNNNNNNNNNNNNNNNNNNNNNNNNNNNNNNNNNNNNNNNNNNNNNNNNNNNNNNNNNNNNNNNNNNNNNNNNNNNNNNNNNNNNNNNNNNNNNNNNNNNNNNNNNNNNNNNNNNNNNNNNNNNNNNNNNNNNNNNNNNNNNNNNNNNNNNNNNNNNNNNNNNNNNNNNNNNNNNNNNNNNNNNNNUAUACCUACGUACCCCCAAACGAUCAGAUACGGAGCCAAAACCCUAAUUCCACCGCCGUAACUUUCUGUAUCCACGAGAUCCCAUCUCGGGGCAUGUUCCGCAGCUCCGCCGGAGGGGGCAUCGAUCACGGAGGGCUUCUACAUCAACACCAUAGCCUCUCUGAUGAAGUGUGAGUAGUUUACCUCAGACCUUCGGGUCCAUAGUUAUUAGCUAGAUGGCUUCUUCUCUCUUUUUGGAUCUCAAUACAAAGUUCUCCCCCUCCCUUGUGGAGAUCUAUUUGAUGUAAUCUUUUUUUGCGGUGUGUUUGUUGAGACCGAUGAAUUGUGGUUUUAUGAUCAAGUUUAUCUAUGAACAAUAUUUGAAUCUUCUCUGAAUUCUUUUAUGUAUGAUUGGUUAUCUUUGCAAGUCUCUUCGAAUUAUCAGUUUGGUUUGGCCUACUAGAUUGAUCUUUCUUGCAAAGGGAGAAGUGCUUAGCUUUGGGUUCAAUAUUGCGGUGUCCUUUCCCAGUGACAGUAGGGGCAGCAAGGCACGUAUUGCAUUGUUGCCAUCGAGGUUAACAAGAUGGGGUUUUUAUCAUAUUGCAUGAAUUUAUCCCUCUACAUCAGGUCAUCUUGCUUAAGGCGUUACUCUGUUCUUAUGAACUUAAUACUCUAGAUGCAUGCUGGAUAGCAGUCGAUGUGUGGAGUAAUAGUAGUAGAUGCAAGCAGGAGUCAGUCUACUUGUCUUGGACGUGAUGCCUAUAUACAUGAUCAUACCUAGAUAUUCGCAUAACUAUGCUCAAUUCUGUCAAUUGCUCAACAGUAAUUCGUUCACCCACCGUAAAAUACCUAUGCUCUUGAGAGAAGCCACUAGUGAAACAUAUGGUCCCCGGGUCUAUCUUCAUCAUAUUAAUCUUCCAAUACUUAGUUAUUUUCAUUGCUUUUACUUUACUUUGCAUCUUUAUCAUAAAAAUACCAAAAAUAUUAUCUUAUCAGAUCUCACUCUCGUAAGUGACCGUGUAGGGAUUGACAACCCCUUAUGGCGUUGGUUGCGAGGAUUUAUUUGUAAUGUGUAGGUGCGAGGGACUCGCGCGUAGCCUCCUACUGGAUUGAUACCUUGGUUCUCAAAAACUAAGGGAAAUAAUUACGCUACUUUGCUGCACCACCCUUUGCUCUUCAAGGGAAAACCAACGCAAGUGCUCAAGAGGUAGCAUCCAGCAUGCGAUGGCUCCCCAUGAUCCUCGUCAGAGGGAUCGCUAGACUCAAAGGAGAUGGCUAGCAUGUCUCCGCCACCUGCUCAUUCCGUCUCCCAAGGGUGACGACGAGGUGGUGUCGCAAAAGACCUUCCCUGACCGGGGGGGCUUCCGGAGAUCGUCGGGGUGGCGCCCCAGGACGAUUCCUCAAUUGCCGAAUGCAUGGGGGAAAAUGCCCCUAUGGGGACUGGUGACGGGGGCCGGGUUCCCUUCGGACCUGAGCCGGAUACCAUUUCGGAGAUCUAUGCGGCUCCGGAGUCCAGGGAACGGCAUGCCCCGAAAGGAGGGAAUGUGCAUGUUCCGUCGGUGACCUCUAUCCAACUAGAGGCGCCAGAUAACCUGCUGGAGGCGCUACGAGGCGCCUCUAUUGUGGACACCGCGCCCUUAUGGGCACGGUAAUAGAGAAGGUCCAGUUCAUGAAAAGCGGACUGACCGAAGCCUGCACUAGCCUUCUAUCAGACUUUGAGGUAACUAAUGCGUUUGUAGGAAGAAUAUAACAUUAUAGACAGUAGCCUCUGAUGCUCUGUUUGGUGUUUGGAAAGAAAAGGCCGAAUAGAGGAUCGAGAAGAAAUAUCGCAGGAGUCUAACAUAAGUUGUCUUCGUGAAUAAGCAGGUGCCGCUGCAGGCUGCCACUGCUCAUGCUGCAGAGGUCUCCGGAUUGAAGUGGGAACUGGAGCGGGCCGAGGAAGAGCUCGGCCUCGUAAAGAAGCAGCUAGAGGAUAGCCAAGGUAUGUACUGACCUGCUGGUACCUUUUAAGAAAAAAUGAAUAGUCCAUUCAGACUGAGUUGUCAUGAACUUUAUUAGGGGCCACGACCAAGGUGUCAGCCCUCAAGAAGGUGUUAGCCGAGGCUGAGGACAAAGCGACCAAGGAACACGCCGCGCGCAAGAAGCACGAGGCCCAGGUUGGCGAGGCGCAACAACAACUCCAGGGUGCAAUCGAGAGAUUUGAGUCCUUGGAGCGCGAUUGUAAGGCGCAAGAGUCCGAACUGGCGAAGGCUCGCCGGAGCGCACAGGAUGCACGAGUCGAAGCCCAAGACGCCCUCUAGGAAAUUCAGGCGGCCAAGGAGAUUGCGGCGGGUAAUUCUUUCACCAUGCAAAGCAAUUAUGUAGAAGAAACGUUCCUUGUACUUAUCCGAAUUUGGGUUGUCCAUAGGCGUUUACGGAUCUGCCGUGCAGUAUAUCUGAUGCUGCCGAGCAUUAUAGAGCCGAAGAAGGGAUGUCUACGGAGAAUCUAUUCUGGUCCCAAUAUCUUGGACCCGAAUAUCCGUUGUCCUCCAGCGACCAGCUAAAGCAGUUGGUCGAGCUACACAGGUCGGCAGAGCUAGCCAUGAAGGACCUGAUAGUCCGGUUGUGGCCUGCCGAGCCUAUACCUAGCAGCUAUUUUGGACUUAUUAAGCGGCUUGUAAAUGCCUGUCCGCGGCUCAAAACCGUGAAGCGGUCGGUCUGCAUUGAAGGUGCGCGUAUGGCCUUUGCCCGCGUCAAGACGUAUUGGGCAAAGCUAGAUGCCAAGAAGUUGAUGUCCGAGGGGCCAUCGGAGGGCAAGGAGCAUCGUCAACCCGAGCUCUAUUUUGAUGGCGUCCUGGAGGGGUCCCGCCUUGCGGCGGAGUAAUGUUCGAAGGAUGUCAUAUUCCCAUGAGAACAUUUGUAUUAUCUUGUCCUAUAAUAUGGAACAAUUAUGUUAUGUAUUAUAAUGCUUGUGAUUUACAUUUUACCUCCUGUGCGGCCGUUUAUGAAAUUUGAGGGUUGACCAGUCGUCGACUUCUGCCCCCACAUAGAUAGUACAGGGGUGUUCAGGAUAAAUCUAAACUCUUUACUCCACAUUCUGUUCCUUAAAGGAGGUGUUUAGCGCAAUGAACAAGGCAAUUAGACUAUGCGACCUUUACCGCCCUCACUUAGCCAUAGGAAUUUGACAAUUAAAAAAGUUGGCGAAGCCCAUGGUAUUCGGAAGGCCGAACUAGGGGCGUUAUACACGCCUAAUCAGAGGGACCGAUUCUCCGCAAGAAGCGGAAAAAAUCUGUAACGAUUGGGAACCUCUCGAACAGCUGACCGGCUCUCGCCGCAUCAUGCCAGUCAGUUUUCGGCUUUCUCUACUGAGGUGCUCGUCCGGAAGAACCGGGACACAAUUGUAGUAGAUCUCCCUUUACUACCCUAGCCGAUAUAGCGGAACGUAAGGUAGUAAGCACAUGAGCCGGGCAACCCAACUAUUGACCAAAGACAUGAUUCGGAGCUGAUGCAUAUAAUGCUAUAAGUUCGGGGUGCCAAACUAUACUGGAAAAGUGUUCGGACUUUUAUUGCCGUAAUACGGGGUGUAAUGAAUCCCCUGGCGCAGUAAUGCGUACCAUAGUGUACGCGUGCAAUAAGUAAUAUACACAAAGGUGAGGAAACAGGAAAAAUUAAGUAAUAAGCUGACGCCACCAUUUAUUCACCAUUGUGAUGUAAUUAGUACGUCGAGGCGUACUUUGUGCGAGUAAUGUCAUAAGCAAGUAAAGCUAUUUAACAUGUCGCAACCAAGGGCGAGCUACGUGCGGGUAUGUAAAACAAGUAUGGCAAUCGUUUAAUAGAGACCACCCGGGGAUUCCCUUUUAUGCCAGAGCUUCUUGCCUCCUUGGUCUGUUCUGCAAGCGGGUCGUCCGCAUAGAUCUUGAAAAGAGAAAAGACCCGUGAUAAUAAAAAAGAAAAAAUAAAGGAGUGUGAAUCCCAGGGUCGGUCAAGCCGCACUGUGGAUCGCGAGCUAGCUAUGCCUCCGUCAGUACCCAUGGGGUUUUGAGUGUGUAAUUAUGUGCGUGCAGUACGGAUUCCCUUUCCUCAUCAGGGCUGGGAAGAAGACCAAAUUUACUAAUUCAGCUCUUGACGAACCGAGCUGCCAUGUUGCAGUGUAGUCCAGACCUUCUUAACGAUGUCCAGGGGCUCGGCGGCCGGAUUAUGGUGCCGCUUGAGAAGGCCGCUCUGUACUUCUGCUGCUAGGGCUGCGGUAUGCUCCUCUAUGCGGAGGGAACGUUUCGUGUUUCCAUUUACUUUAAUGACGCCGCGCGGACCAGGCAUCUUGAGCUUGAGAUAAGCAUAAUGCGGCACCGCGUUGAAUUUAGCGAACGUGGUUCGUCCGAGCAGUGCGUGGUAGCCGCUGCGGAAGGGGACGUUAUCGAAGAUUAGCUAUUUGCUUAAGAAGUUAUCCGGGGAACCGAAGACCACCUCCAGCGUGAUCGAGCCCGUACAACGGGCUUCUACACCUGGUAUAACUCCUUUAAAGGUAGUUAUCGUGGGCUUGGUUCGUGAGAGAUUAAUGCCCAUUUUGCGUACUAUAUCCUGAUAGAGCAGGUUGAGGCUGCUACCACCGUCCAUUAGGACUCGUGUCAUGUGAAAUCCGUCGAUGAUUGGCUCGAGUACCAAUGUGGCCGAACCACCAUGACGGAUGCUAGUUGGAUGAUCACGACGAUCAAAGGUGAUCGGGAAUGACGACCAUGGGUUGAACUUUGGGGCGACUGGCUCAACCGCAUAAACGUCCCUAAGUGCGCACUUGCGUUCCCUUUUGGGGAUGUGUGUAGCAUAUAUCAUGUUCACCAUUUUGACUUGAGGCGGGAAUUUCUUCUGCCCCCCAGUGUUCGACUAUCGGGGCUCCUCGUCUUCAUCCUCGCUCUACGAUUCCCCUUCCUUGUUUCCGCUAUUUACCUUGCUGGCUUGCUUAAAGACCCGGCAAUCUCUAUUAGUAUGGUUGGUCGAUUUGUCUCGGGUGCCAUGUAUCUGGCACGGACGAUCGAGUGUGCGGUCCAAGCUAGAUGGUCCUCCGCCGUUCCUUCUAUAGGGCUUCUUUCGCUGGCCGGACUUGGAGCCACUGAAUCCAACGUGAAUGGUAGUCUCAUUGGUGUUAUCGCCAUUGCUUCGGCGUUUGUGUCUGUUGCGCCAGAGCUUGCUGGUGCUGUUUUUGGCCUCGGAGGGGCCUACUUCGUUGGCUGUGUUUCUACUGUGAGCGAGCCAACUAUCCUCUCCCACGCAAAAGUGGGUCAUAAGUGUCGUGAGUGCCGCCAUGGACCCUUGGCUUUUCUUGGCCGAGAUGGCGGGCUGGCCAUUCAUCACGAAUGUUGUGUUUAAAGGCCGCUAGGGCUUCGGCAUCCGGACAGUCAACGAUCUGGUUCUUUUUGGUUAGGAACCUAGUCCAGAAUUUUCUGGCUGAUUGUCCAGGCUGUUGAACUAUGUGGCUUAGGUCAUCGGCAUCUGGUGGCUGGACAUAUGUACCUUGGAAGUUGUCGAGGAAGGCUUCUUCCAAGUCCUCCCAGCUGCCAAUGGAAUUUUCAGGCAGGCUGUUCAGCCAGUGUUGAGCUGGUCCUUUAAGCUUUAAUGGAAGGUAUUUGAUAGCGUGGAGGUCAUCUCCUCAGGCCAUGUGGAUGUGGAGAAUAAAAUCUUCGAUCCACACUGCGGUGUCGGUUUUUCCGUCGUAUGAUUCAAUAUUAACGGGCUUGAACCCCUCGGGGAAUUCGUGAUCCAGCACCUCAUCUGUGAAGCAGAGAGGGUGUGCGGCGCCUCUAUAGCGGGCCGCGUCAAGGCGCACCUCCGAUGAAGUCUGUCUGUGGUUAUCGGCCCGGGUGUAAUUGAGUUUGUCACGUCCGAGUAGGUGGUUGUCAUCCCGAGCGGGGAAGUGUCCUCGCGAUCCGUAAAUUGAUCUGGUGUGUCCUACCCUACUGUUCCUGUUUUGCAAGGCGGUGGGGCCGCUUGUUGUUCGGCCCGAGUUGCCGUUUUAUCCCGACCACGGGGUGGUCGGUCUGCCGCACUAUCCCGACCACAUGGUGGUCGUUCCACAUUACGCGAGGAAAGUAUGGGAUUUGGUACCUCCUCAUCGAACUGAGGUAGCAGUCUGCACUUUGGGAAACUCUUGGUUGGGUGCUUGAGGCCGUUUUCUUUGGCUGCCAGGAUAUCGGUCCAUCUGUCAAUGAGUAGGUCUUGAUCGACUUGCAGCUGCUGCUGCUUUUUCUUUAGGCUUCUUGCAGUAGCUAUCAGCUGGCGCUUGAAGCGCUCCUGCUCUAGGGGUGCCUCAGGCACGAUGAAAUCCUCGUUGCCGAGGCUCUCCUCAUCCUCGAAGGGUGGGCGAUAACUAUCAUCUUCUGAGUCGCUCGGCAUGUCCUGUUUAUCAGGGUUAGCUUGCUCAUUGUCCUGUUCUUCCUGUUCGGAUGCUGCUCCAACAGGGUCUUCGUUGUUUUCAGCGUCGUCCGAAGUGCUAUUUUCUCCAGUGCCAGUGUUGCCAUCUUUUGAGUGGUGUGGCUUAGAGCGGCGUUUAGGGCGCCGGCGCUUGGACUGUGUCUCAGAAGGUUUAUUCACAUCUGGGUCUUCUUUGUCAUCGCCACUAGAUUUUUUAGGUGUAUCAACCAUGUACACAUCGAUGAAGAGGUGGCCGUCCAGUGUCCCGUGAGUUGUGGGUCUUGGCCUUGCUCCUUAUCAGCAUCGUCGUUCAUACCGUCGAUGUCUUUGGAGUCAUAAUCCAGCACGUCGGUUAAGUCCUCGGCAGUAGCUAUGAAGUGGGUGGCGGGUGGGAAGCGAAAUUCUUCGUCGUCAGCCCCUAGUUCGAGCUGGACAUAGUUCGGUUGCGAGUCUCCCGUGAAUGAUAGGUUCUUUAAAGAGUUUAGCACAUCGCCCAAAGGUGAGUGCUGGAAAACGUCUGCAGCGCUAAAUUCGAAGAUCGAUAACCGAUCUAGUUCGGUGUCCGCGAGCGUACAUGGUCCGGAACUUAUAGCCGGAGACGAGUCCGGAGUUCCGUUGGCACAAAUAUUGCCGGGUGUCGAGUAUGUGUGUGGCUCUAGCGCCGCGGAUUUUCUGGCCUCGAAUGGCACAAUCUGCUCUAGUUCUAAGACCAUUGCAGUAGUAGGAGCCAUCUCCUGGAUCUGAUCUGAUGACGGAUUUAAGUCAUGUUCAUUGGGGCGAGGGGGAGCGAUCACUGCGGUCUCAAAUCCCUUGAAGAUCAAGUCUCCACGGAUAUCCGUGACGUAGUUCAAGCUUCCAAAUCUGACCUGGUGGCCAGGGGCGUAGCUAUCGAUCUGCUCCAGAUGGCCAAGCGAGUUGGCCCGCAGUAUGAAGCCGCCGAACACGAAAAUCUGUUCGGGGAGGAAGGUUUCUCCUUGGACAUCGUCACUAUAGGCGAUUGAAGGGGCCAUCGAACCUUUUGUUGAUGGCACAGUGGAACUCUCAAUGAAAGCACCAAUGUCGGUGUCAAAACCGGCGGAUCUCGGGUAGGGGGUCCUGAACUGUGCGUCUAGGAUCGAUGGUAACAGGAUACAGGGGACACAAUGUUUACCCAGGUUCGGGCCCUCUAUAUGGAGGUAAUACCCUACGUCCUACUUGAUUGAUAUUGAUGAAUAUGAGUGUUACAAGAGUUGAUCUACCACGAGAUCGUAAUGGCUAAACCCUAGAAGCCUAGCCUAUAUGACUAUGGUAAUGAGUAUGUCCUCUCUGGACUAACCCCUCCGGUUUAUAUAGACACCGAAGGGAUUUAGGGUUUACAUAGAGUCAGUUACAUAAGGAGGAAUCUUCAUAGUCGGUUGCCAAGCUUUCCUUCCACGCCAAGGAGAGUCCAGUCCGGACACAGGUAUAGUCUUCGGCCUUCAUGUCUUCAUAGCCCAUCAGUCCGGCCCAAUAGAUAACAGGCCGGACGCCCGAGGACCCCUUAGUCCAGGACUCCCUCAACUACCUCACCCGUAGACUUGACGUGUACUCCAAGAUCUCCGCCUCCGCCUAGCUCCUAGAUAUCGAUCUUGUAACCCAAGAUAUCUUCCCUGGCGUGUCUAUAAGCCAUAAGGUUUAGCCCGGAGAGGGGACAUGUACAAAAAAUCAUUCACCUAGCCCUGGAGUUAUACCACACAUUAUGAUCUCGAGGUAGAUCAACUCUAUACUCGAUACAUCUUCAUCAAUAUAAACAAGAGCAGGAUGUAGGGUUUUACCUCCAUUAGGAGGGCCAGAGCCUGGGUAAACAUCGUCUCCUUCGUUCCUGUUAUCCUCAAUCCAAGAUCCACAGCUCGGGACCCCCUACCCCGAGGUCUGCCGGUUUUGACACUGACAAGUGGCGACGGAGGCGCACUGAAGAGCUGGUGAUGCGGCGCCCCCCAUCCCCCUCUUCGAUCAUCCUGUGGUUUAUCUAGCGGGUGACUGCACCAACUUGGACCUCCAGGGUCGAAGCCGGUGGAGGCACGCGGCAUGCGAGCAUGGGCGGUGCAAUGGUAUCAAGUGGCUCAUCAAAGGCCAUUGUUGUUGCAUUCUUGAAGGAGAGCAGGGAGGAGAGUGUAGCCGCCAUGGUGGCCUCGAGCUUGAGUUGCAUGCAGUCGGGGUGAGGGUGGAGCUAGCGCUUGUCCUUGGCGAAGAACUCCGUGAUUGGGUCCGCUGCUCCAGCAGGGGCGAUCAUAGGGACCUAAGCAGGUGCGUCCAUUGGCGGUGUAAUUGAGCGAAGUGGUAGGGGCGGCGUGGUAGAGGAGGCCGCUUGGUCAUGUCAUGCCUCAUUGUGCUGCGCCCGCUGGAGCCGCCGCCAUGGUGCCUGCUGACAGGGGUCCUGCUCAUAUGCCUCGACGCCACCACGUCUUGCGCCGGAGCCUUGUCCUUGGAGUGGCUCAUGUGGCCGAGCAGGGUGUCCUUCCGCGAACGGCACCCGCCUCCUUGGUUGUCNNNNNNNNNNNNNNNNNNNNNNNNNNNNNNNNNNNNNNNNNNNNNNNNNNNNNNNNNNNNNNNNNNNNNNNNNNNNNNNNNNNNNNNNNNNNNNNNNNNNNNNNNNNNNNNNNNNNNNNNNNNNNNNNNNNNNNNNNNNNNNNNNNNNNNNNNNNNNNNNNNNNNNNNNNNNNNNNNNNNNNNNNNNNNNNNNNNNNNNNNNNNNNNNNNNNNNNNNNNNNNNNNNNNNNNNNNNNNNNNNNNNNNNNNNNNNNNNNNNNNNNNNNNNNNNNNNNNNNNNNNNNNNNNNNNNNNNNNNNNNNNNNNNNNNNNNNNNNNNNNNNNNNNNNNNNNNNNNNNNNNNNNNNNNNNNNNNNNNNNNNNNNNNNNNNNNNNNNNNNNNNNNNNNNNNNNNNNNNNNNNNNNNNNNNNAUUGGAGAUCACCCUUGGCACCUGGCGACGCACAUGCCCUUGUCCGUCCUCCACCCCGUGUACCACGUGCCUGGCUCGGUGCGGGGGAGAGGCUCAUCAUCAGAUCCAGAGGAGGGCAGCCUACUCUACCCGGAGUGGGAGGAGCAUGGCAACGGCGGCCACCAAUCCUCCACGCGGUCAGCGUGGAUGAGCAGGUCGUACCUAGUGACCUCAGGUGGGCACCGCGAUCUUGUGGUCCAGCAGUGAGUACCCCAGCAUCUCCUCGACCCGCCUGGCUACUCUCUUCAUGUUCUAGAGCGUGCGCCAAGUUCGAAUGUGGGUGACAUCCCACACCGAUAUCCAGAAGGCGAACGUCUUCAUGUGGUCGCGCUCCACUAUGCGGCAGUCGAGACAAUCGACACGACAGAAAUCUCCAAGCGCCUCCUCAGCCCCCUCUAGUGACCAGAACUACAUGGGCAGCUUCUCGAUCACGAUGCGAACGUGCACCUGGAAGCGCUGCAGCAUCGCAUUGUCGAAGUCGGUCUAGGCGGAGAUGUCCAACCGCACGUCGUAUACGGUGAUGAAGCCCUUGUCCAUGGUGUUGUCGUGCAAUGCCGGGAGGUCGAACUAACGAUGAAGUCCUCCGAGACAUGCAUCAUGAUGCACGGCAGGUGGGCGAUGCGGAGCUGCUCCUCCAGGGCACGUCGAUGAGAAGGGGGUUCGUCGUGCCCCUGCCACCCGCGGCCUUGAGCUUGAUAGCAAGGUAGCACAGCACGAACACCCCAUGGUCCAUGGGCGGUGAGGAGAUCAGAACCUUGUGGCUGGACCGAGGGCGACGCGAGUGGUCGAUGUGGCAGAAGCGGACCGGGGCGAGCAGGAGAGGGCGUGGUCGGCGUGGAAGGGUGAGGGGUGGGGAGGCACAACCGAUCUUGUAGUGGGCGCGAUGGGAGGUGAGGACCUAGCCUGUCUUUGGCAUUACCAGAGCUGACUUUGUUCUUGGGAUUUCGGGGGCACUCUUUGCCAAAGUGGCAUGGAUUCUUACAGAUAAUGCAUCUUAGAGAAUCUCUACAAUCUUUGCGGCGAUGAAUGGUGCUGAGGCAUUGGAAGAAGAGGUCGUCGAAGCGCCUUAAGAAGGCCUCACAGUCACACCCCGGGUUUGCGCGGCUGCGCCCACGCCGGUCCACGCCAUGAUGGCGGUGGUGCUCGCUACGACCCGUUGGCUUGGAGCCGGCACACCUGUUCUUCUGGGAGACGACCUUGGCCCAGCCAUCGUCCAUGCCUGAAGGGGAAGGCUGGGCAGGGGGACGGGACAACCACAAUGGUUUUAAGCAACGGCUGCCCAAAAUGGCCGCGUACGCCUUGGUCCGGCGGACGGAGCGCAGGCACAGCGCUGUAAAUCGGGCGCCCGGGACGAACCACUGGGCAGAUCUGGCAUAAAUGCUGGGUGCCCCAUCCCCUGUUGUCUGUGGAAGAUGACCACGAAGACCGCGUGCGCUGGGAGUGGCCCAUGACGAGGAGGUGGCUCCAUGAUAGGAGCGUGUCGUGACGGGGUGGUGGCCGCCGUGACGGAGUGGCCUCCGGCUUCGGGAGGGGAGAAGUACAGAACUCUAAGUGGGAUGUGAAAUCUCACUCUCCCUUACUAUUGUCGAUUCUUCUAUUUUAUGUAUGUAGAUGAUACCGACAGGUGAAUAAGGCAAAAGUCAUUGCACAUGCCGGAUUUUUGUUGAAGCAUUUGGAUUUUGGACCGGCGAGGGUUGUGUUCCAUGAUGUGGUACAAAUUUGUAAUGUGCGGGAGGAUUUUUGGGUGGGACCGGGCUGGCGGACGUGUGCGUGGCAGUGGACUGGACGCCAGCAAAGUCCUCAAUUUGCCUCUGGUUUGAGGGAAAUUGGACGUGCAAACCGGUCCGUGGAAUGAUGGGAUACUCUGUUGGAUGACAAAUCGCGUCCAGACCAUUCAGUCCAAACGGUUGCCAGCUAUUUUGGUGUCAACAAUGGAGAUCCUUGUAAACAUGCCCUUGCAACAAAUAAAAUUAUAACCAAAGGCUUAGGGUCGGGUGCCGUAUUCUUACCCCCACAUCCAUUGGCGACGCUCGUGAGCAUAUCAUGAUGCCGCUUCUGGGCCUUCGUCUCGGUGGAGCAAACUAUUUUGAACAUAGAAGCUUGUAGAUGCAGUGGCAAAGAAGUUGUCAGUAAAGACGCCUCUCGAAAGCAAAUCAUCGUCUCCGGAGUAAAAAAACGCCAAUAAAUGCCUUUAAAAACUCCAAAGACCACGAGAGUCGGCCGAAUGCAAAUGGAUCCAAUGAAAACUUAGAAACCAAAAUAUUAAUGAUGACCCAUUGGCAACAAAACAAAAAAUGAUGACACCCUGGUUUUGAUAGACGGGAUGCAAUUGUACUCUCAGUUUACAGGGCGUACGCGUACCCCUAAGUCGUCAAUUUGACCAACCUAAUAAAAGUCAUAUAUUACAAAAAAUAUAUCAAUAUAAACUUCAGAUGUUAUAUUUUCAAAAGGUAUAAUUUUUGUGUUAUAUAGUUUAUAUUAGAAUGAUAAAAUUGACAACCUAGAUAUACGCGUAGGACUUGUAAACUGUAACGGAGGGAGUACUUUCUCCGAUCCAUGUUAAUUAAUGAUCUAUUAAAUUAUUAUAAUAAAUCGGCGAGAGUUAAUAUAGAUCGAAAGAACGUACUGUGUAUGUGUGCCGGAGAGUGCACACACGCGCCAAAACAUGUUCAACGUGGACAGGUGGUUUUGCGACAGAGAUUUCAGCCCGAUACUGACAGGGUGUGCGCGCGAUUCUAGCGUAACGGUAAUGAUUGAAUACAGUUGGAAAAACUUCGAAGACGAUAUACGUAGGUACGUACGGACAAAAGAUAUAAAUACGUAGCUGCUCCAGCGUAUAUGCGACACGUAGGUGCGUCAUUUGGAUCGACAGGAUGCUGAUGGUUUUGGUUGGUAUAACGAGAUUGAUCCAUCGACGCCUACUUGCACAUAUACUACUCCGUCCGAUUCAUAUUAAUUGUCACUGAUCAGAGGAACUAAUAAAAUAGUUUACUAUCGGCUACUGCUACUUGCAUUUAAACAACAAAAUGGUUAGUAAUAUAAUAGUACCUCUGAUUGGUCUCCUUUAUAUUUAGUGUUCAACUUUGACAGUAGAUUUGACUAAUAAAUUAUAAGUUGUACUCCCUUUGUUUUUAUUUACUUUGCAUAUUAGAGUUGACUAAAGUCAAACUUUCUAAAAUUUGAUCAAGUUUAUAGAAAAAAUAUAAAUAUUUGCCAUAACAAAUCUAUAUGAUGUGGAAGUACAUUCAAUAAUGAAUCUAAUGAUAUUGAUUUGUUAUUGUAUAUGUUAAUAUUUUUCUCGAUAAAUUUUGUCAAAGUUUACAAAAUUUGAUUUUGACCAAAACUAAUACGGGAAGUAAAUAUAAACGGAGGAAGUAUGUCACAAAACUCAUGUUGUUGGAUUCAUAAUUGAAAGUGGUUUCCAAUGAUACUAUUUUUAGGGUAUAUAAAUUAUUUUUUAUAGUUAAAUCAAAGUUCAAAAGUUGAUCCAAACUACAAAGAGAACUAAUAAACUAGGAAUCUGGCUCAAAUUUAACCGUAGAUUUGGCUAAUAUUCCAACUGCGGCUACUUGCACCCACAGAAUUUGCCUAAAACGACUCAUCAAUGAAGAACUAUACUACUAGUAAUACUCCCUCUGACCCUUUAUUUAAUUCAACUUUAGUACACAAAUUAUACUAAAGCAGCGAUAAUUAAUAUAGAUCAGAGGGAUUAAUUAGGAUUUCUGCUAGUAUCAAAAAACGGAACUGUGGAAGUUUCUUUAAUUCACCCGUGGUGCACCAUGCACCAAACACUCCAAUUGCCGAACCUUGUACAGUAUCUGAUGAACCAUAAAGCACUGACGGUGUACGCCGACAAGAGUGAUGCAUGGUUUGAAAGAAUUAAUACAACUGACUACCGUAUUUUGAAAACUGUUCCUAACAUGUUUUAUUUUUUUUCAAAAAACAGGGUCUAAAGAAAAUACACAAAUAAUUUUAAAAGAUUAUUAGCUUUCUGGAUCCAUAGGGUUCCCCACACCCUCUAUUUGAAUCACUGAAUAUCUUGAAAAUAAUGUCAUUACAGUGAGCAGCGGAUGUCGAGCGAUAACUCAAGGAUAAUGAGUUACGAGUCGUCGGAUCAUGAAACGAUAGCCGAUCUUGCUGCUUGUAUGUAUACCCAACUGUGCUAAUUCCCCGAGUCCAACCAAGUUAGUUGAGAGACAUUCUUAGUGUAUGCUUUCUUUUCUUUCUUUUCUAUUGUUGAUUCUAUUGUAUUUACGUAGACGAUGCCGACAGGUGAAUGAGGCAAAAGUCGUUGCACAUGACGGGUGUUGAAAUUUUUGGACCCGUGGUGAUUGUGCUCCAUAAUGCUAGGCGCACCCGACGUGGCAAAAAAUUGUAAUGAUAUGAUUGGUGUGUACUCAACAAAGCUCUUGUUUGCCUAAUUAACCUAGGAAAACGAAGCCUUAAGCGCAUUGGUGAAUGGAGAAGGCAGGUGGCGAGUGCAUGCAUGUGGUUUUAAUGUUUCGUCACGGCUAUUUCUUCAUCAUGCCGAAGUUCCCGAGUCAGUGAGGUUUGUUAAAGCUUCUGGUGGAGGUUGUGUUGAUCAUGAAGUUGUGCAAAGUCUACCGACUCUAUGCUAGCCUCAACUAGUUAUGAACUUCAAAUCAUGAUGAAGUUGGCGCUCCACCCUGUGCGCAAGCACAAGGACUCUUUGUGCUUCUGGUUAGCUCGUGUGGCCAGCUUUUUGGAGGGGGUGAAGGCAUCUGAUUGUGUCCAAGGGUCGAUGCCGACGGCACAGGUGACGCUUGUGGAAAAUCAUGGAGACCAAGGUGUUGAGGACAUUGAUGGCACUAAGUGGCUGCUCACUUUGGAGUUAGAUGCUCUAGUGGUGGCCACUGUGUUCGGCCUAGCUAAUUCUACCUCUGCUGAAAUACAUGCUAUUGUAAAUGGGUGUGCUUUUGUGACAGAGGACGAUGACACUUUGCAUGACUUCACUGAGUUGAGUUGCUCAAAGGCCUUGUUGUCAUUCCUCCGGUCACCGAGCGAUUGAAUCACUUUGUCAAGGAAAAGAAGAUCAAGAAUGUCAACCGGUUGGUAAUUGCUGCAAUGAGGGACAACCAUGCAAGAUGUUAGUCACCACUGUGUGUUUCUUUCUUCGUUGUUCUUUAUUUUUAGAGUAGUUCGCAUGAGGUUUCGUGAGUUGACUUGUUAGUAGGUGCCAUCCGCGGUGUCCUCGUCGUUGCUUGAGUUUGGUGUGGGCUUGGUCGUGAUUGUAUUAGUUUUAAUCCAAUUUUCCAGCAAUCAACUGGGCAACAAUCUUCUUCUUGAUCAAUGAAAAAGGCUAGGCUUUUUCUAAAAGGGUGGUCUUUUUCUUUAGAACACAGUACAAUCGAAAUCGCUCACAUGCACGAGCAUACACCCCCCUCUAUGAACGCACACACGCAUAUCCUGUCCCUAGGAGCACCUUCAAGAGACUAAUGGGGCAUAGAAUCUUAAGAUUGACAAAAUCACCACAGGCACCUCGUAGUCGAUGGAACGUCUCCUCCCACUGAUCGAACAUCAUCGGAAAGUUUGAAAUAAAUCCAGAAAAAUGUGAGCACCAAUGUCAACUCUAGGACUUGAACUCUGGUGGGUUGGGGAUACGGCUGUCUUCCUAACCAUCUAACUAUAGGUUGGUUCGCAGUGCACUAUUUUUUUCACAAUCACGAUGGAGAUUCAAGCCUUUUGGGCUCCCUUUUUUUUAGUGCAAAAGAUAUUACUUCCUUCAUUUCGAAAUAAGUGUUCGGGUUUUAGUUUUUCGAAAAUAAAUGCCAUGUUUUUAGUUUAAAUUUAAACUAAAACCACAUCACUUAUUUUGAAACAAUGGAAGUAUAACUUUUACGUUGGUCAGAGGUCAGUGGCGUGCGGAGUGUGGCAAGACGAGAAUUGAUUACUGGAUAUACUAUAAAACUUCAAAUACGACGAGCAAAACGCAUAUGUACAAAAUAGCUGGAGCAACUUUCCGUGCAUGCAUGCGUCACGUAAUCUGGUUUGGAUCGACAGGAUGCGGCUGGUUUGGAGUACUAAACUAUUGCUACCAGCUACUUCAGUUGACAAAUACUCCAUCCAUCUCAAAAUAAAUGUCUUAUGCAGCUUUAUGCUAAAGUUGAUAUAAAGUUAAGACAUUAAUAUUUUGAAAAAGAAAGUAAUUGUCGCAUACCGGCCGUCGACAGUCUACGCCACCGCGUAUGCACCCACAGGAAUUCCCCGAAACUAGUGACCCGAGUCCCAGCUAUACGGUCCAUGCGUGCAAGCGGAUUAAGAAAUAUAUUUUCAUAAUAUGAAAUCAAUAUUAUCAGAUGCAUCAUGAAACAUAUUUUCAUAGUAUAUAGUUUUAGUAUUGUAGAUGUUCAUAUUUUUUAUAUAUAUUUGAUCAAACUAUGUGUAGUUUGACUUUGAUCAAAUCUUAUAUGCGGAGUAAAAAGAAACGGAGGGAAUAUAUUAAAUGUCUUAGCAACUCAAGUCUCCAAUGCAAAGGUGUUAGCUUUUGGGUGCUAAGCCUCAUGCAUUUAAUUAGUUGUAGACUCAAAAUUGUAUUUUCACCUAGGCACACGUGCUUAGCACCAUUUCUUUCUGAGGUCACCAUACCACUCUUUCUUCUUAACUAGCAUGCCAUAUCAUAUUUUUUGCUUAGUUAGCGAUCUUAGCACCUGUAUAAGCUGAAGCAUUGGGAGGGGCCUAUUGACCACACUAAGUUGCUUAGCUGAUGGCAUACUUUUUAGAUAAGGUUGGUCACAAUAAUACUUAACCCUUUCUUUUCUCAUUUAAUUAUGUGUCACAUCAGCUCAAAUGCCUACUAGGUGGCAUGGAUGAUACUUCUUUUAUUUGAAAAGGUUUGUUUCUCAAAUGGAUGUAUCUAGUAUCAAGUUAAUGCUAAAUACAUCCAUUUAAAAUAUGAGUUUGUGAUAACCUUUUUCGGACGAAGAGAGUACUACCUAUGAUACUCUCAUUGUGACGACAAACAUUCUAGUAUACAAUAAAAUUACAUCACAAAAGGAAAAACUACAGAAAUUUUUUGUUUCUCCAUUAGUGCACCCAAACACUUCUAUCACCGAAUCUCAUGUUUUCGAUUCCCUUAGGAUCCCAUAUGUCAGUAUCUACCUAUUUUAAGUAAAUUGCUGAAAACCAUCACAUUUGUGGCUAAGGUACUCUAAAACCAUUACUUUUGUUGAAAAUAACAAAUCACGGCUGCUUCUGCGGCAAGUGAGUAACAGAUCGUACUAAUUCGGAACUGAGCAGCGAUUAAUCAGGAAACUAACAGAGCUGGCCCACCUGUCAGGCUGACUUGGCAUGCAUAUGUGGACCGUAUGUAGACGUGGAGCGGGCCCCACCUGUCAUACUCCUAUCUUUGCCCUUUUAUGUUAUUAUGAUUUUAUUUCUCGCAUGAAUCCACGCCGUGCUGGUUGCGCUUGCGACCGAGCCACGCCACCAGGCUCGGCCACGACCAGUUUUGCUAUUUAACGUGGCUUAGUUUCGUAUUAGUGUGUUUUGUUAUCCACUUUGCGCAGAAGUGGUGUUUUUUGUGGUUUUUGACAAGAAUAAUGGUUUUGAAGUACCAUAGCCAGAAAUGUGAUGGUUCUGAGCAAUUUACUCAUUUUGAGGGGUGAGCGACCGUGCUACUUACUCGAGCAGAGAACCAAAUUGCACAUGCAUGCAUCAAACCAAUCGUUUGGCAACGAAAUACUCUGGAUGCCAUCAACACACAAAGUGCCAUCCCGACCCGAGCAACGGACAAGUUAGGCAGCAGGACCUAAGAUUAAUUAGUGGAUGCCAUCUUGGUUUUCCACACUACCAUAGUGGGUAGUAGUGCUAGAAAGAGCAUGGCAAAGAAAGCACAUUAACAGCAGCAAGAGGAGAUGCCCAAAGAAACAACAUGCCAAAGAAAGGAAGGUAGUCUAGCCAGACUAGUUAUCCUUUGCAGCAAGCCAAGCAAACAGAGACACACGACACCCUAGAUCUUUGCUUGUUUCGUGCUGAAUCAAAGAGCACGCAAACCGAGUGAUCCAGUUGACCACGGGCGCCUUUCUACUAGUUGGCACUCCGUUUCAAAGGGAAAUCCCAGUGCUAUACUAUACUAGCACCAUGCCAACCAAAGUGCAACCAAACACUUGUGUUUCCACCAGUCUUUUUCUAUGUAUGCAAAGGCCAAAGGGUAGGUAACUAGUAUUUUGGUUGGUUGUCUGGCAAAGCGUCCCACAAAGAGACCAUUUCUGUUCCUUGCGCCGUCCGGCUAGAAACAGCGCUCUGGGUGACAAAACAACCAAAAAACUGAAACCAAGCUCAGAAAGAAAGAAACAAUGAUGAUGAAACAAAUGUGACUGGGAUUUCACCAGCGCUCUGGGUUGAUUGGGUACAUGGUCACCAUCAAAAAACGCCUGCCUGUGCAACAGGGAAACACGAAAGAGUGACCAUGCAUGCCCACGCACACCAGACCGACCAGAAAAUCGCGACUCAAGACAACAACAAGAUAACUGACGGACCACGGGAGAUAGUUUCAACCCCCAUCAAUAAGGGUAAAGAGAAAGAGGUUCUAGCCUGGUGAGAGCUAGGUUGGACUGACACUGACAACUGACUCACUGACUGCCUGCCUUUCGCAGGUUACAACUGUUAUCUACACAAAGAAGCUAGACGGACGGAGCGCCGCCCUUCAGAUGAUGGUGAUGCAGGUUCCUAGACGACAAAGCACCGCGGCAUCGUUACGCCCUUCAUCUGGAAGUUGUUUGGGAUUUCCUUGAGCCACGAGUACCGCCCGUCGACCACACCUGAAACCAGAGGACGUUUUCGUCAAGCGUCCAGAUGAUAUUCUUGGCAAACAGGAUUCAAGGCUGGGAAGAGAACACUACUCACCGGCUGCGUUUGCAAACGGGGACUCGCUGUAGUAGGCGCAGUCCCUACCAGCAAGGUGGUUGUAAGGGGGUCCCAUCACGUCCAGAACAGCGCAAGG
rnacentral:lncRNA from 1 species